GAGGGGAGGAACCUGAUCCUCCGGUAGCGAAGGGCUGGAGGCAAACACCGAGCUCCCCCAGAGCCGCCCGGGAGCAGGGAGGGCUCCGCUACCCCGAGGGGCCCUCCCCGCGGGGCCGAGGGUAAGUCGGGCUGCGCAGGUGGUCGCCUUGGGAAGGGAGCGCGCAGUGGGGUUAGGUGGGGCGGCGGGAGCAUCUGGAGGUAGCCCGGCCCAACCGAAGGAGCCCAGUGUCUAGCUGAAAGGGACCCAGGCCAUAAUAAGGAUGGCAAGCCAAACGCAGCAAUAAUUAAUAUUCGAAUAACGCCCCUUAGUUGGUCCUGGCUACACAGAGGGUGGAGUUGUGCAUCCCCAACUCAGGGCUGAGCUGGAGGCAAUGAUUCAGGGUUGGAGAAACAUCAUCCCGUCAGCCCUGGCGCUUUAGGGUCCAGCUGAGUAGCAAAAGCCAACAUACCCCAUAUUCCCCUAGCCUUGCUGCGCUUUCGGGGUUGUCUUAUUGAAAACUAGGGAAGGGGAUGGGAAACCUGCCCAGCCUCACUUUAGCCACAAAAAUAAUGCUCUUGGCCAAUGGCCCUGGAAAAAACAACCUCUGGUGCAAUUAAACAAUCAAUAGGAAAAGAGCUUCACUCCCCUCACCGCCCUCCUUCACCAGGCUCCUUCGACCAGGGUAAUUCUUUGGGUUUAAAGGAGAAAGAAAAUUUGUUACAUUCCUUCCCACCCAGCCCCCGCCCCCAUCAGCCUCUUCAUCAAGCAAAACUGCAAACAGCACACCCCUGGCUCACCCCACCUUCAGAGCUGAGCUUCUGAGAGAGGUUUCAAUACUGUUCCAUGCUGCAGGAGGAGACAGCCUUAAACUCUGAAGGAUUUCAUCUCCGUUGCCCUUUACCCCCAGGGGAUUUAGAAACCUAGCAUUGACAGCAGCCAAAUGCAGGGCCAGGCUGGGCACAGAGGAACAUCACUCCCCCACCCCAUACAAUUCUCAGGGUAACUAUUUUAUUAUUGUAAGUACUAGUAUUCCUUUCCAUUUCAUUUCUAGAAAAUUCAGAAAGCACUUUCUGAAACAUAAUUUUUUUUUAAAUGUCAGUCAUACAUUUAGAAGUAAGGGGUUGACGGGAUUAACUGAAAGGCUAAUGACUGUCUCAAAAGCACAUGCGGUUGCUAGGGAACUCAAGCUCAUCCCGCUCUCUAAUCACCAGCGUGUUAGGUGGAACUCAAACUGCUCAGGGUGUUAUUAAAAUGAAUGGCAUUUGGUUAAAGACUUUCUUGCUAUGUUGUAGCAUCCUGGAUUAUUAUCGAUUGCCUCACACCCACAUAUCUUGUUUUCCUAAUUUGAUUUCUGUAUUUGCGUCACUGCCAGGGACACUCAGACUAGACCAGUCAGGUUCACUUCCUGUUUCUCAGAACUGGUUUAUAUUUGGUCUCAAAGCACUAGCUGGUAAAACAUUAUCAAACUGGUCCUCUUGGACAGAAACCUCUGCUUUCCGUUGAAAACAAAUUAUCCCAAUUAAAUGCUAACUCCCAUGGAAAACGUCAUCAUUUGAGGAAUAAGGUAGCCUGCCAACCUACUUUAUUAAGAAAUCCAUUCUUGAAAUGUAAAGCCAAAAAAAAAAAAAACCCACAUCAUCUUUAUUUCUUUUACCCAGAAUCUUCAGUCUUCAGCGUUGGAACUAAAACAAACUCAAGUAGAAAACAGAUUUAAAUAUGAUAUUUCUAAAAUGAAGCCCCCCAAAAAAUACACAUGGAAACUGGGGAAGUCAUUUUGACUAAAUAAGGCAUAGAACUGAAAUGGAAUCCAGGCCCAGGAAGGACAAAUAAAUUAGGGUUAGCACUGUGGCACUCAGAGAACAAAGUGUAAUUACAGGACUACACUAUCAAUAGGAAACCUCAUCACUUUGUGUACCAAUCAUCUCUUUUACCAAGUCUCCUAUGUCCCUGGAACCUUGUUUUGUGGAUUUUUCCCACCUCAUUCUUUUCCCUUUAUAAAAACGGUAUCACAGAGGCAAUAUCAUAAACAUAAGACUAUGCAAGUACUUGGGUUCUGAUGUGAUUGAUAUAUUUAAAAAGCCCCUUGGAAAAGUUGUAUGUGGCAUGAAGAAAAGAUUGCCCACUCAAAGUUGGGAAACUUGCUCCCACUUCUACAAACUCAAUGAAUUUUGGCUAGCUACUAGAGUUCUUUCAGUGAGUUUCCCUCACGGAAGCAUAACUAAAAGUGCUAGACUAAAGGACCUCUAAGUUUCUUUGCAUUUACAAAAUUCUUUGACCUCACUACAUAAUUUCAAUUUUAGCUACAUUUUGCAAAGUUAAAAUUUUAGCACUGAACCUUUAAUACCUAUCUAUAGAGACACUGAGAUAAAUGAUUAUGGGAAUGAUUCCCUGCUGAUCCAUCAGACUUCAGUGUCAGUUGCCAGAUAAAUAGAAGCUACCUUGCUCCUGACGUAUUUACUCCCUCUUUGCCUGAUGUUGGUAGGGAAGCACCAGGGUAGGAAGUUCAAAACAUAUAAAAGUGUAGAAAAAGGCCUCUUCCUUAUUUUAGAUGUAGUGAAGCCAAAGUACUUUGAUGAAUAAAGUGGUGGAAUGACAGAGAAAGAGCUAUAUAAGAAAUAAUUAGCUGAAUCCUCAUGGAGCUUUUUGCCUGUAUUUUAAUUUGUAAGAGGUAAAAACACAUGUGACUCAGAUUUUAGAAUUUUCAGAUCUGAGAUAUUAAGAAAUAGCAUGAAGAAAUGUGAGAUUUGUGGCAGAAAGAAAAAUCCUGACUUUGAAACCCAACUCUGCCCCUUUAUCUAUUCAUUAUUGAGUGCCUGCUGUGGGUCAGGCACUGGGCUAGGCCUUGGGAAUACAAAGAUGGAUAAGACCACAGUCUCUGACUUGCAGGAGCUUAUAGCGUAAUGAGGAGGCAGAUGAGUACACGGGGAGGUGGUUUCUUCAGGGGGAGUCAUAGGUACCCGAGCUCAGAAGAUGAAUCUUGAGAGGAGUACGGAAGGAUGAGUGGAAGUGAUCCAGACACCUGGGCGAGUCAAAGGGAAGGUGUUCCUGGCAAAGAAAGUGCUUGUGUGAAGACCUUAAAGUAAAAAGGUGUGCCCAAAGACUUGAAGGCAAAGGACAGUGCCCAGCAGGUAAAAGGUUCUCAAUGAACACAUUGUACGAAUGCAUGGCAGAAGUCCUGAAGGAUGCAUCCAGAAAGAUCAGUACACUUUUGUAAUGUGAAAGAUUUUGUUUAUCUUCCUCAAACAUUUGACCUUAUCUUGAGGCCAAAGGAAAGCCAUCAAUUAAUUUUAAGGAGCAUGAAGUGAUCACAUGUUCAUUUUAAAAAGAGCACUCCAGUUUGCAGAAUUUAUUAGUAAUAUUGUGAGCAAGGAGACUAGUUAAGAGGUUAUUUUAGCACUAUGGGAAAGAAAAGAUGGACAUCUAACCUAAGGCAGCAAAAAUGAAGAUGGAAAGAAGCAAAGGACUCAAUAAACAUUCUAGGCAUAGAGUCAGGGAAUUUGAUUGUUGAUUAUAUCUGCAGGAUUAAAGAAUAAGGAGAGAUUUAUGGCUUAGGUAAGUCAGAGAACAGUGGUAUCAUUCAUCAAGAUGGGGACCUUAUGAGGAAAAGCAGGUUGAGGAAGGAAAGUAAUUAAUUUUAAAUAUGUUGCAUUUGAAGUGUCCAUGGGAUGUCAAAGUGAAGCUAUCUUCUACAUAAUUGAACAGAUUGGUCUAGAACUCAGGAGAGAGAUCUAUGUGAGAGUCAUCAGAAUAAGUAUAGUUCCACAGAAGUAGAUGAAAUCCCCGAGACAGAAGGGAUAGUGAGAGAAAAUAAGAGGACCUGCUAUAGAACCCUAGGAAAACGCCAACAUUUAGAAGUGUAGGGAACAGCCGAGCAUGGUGAUGCACACCUGUAAUCCCAGUUCCCUGGGAGACUGAAGCAAGAGAAUGGCAAGUUUGAAGUCAGCCUGGGCAACUUAGGGAGACUUUGUCUCAAAAUAAAAUAAAACAGGCUGAGGAUGCAGCUCAAUGGUAGAGUACUUGUCUAACAUGUGCCAGAGAGCUAGGACCAGGAGCAAGGAGAGCUUCAGGAGCCAAGGGAGGAAAUACCAACAGUAUUAAAUGCUAGAGAGAGGCCAAGAGAAAUGAGGACUGAAAAAGUCUUGGAUUUAGCACAAGGAGGUCAUUGGUGUGUUUGGCAAGAAGUAUAUUGAUAAAAGGGGAUAGUAACCAGAUUGCAGUGGGUUGAGGAAUAGAUGAGAGCAGAGGAAGUGGCUAGAGGAUGUUCUCUUAGAUAAGAAGGACGAAAGGGCAAGUAGGAAAGGAAAAUAAAGAUAUUUGGAAGUAUUUUUGUUUGUUUGUUUGUUUGUUUGUUUUAAAACUCAUAGUCUAUGAGGUUCAGGCUAUCUAGGGAAAAAGGGGAAAUAAUAUGGAAUUCCAGAUUCUUUUAGCCUUCUUCAAAUUAUGUGGUUUCACCAUCCACCAAUUGCUCAAGCUAGACAAGAAGUAGAUUUUUUUGUUUUGUUUUGUUUUUCUCUUCUCCUCCGUUUUCAUGUCCAGUCCUUGAGGAAUUCAGGUCAGUUCUAUCUCCAAAGCAUUUCUAUCUCUACUGCUACCACCCAGAUGUAGACCACCAUUAUCUCCUUCCUGUGUUCCUGUAAUAGUUUUCUAAAUGGUUUUCCUGCUUCCACGCUUGUCCCCAUUCUCCACAGCACAGCUAGAGACAUAAAUCAUACAUCAUAAAACAUCAAUCAGAUUAUUUCACUUCUCAGAAUCCUUCCGUGUCUUCUGAUUGCACCUGAAAUAAAGUCCAGACUCCUUUCCCGGCCUCCAAAGCCCUGCGUGGCAUCUGAGACCACCUCUUCAACCUCAUCCCCAACCACUCUCCCUGACUCCAAUCACACCAGCCUUUUUUCUAUUCCUCAAACACACUGAAUUUACUCUUGUUUCAAAGGACUUACUCUUCCUGGAAUAUCCUUUGGGUCCUUCUGAUCUUUGUUUACAUGUUAUCUACUCAAAGUGGCGCUUCCUAGCCACUUCUGCCUGAAGUACUCUUCUCUGUCCACCUUUCCAACCAUCCAAUGAAUUAUUUUUUCACAGUAAUACAACUUUAUUGCUGAGACUUUAUUACCAUUUGUUUUUAUUGGUUAUGGUUGAGGACUCCUUUAAAAUAUAAACUCCAUGAGGAUUCCUGACACAUAGUAGGUACUUAAAAUGUCCACUGGAUGUUUGUAGAAGGAAAGAAAGUGAACAGAUCAGGAGAAAUUAAAAUCAAGAAACAAGAGUCUGGUGUGCUGAGAAGUGGCCAGUGACGAUGGAUUGCUAGGCUUUGAAGAUUUCAGAAGAGAAGGUUACUAGCUGUGUGACCCUGGACAUUCUCGUUCUCUGAACUUCACUUUAUGGUUAAUAAUAGUACAUGUCUCCAUGAGCUGUUAGGAGAACGACAUGAAGUAGAGUAGACAGACGCACACUGUGGUCUUGUCAAGCUAUUUCAGGAAGUCAGUACUUGCACAAAUGGAUUCAUAAGCUCUAUGUUUGGGCCUCUCAUCAUGGAGUUUACCCCCUUGAUAAUUACUUAUUAUUAGAAUUAAAAAUGGACAAAAUUGUAACUUUUUAAAAACACCUGGAUAUCUGAUGGGAACUGGAAAUUAGAUUAGAACAAAGCAUUCCCAUCAACCAAUAAGAAAAAUAUAAAAAACUCUGGAAAAUUGGGCCAACGGUGUGAUAAACAGAUUUCAGUUCAAGAAGUACAAAAGGAUCUUAAAAAUAUGUAAAAACACUUACCUUUUCUCAUACCUAUAGAUAUGCACUUACAACUGCAUUGAAACAUAUUAUUUAUAUAUUAGGUUGACAAAAAUCCUAGCAUUUAAUAACAUACUUGGCUGGCCAGCCUGAGAGGCAGGCACAUUCUUAUAUAUUUGGUGGAGGAAAAGUUGGUACAACCUCCGUGGAGGGCAAUUUAGCAAUAUUUAUCACAGUUUUAAAUGCAACGCCUUGGACUUAGCAAUUCUACUUUUAUAUAUUUAUCCAAUAAAUAGGCUCACACAUAUUUUGAAGGAUGACUCUUCUAGAACCUUCAGUAAAGCAUUCUUUAUAAUCAUUAAAAACUGAAAACAGCCAUCAAUAGAGAAGCAGUUAAAUAAAUGAUAAUAGAGCUAUACAAGUGAAAGGUAGGCAGUUAUUAAAAUUUGUGAGGCAAUUCUAGCUAUAUUGAUGUGAAAAGAUCUUCACAAUACAUUACCAAGAAAAAAAGUUAAAAACAACACACAUACUUGACUAACACUGUAUCUUUUUGAAAGAAGUUUUACAGAAACAUAUUAACUGUGGGAAGAUCAAAUACAAUAGGGCAGGAGCAUUUGUAGAAAGACUGGUUGAAAGGGCACUCUAGUGGUUUGUGUGAGAGAUGAUGGUUACUCAGGUAAAGGCAGUGAUGUGCACAGGAACAAAUGAUUAGAGUCAAACAGCUGUUUUCAAGAACUCAAUGACUGUGUAGGGAUGGUGGUAGGGGGAAGGAGUUACUGUUAUGGUGGGCUUAAGAAUUCUUCCAUGAUGGGACACAUAAGCAGAAGUGUCUGCCGGCAAGAUGGGGAGUCCUGGGUCAGUCACAGAAUUGCAGGGGAAAAUCAGAAGUUCUGUCUAAGUGGAGAUGUCCACUGUAGACUUGUAGAUAUGGUUCUGGAGCUCAGAAGAAUUGCUGGAGAGAUGAAUUUGGGAGCAGAUUGCCUAGGGAGGGCAGAUAGAAUCAAAAGAAAAGUGGCACCAGGACUAAGCCCUGAACAUGUAGAGAUUGAAUAGAAAAGAAAGAUCUGGCACUGGAGACCCCAGAAACCCAAGAAAUAAAACUAGGAGAACACAAGGCCACAGAAGCCAAGAGUGUUAUUCACUGAUGAAGGUCAAGAAGAAGCAUCACAACUCGUUUCUGUUAUAAAUUUUAAGCUUUCAGAGCUUAUUUUAUAUAUUUUUGUAUCCCAGAGCCUUGCCCUGUGCAUCACACAUGAUAAAUGAUCAGUAAAUUUUUGUUAAAUUUUGGAAAGAAAUAUAUGCACAGAGAGAAAGGCAGACAUACAGAAAGACAAAAGAGUUUAUGUUUGGAUCUCCAAAAAUUAAAAAUUAAAAAAUAAACAAAUAAAACAGAUUCCCUUGAAGUUUACCACAAACUAAACUUGAUCUUAGGCAGUAGGGAGUCCUGCACCCUUUGUUUGCUCUCAAGCUGGCACGGGAUAGGGCGUUCACAGUACCAUGUUGUUGCCUUCCAGAAAUAUUUUGAUAGGUGGUACCUGUGCCUGGUCAAUCUGAGUCAUUUUUUUAUCUUUAUUUAGGUCCUGGGUGAUGACAAAAACAGCAAUUUGCUUUCCCUCGUCUAUCUGAUCCCAUCACAUCACCCUGAAUCAGUUGAUGGAAUCUGGGGAAUCCAUUUCCGUGCCCUAUAUUCUGUGAGAACCUCUUAUAGAAGCCACCAGCUUCUCAGUUUGUUAUUGACUCUGCAUAAAGGUGUUGGCUGCUAUCAGCAGAAGCGGUAGAGAAUAUCACAGAGAAAAAGUUGCCUUGGUUGGGAGAACAUGGAAAUGUACAACAAAGUGUCCUUGAAGUAGAAAUUUUAGAAACUAAAAUAAUACAUGUACUUUAAGCGAUACUAAAAAUGCUGUGACAUCCUGUGUUAUUUAGUUAGACCAGAGGACAGCAAACUUUUUCUAUAAAGAGCCAGACAGGAAGUAUUUUAGGCUUUCCUGGCCAUGCAGUCUUUCUCAAUUACUCCAUUCUGCCACUAUAAUGAGAAAAUAGCCAUAGUGAUAGGUAAAUGAGCAAGCCAGUUGUUUCAAUAAAACUUUAUUCAUGUACACUGUAGUGUUUAUUUCACAUAAUUUCCCCAUGAUAUGAAGUAUAGUUCUUUUCUUGAUUUUUUUACCCCCAACUGUUUUAAAAAUGUGAAAACAAUCCUUAGCUCACAGGCCACAUAAAACAAGGCAUGAGCUGGAUUUGGACUGUGGGCAGUAUAUUAGCAACCUCUGGUUUAGACACACAUGAAGAUGAUAUGAUGAGAACAAUAUUCAGAUUUGGACUUAUAAAGAAAAUAAUGUGUUGUGUGUGUAUAUAUGUAUAUAUCUAUCUUUAUUUUAAACUCUCAAAUUUACUUGAACAUAUAAACACAUUUGCCUACAUCUGACUUAAUUUGGUAAUAAAGUGUGUCUCUUCAGUUCUAUUCAUUGAAUGCUUUGCUUUCUCUUCCUGGCAGUGGACAUGUUCAUGGUUGUAGUACAGCCUUGCACCACAAAACGGCAUUUUGGUCAACAACAGACUGCAUACACAAUGGUGGUCCUGUCAGAUUAUAAUAAUAGAGCUGAAAAGUUCCUGUUGCCUGGUGACGUUGCAGCCAUCAGAACACCGUAGUACAACAUAUGACUCAUGGACAUUAGUGUAAACAAACCCUUGUCCUGCCAGUUGGAUACAAGUACAGCACGUGCAAUUUUGUAGAGUAUCAAUACUUGGUAAUGAUAAACAACUACAUUACCAGUUUAUGUAUCUAUUAUACUAUACUACUAUUUUUGAGUAUAUUUCUUAUUUUUAAAAAAUUACAGUAAAAGAGUCUGCUGUUACACCAGCAUCGGUUUCAUACGUCUUUUUCUCAUAUUUGAUUUACUCUUUUUUUCUUCUAUCAUGGCUUAGAAGCAAUAGGCUAUCUUACAUAUGUGUUGUGCAUAUGCAUGUGUACACUUGCAUAUCUACAUACACACACACAUACACCAUAUAACCUAGGUGGAUAGUAGGCUAUAUCAUGUAGGUUUGUAUAAGUACACUCUAGAAGUUUGCAAAAUGACAAAAUUACCUAAGGACACAUUUCUCAGAAUGUGUUCCCAUUCUUAAGAUGAUUUCAUAUAGAGCAAAAUGAAGAAUUCUUACUAGUUGGCUUUAUAAAUACCCAAAUCAAGAGAGAACUGAGUGGUGCAGUUAAUCACAUUUCGAACUAUAUUCAUUCAUUCAGUAAGUAUGUAUUAAUGAUCUACUUCUUGCAUAGGGCAAUCCAUGGUAAUAUGGAGUCAAAGAGGUUAGAUCCCUAAGAGGUAGGUAGGUAGGUAGGUAGACAAAAAAAACCUAGUGACUUAUAAGUUUAGUGAAAAUGGUUUGGGCAUGUCACUGUAUAAAUGUAGACAUUUGAAGCAGUGGAUAGGCAGUCAGAAAAGGCUAAGUUUAAAUCUGAGCUCUUCUGCAUCUCAGCUGUGUGAACUUGGGUUGAUUAUAUAAACCAUAUAAGCUUCAGUUUCCUCUUUUUAAAAAUAGAGGUAACAAUAACUACUCUAAAGGAGGUUGUGGGAAUUAAAUAAGGUAACAUGUAAAUUAGCUAGCAUGGUACCUGGGAUGUGAUCAGCAGUCAAUAACUCCUAGCCAUUGUUGUAUUACAGCAAUAUGAGGAUAUAUCACUUGUUCACCCAGAAAACACAGUAGGAGGUGGGGGGAGCGUGACCUUUUCAGUAAUGAAGUCAUGGAUACAUAUGGAAACCCACAAACCUGAGGUUUGACACCUGGUAGAGAACAUUUGGGUGAAAAUAAAAGCAGAAGUAACAUUGUCCCAGGAAUAUGUAAUGAGGCACCAGGCCAGUUGACUUCCCUAGCAACCAGCAGCUGGAUUGUUUUAAGAAGCUCCACCUACAGGUCUGACUCCCCAGCCUGCCAACACUGAGAGGCCAGUUCUAACUGGAAGAAAGUGCAUCAAGGAUAAGAGCCCCUACCACCUUGCUUCCUUCCAGUCAGGUCAGCUGUGAGCCUUGGACACCUGUAGGUCCCUCCUACUAUGUUUUCCGGCUGUGUUUGCCCAAUUUUUGGCCUCCAAUAUGACACACUCCUUUCUGGCCAUUGUGCCUUGCAUCUAGAUCUCAGUUCUGAGAUGUGGGGCCCUGUCCUGGUCCCUAACUUACUUUUACCAUGAUUUUGAUGUCUUGUUUAGCUCAACUCUGACCAGUCCUCUUCUCCAGGGGGCUAUAUUCUAUUACCCACUCUUGCUGUGAUCAUCUUAGACCAUGGGACACAGGUCCCUUACCCUUCAUGGAUAACCUGCUGCUGGAGUAAGUCUGGACUGCUUGGUAUUAAUAGCUUUCUGAAUGUUUUACUUUGGUAUGGGACACCAGAUCUUGCACAGCCUAGCUUCCCUAAUCCAGGACAGCUCCUGUAUUCACAGCCUGGCCCUGGGAAUACCCCUACCCUGGUCUUGACUCACACCCUUUCUCCACUGGCCAUGUGCUGUCAACUAGUUCUAGCAUGCCUUGUGAUCCCGUUAUGGCAGCAUUCAAUAAUGCUUUCCAAGUAAAGAUGACAAAAUUAUUGGCAUAGGAGUGUAGUGGAGAAGUUCAAUUGAUCUGACAUCAUCAACUGACAAUAUUGUUCUGUGGAAAAGCGAGCAUCAAAUAAAGUUGGCACUAUUUAAAUUUAAACUAAUUGCUUAUUGAAGAAAUACUAUUCUAUGCCUGAUUAUAACCAGCUAAGAAGAAUGUGUUAGCAAAGUAGAAGUGACAGUCAACUUGAAGUAAGUGACCACAGCACCCUUGAAAUUGUAAUAGCCAGAGAAGGCAACUGCAUUCACUAACCUCAUGUGAAGACGAAGACAUCAUAUGUACAUGAGCCUGUCUGGGCAGGAAAUAGGGAAUAAAGCUCAAGAAGGAUGACUUGCAAUAUAUGUUUUUGUAAAAUCAGUGAUUUCAAGGAAGAAAAGAAAACAUUAGAAUGCUUGCUGAAGAAGUGAUCUGAUAAACCUGUGGGUUUGGGGGGUGGGAGUAUUUUGUUUUGUUUGUGGUACUGGGCUGAGCUAUAUCUCCAGCCCUUUUUGUUUUGAGACAGGGUCUUCCUAAAUUGCUGAGGCUGGCCUGGAACUUGUGAUUCUCCGGCCUCAGCCUCUAAUUUGCUAGGAUUACAGGCAUGCACCACCAUGCUCAGCAUUAGCUCAUAUUUAUAAAGGUCACGCAGGAAAGACUGGAGGAAGGAUGUACAGUAGUCCUGCCCUUAUCUGCAGGAAGGUUAUGUUCAAGGCCCUCAGUGGAUGCCCAAAACCACAAAGAAUAUCAAAUCCAUAUAAACUAUGUUUUUUUCCUAUACACAACAUACCUAUGAUAAUGUUUAAUUUACAAUUUAAGACACAGUAGGAAAUUACAACAAUAACUAAACUAGAAAAAUUAUGACAAUAUAUUGUAAGAAAAGUGAUUUAAAACUAGUGAAUUGUUUAUUUCUGGAAUUUUCCAUGUAAUAUUUUCAGACUAUGGUUCACUAAAGGUAACUGAAACUGCAGAAAGCAAAACCUCAGAUAAGGGGGAACUACUUUGUAAGAAGGGCCCAUGAGAAUAAUGCUUGAGGGGUUCAUGUCCAGAGGCAGCUGGAGUCUGGGAAUAGUACUGAAGACAAAGAUUGGUCUCCAUGUUUAUUUUUGCUUACAUUUAUAAUAAAGAAUGAGGGGUAGGGCUAUUGAAUGGGGCAGACUGACUGAUGUGAAUAGUUAAUUAAACAAACAGAACAGUUCAACUGUAGCCUUCCCUAGAUCCUAAGGUACAGAUUCUUUUUUUUUAAUAUUUAUUUUUUGGUGUAGAUGGACACAACACAAUGCAUUUUAUUUUUAUGUGGUGCUAAGGAUUGAACCCGGGUCCCGCCCAUACUAGGUGAGCACUCUACCGCUGAGCCACAAUCCCAGCCCAAGGUACAGGUUCUUUAUUCCCACAUUUUUAAUAUUUCUAAAAAUCAGAAUGUAUCUUCAAUAGGCACCUGUAAUGUGGUAAUGUGUUUUGGAAGAUCUUGAGGCAGUCAUUAAAGCGUGGUACAUCCUACCAUAAGUUGAUUUUAGAAUACAGGAAAUUUGGAAUUUUAUUAUUUUAGCUCUAACAGUAUUAAUUGCGCUCAACAGAUAAGGGGUCCACUUUGUGUCCUGAAAGUCGUAGUGCUGUUAGUGGUCACUGAAAGAUAGGAAAGCAUCAGAAAGAAGUUUGGAUGCCACAUUCAGAAGUGUGUUAUUCCACGAAGGAUACAGGAUUGGAUGAGCACUAGUGAAGAAUAAGAGUGGCAAAUACGAGGACCCAGAAAGGCCAAUGGGAUUCAAAACCUUUUAAAGACAAGGACACCACUGCCAUCCCUUAGAAGCCAAGUCACUGAACUUGUCACAGGGGGUCUGGAUGGAGACAGGGAAUGUAUGUUGAAAAGGCCAAGGGAGUUAAGAUACAGAAAAGGAUAAACAAUUAUAGAGAUAUUCAAGAUGGGGUUAGAUGGACAAUGGCUUCCCCUGGGCCGGAUGUUUUGAACUGUGCCUGGCACAUGGUACCACUAUGUCCUGCCUCUUCUGAACCAAUUAGGUGAUUGACUUUAAACCCUGAUGUCCUGGUGUCCAACUCCCUCAGCUUCUACUGACCCAAGGGAAGCCUCCUCUGAGUAGGUAUUUAGAGGUCGGGGAACACAAAACAGGGGAAGAUAUUGCAAAGUGAUUGAAACUUGGGCAAAUAAAUAGGACAAGGAAUGGUCCAAAUAACUAAAGAACCAGGUAACCAGAAGACAGAGACUUGGCCAGAAUAAAUUCAGGGGAGAGUUGAGGCUGUUGUCUAUUUGCAUCACAUCUUUGAAGUCCAUGUUAAAGAAGGAAUUCAGAGAACCUAUAGAUCAGUUAACCAUGGAGGAAAUUGUUCCAACCACAUCUGAUCAGACCUCUAGAAACUGCAAUGUGUCCAGGUGGUCCAUAUAUAUCUUGAACAUAAAGGGAAGGGUCCAUAUCUUUUCAUGAUCUGAGCUCUAGUGUCUAUGAGUAUGAAUAGAGGUAAGACAAACCAGCUUUUGAAUGACAGGGCAUCUGUCAUUUUCCAUGAAAAAACAAUGAUAUUGAUCCUUUAAAAUAGAACGUUAGUUGCCAUCUUACUUGCUUUCCACCUUUCCAACUGCUCCUUCCCCGAAAAGUUCUAGGAAAGCUGGGUUCUCCAGCACUACCUUCAUCUCCAGGGGACAGGGCACGUGGCCAGGUUAAGCCAAGCAGUGAAUAACAUCCCUUCAGACUUAAUGACUUACUCAAGUAUGGGCAUGAGACCUAAGUCAGUUUCAUCAAAGAGAAUGUCAGGAGUUUUGCUGGGAAUGCUAGACCAAAGAUGCUUCCUUCCGGAAGUUAAUGCACAAACAAGUAACCCUGAAAAUUCUUGGCACCAUCAAGGGACCACAAGAGGAGAGUCUGUUGAAAUUGGAGCUGUCACCAGUGGCUAAAGCAAAGAAAUGAAGUGAGAACUGUCAGGUCCUGUCCACAUUGUGUGAGGUACCUGACCAAACAGACCUGAAGUCUUUGAACUUUUCACUUCCAGGACCCAGAAAAUUCUAUUUUGUUGGUUAAGGUUUCUAUUUCUUGAAACGGAACCAUCCUCUCUGGUUCAAUAGGAUGGAACAAACAACAGUUAAGAAGGAAUGGAAUACGUUUCAGAUGAAUUAAGGGGUUCAUUGUGGAAAAUGACCCACAUAAGAAAAGUGACAUUCGUUGAAAAGAGGAAAAUGCCACAGGCAUUGCUUGAUCCGCAGGUGGUAAAAGGCCUUUGAGAACAAAAACAUAAAGCUUGAUGAUUUCUAAAAGAAAAAUGUUGAUAUAUCUGAUUACUUAGAACUUUUAAAUUUAUGGAGAUAAAACAGCAUCACAAACAAAAUUAAAAGGCAAAUGACAUGUCUAGGACUUUAGAUAGAACUAUAACAAAGGGUAGUGUCCUUAACAUAGAAAGGAAUCUUACACAAUUAUAAGAAAAACACAACAUCUCAAAAGAAUGAGUAAAGAGGCCAGGCCUGGUGGUGGGCCACACCUACAAUCCUAGCAACUGGGAGGCUGAGGCAAGAGGAUUUAGAUUUCAAUUUGGAGGUCAACUUGGGCAAUUUUGUGAGUUGCCGCCUCAAAAUUAAAAAAAUAAAAAGGAACCUGCAUGUAGCUCCACAGUAGAUUCCCUGUGUGUUCAAUUUCCAGAGCCCCCCACCCCCCCAAAAAAAAAGAAUAAAUAAGAACAUGAAAGGACAAAAAGAAAAAAGGAAUUCAAAUAGUCAUCGAAGAUUAAAAAGAUUCAGUCUCUCAAGAAAUUUGUAAUGUUUUGAACAACCAACAAUAAAAAAUUAAAAAAAAAAAAAGAUUCAGUCUCACAGGUAAUUAAAGAAAAUGCAAAUUAAAGUAAAAGCCUGGACUGGGGGUGAGACUCAGAGGUAGAGCAUGUGAUUAGCAUGUGUGAGGCCCUGGGUUCUCCAGCACUGCCCCAAACAAACAAACAAACAAAAAACCAGCCAGAUGCCUUUGAGCCUUGCAAAUGGUCAAAAACAUUUAUAAGAUGCUUUCUUGCAUAAAUAAAGAUUCAGGGAAAUAAUUGCACUCCUAUUAUAUUGGAAGCCUGAACUGAUAUAAGCAUUCCGCAGAGCAAUUUGUCAUUGAAUGUUAAAAAACCUUAAAAUAGGGCUGGAGUUGUGGCUUGGUGGUAGAGUGCUUGCUGCUUGCCUGGCAUUUGUGAGGCCCCUGAGUUCAAGCCUCAGCACCAGAUAUAAAUAAAUAAAUAAAAUAAAAGAUCCAUUGACAAUUAAAAAAAAAUUUAAACAGGGAAAUAAGAACAUACUUUUAAAAAAAUUAAAAUAUACAAACCAUUUAACACAGUAAUUUCAUUUUUAAGUCGUUAUUCAAAGAAAAUGAUUGGAAAUGCUCACAAAAUUUAAUGUAGAAGAACAUUUAGUGUCAUUUUUUUUUUGGUGGUACUGAGGAUGGAAUCCAGAGUCUCACACCUACAAUGCAAGGGCUCUCUUCUGAGCUGCAUACCAGUCUUUUAAUAUUUAUUAUAUUAUAUUAUAUUAUAUUAUAUUAUAUUAUAUUAUAUUAUAUUAUAUUAUAUUAUUUUUGCAGAACUGGGCACUCUACCACUGAACUACAUCCUCAGACCUUUUUAUUUUAUUUAUUUACUCUUAAAUUUUUGAGACAGAAUCUCACUAAAUUGCUGAGGCUGACCUUGAACUGACAAUCUUCCUGCUUUGGCCUUUCAAAUUCCUGGGAUUAGCCUGGCUAGUACAGCAUUCUUUAUAACAUUGAGCAUUUGGACAUCUAAGUGUCAAAAAGAAUUAUUGCACAUAUUGGUAUAUUCCUAUGAUGGAAUGUAUGUAUACAACAAAAAGUGGGUUUGGGAAGAUGUCAUGCCAUCAGAAAAUGUUGGUCAUUUAUUUUAAAUAUAUUUUCUCAGGAAAAAAAGACUAGUAAAAUAUUAACAGUGGUUAUAUCUUUUUUGGGUUUGGUGGGAGGGGCUACUGGAGAUUGAACUCAGGGGCACUUGACCAGUGAGCCAUAUCCCCACCCCUAUUUUGUAUUUUAUUUAGAGACAGGGUCUCACUAAGUUGCUUAGCACCUCAUUUUGCUGAGGCUGGCUUUGAACUUGUGAUCCUCCUGCCUCAGCCUCCCCAGCCACUGAGAUUACAGGUGUUUGCCACUGCACCCAGCAACAGUGGUUAUAUCUUGGUAGUGAACUCAAAUGGAUUUUAUUUUCUUCUUCAUGACUUAUGUAUAUUCUAAAUCUAUCUCAGCAGACAUACAUAUUCUUCCGGUCAGGAUAAAGAAAAAGUUUAAGGGACUGGGGGUAUAACUCAGUGGUACAGCACUUGCCUAAUCCCCAGUACUGCAAAAAGAAAAAUGAUAAGGAGGAAAGAAAGAGAGAGAGAGAGAGAAGAAAAAUUUAAGAUGAAAUGGGAUCCCAAGGUGAAUGAUGGCAAUGUAAAUUUAAAUAAAAUUUAAAUUUAGAUAAGAUUCAAAUUUAAAUGAAUUCAAAUCUUCAGAUCCAUAUAAACUACAUCUAGGGAUACAAAAAAUACUUCCAGAUAUGAUCAUAGACACAUUGUGAAGAAUCACUGAAGAAAGAAGUACCAUAUGCCUGAGGUUAGGCAAUUAUGCCAGUUUUUAAAAGGGGAAAAGUGAAUUCUAGAACCUAUUCACUGAUAAGUUUAGGUUGCUUGGGAAAAGAAAACCCGUAUAAGUAAGCGCCAGCGCGGGUUCACUUAAGUUAAAUACCUGCAAAUUACCCUCAUUUCCUUAUCUCCAUAUUCAAGUCAUGAGGUCUCCAUUCCAGACCUCCAGAAUAGGCAUCAUUAUUAUUCCCAUUAUGCAGAAGCCACAGGUCAGAGAUGUUAAGUGAUUUGCCCAAAAUCUUAAACCUGGUUUGUUUGGUUUUUUGGUUUUGUUUUGUUUUGUAGAUAAGGUUCCUAUGUCCAAAGAGUAGAGGCAUAUUUGUAGUACCUGACAUUGUAGAGAUUUUCUAGGGAUCCUGGUAGACAAUAUAAUGGGACAAUAUUAUACAAUAUAUUUAGUAGAUGAAAUGAUUAUAUACAAAAGUGGAUUCAUAGGACUUAGUUUACCUGGAGGUUUCUAAGUGGUAAUAAUAAUAAUAAUACCACUCACUGAUACUUAUUGGAUUCAAGGUUCUGGGCAGAAGUGCUUUCCAUCAUUACCUUUGUUAAUCUUCCCUAACAUCUGAGAAGUACUGAUAUCCUCAUUUUACAGAUGAGUAGACCAAGGCUCAGAGUGGUUUAUAAAUUCAUUUGUGAGUACAUAGCUAGUAAGUAGAGCAGCUGGGAUCCAAUAACAGAAAAUCUGGGUGCAGAACCCAUUUGCUUAACCGUCAUGCCAAAGUAUUUUCUUUUGGUCCUUGGCUCCUAUUAUAGUCAACAUUUUAUUUUUAUUUUAUUUUAUUAAUUUAUUCAUUUUAACAAGCAUUGAACCCAGGGGCAUUUAUCCACUGAGCCACAUCCCCAGCCCUUUUUAUUUUUUAUUUUUAAGACAGGGUCUUGCUAAGUUGCUGAGGCUGGCUUUGAACUUACUAUCCUCCUGCCUCAGUCUCCAGGGUCACUGGGAUUAUAGGCAUGUGCUACUGUGCCUGGCUUUUCUUUUUAUUAAAAGAAAGUUUUUUUAAUCUUGAGUAGCAACUCGAAAGGCAUACAUCUACUAAGAACACAAAGCUGAGAGAAUCCAAGGAAAGCAAGAAAACCAAAAUAUACUGAGCACUCAGUAGAUAUUCUACCCUGCUUGUUUCAGCCUCAGAACCACUUUGCAAUGUGGACAGGAUUAGCUCUCUUCUCAGUGUUAAGCUCACUGAGACUCAGAGAGAUCACAUGACACAUUCAAAGUCAGUGGGCUACCUAACAAAAGCAAAAUUUGAAUGUAGAAUGCCUGACUCCUAAGCCUUUGCUAUUUUUUUGCAGGGGGUGGGGUGGAGGUGGAAGGGUGCAGGGGGGUACCAGUUAUUGAACUCAGGGGCACAUCCCCAGCCCUAUUUUGUAUUUACUUAGAGACAGGGUCUCACUGAGUUGCUUAGCACCUUGCUGGUGCUGAGGCUGGCUUUGAACUCAUGAUUCUACUGCCUCAGCCUCCUGAGCUGCUAGGAUUACAGGCGUGUGCCACCACACCUGGUUAACCCUUGUUGUUUUUACUACUUGGCAAUAAAAAUCAAUGUAAAAACAUAAUAUUUAGUGAGGGAAAAAUGUUAAAUCCUGCAAUUGACUUUUAAAAGUGUAAGAUUUGGUGAGACCUAGUUUGUAAAACUUUCCAGUCCAAAAGAUGUCAGGAUAUUGAUUGUGAAGCACCUGGAGGCAGCAGUAUGGCCUCAGGACGCAUAUACAAUCUACAAUCUCAGGUGGUGGGACCACAGGGACCAUGUCCUGAACAAGGGAAAGGAUGCUCCUACUGGUUUGUACACUGCUUUACUAGAUGAAGACAAUUGCAAUUAACUUUGAAUUCAACAUUUUUUUUUUGUACCAGAGAUUGAACCCAGGGGUGCUUAACCACUGAGUCACACUCUCAGCCCUUUUCUAUAUUUUAUUUAGAGACAGGAUAUCACUAAGUUGUUUGGGGCCUUGCUAAAUGCUGAGGUUGGCUUUGAACUUGAGAUCCUCCUGCCUCAGCCUCCCAAGUCACUGGGAUUACAGGUGUUUAUCACCAUGCCUAGGUGAGUGCAACACUUUAAAAGAGAUUAGCUAUGGAUACUUGGAGGGAAAUAGCCAGCUGAUAAUAAAAUACCUACCUACCAACAAACAUACACGUGUGUAAAGACCAGAUUAUUUUGUAAAACUGAAACAAGUGGGAAAUCCCCAAGGGGGCAGGGGAGAGGAAUCUUCAGUUAGCAGAAGGACUGCUGUAUGGAAGAAACUCUUGUUGCAUCAGGUACAGCUCCAGAGGACAGAGAGCUGUGGUCAGAAGAAGGCAAGUUUAGGCUGAUAAAUGAAAAGCCAAAACAUGACUGCACCUGGGAUGUCUUUUUGAGCGUUGCAAUGCUGGUCUGCUACUUUGGACACAGCAGGUGCUCAAUGAAUAUAGGCUGAACCAAAUAGAAUGCUUGGCUGUGCAAACACUCAGAGGUUGUCUUGUGGACAGAAGCUGGAUGACCGGCCACCUGCUGUACUUAAAACUCCCAUCCCUACACCUGGCCCUGCUCCACCUUCUUCCACCACUACCUGGACUGCUCCCAGCCACACUGCAAAAAAGAGGCUUAGCUAGGUCCCUUGCAGACCAGCUUCUAACUCUCUAGACACUGUUUGUCUCAUCUUCUAAAUUACAGCACCUCCUUGUCCUUUCAUCCUGGCCCAUCAUUACCUCUCAGAAGGUGGCUUCUCCCUCUAUUGACAGACCUUACUCUGUCCCACUCCUGUGCCACCUCUCUGCAGGUUCGUUUCUAGUCCUACCCCAACCUCUGUUUCUUCUCUCCUGACAGCUGCCUGCAUGCUUUCAUUCUGGGCUCGUGGUUUGUCUUCCCCAGGACAUCCUAUCCAUUAUGAAGGCUUAUCUGAAUCUGUGCAUUCAGUCCAACCUCUCUCCUCAUCUGCAGACCUGUCAUUCAUUCAUACUGGACACCCUGCAAUUGCUUCAAACUUAAAAUGCUACUAAUCAUCCCCUCCACACCUGGUCUCCCUGUGUUGAAUGUAACUAAACUUUAACCUUGGCCUGUCUCCUGUACUGCCAGACUUACACCUAAUCAAUCAUGGUGUAUUUGAUGCUGUUUCUAAAUCCCCCCUGAUUUUAACACUACAUUUUUCUUUUCUUUUUUCGGUACAUGGUAUUGAACCCUGGGCUGUUUUCCCACUUAGCUAUAUCGCUAGUUCUUUCUCCAUCCUCCACCCCUUUAUAAAUUUUUUUUUUUUUUGAAGCCAGGAGCUGUGGCACACACCUGUAAUCCUAGCAGCUUGGGAAGCUGGGGCAGGAGGAUCAUGAGUUCAAAGCUAGCCUCAGCAAAAGCAAGGCGCUAAGCAACUCAGUGAGACCCUUUCUCUAAAUAAAAUACAAAAUAAGACUGGGGAUGUGGCUCAGUGGUUAAGUGCCCUGAGUUCAAUCCCUGUCCCGAAAAUUUGGAGACAGGGUCUUGAUAUGCUGUCCUGGCUGGUUCAAACUUGCAAUCCUCCUGCCUUGGCCUCCGAAGUAGCUGGGAUUAUGGCUGUGUGCCCCUCACCUGGCUAUUCACUACUUUUCAUUCCACUGUUGCCAUAGAGACCUUAAUCCCUUCCUUAUAGACUGUUGCAGUGGUUCGUAAUUGACCUUCCUGGCCACGUUCUCUCCUUAAUCUAGUUCAGCCUCCAUCUUGCUGCCAAAAUUCAUAUUUUUAUUUUUGAAACAUAAAUACUUAUGUCUCUCCCUUCUUUAAGGACCUCUAAGAAUUACUUCUCGUCUUCUGUGUAAAGUCCAUAUUCCUUAGCUGUUCAUCAAAGUUCUUGAAACCUACCUAGAACCUACUUACCAAUCAUCUCCAACCUGCACCAGACCGCUUCCUAUUCUCUGAACAUUUUCUCUUUUCACACCUUUGAGCCCAUUUAUUUAUUUACUUACUUAUUUUGCAGUGCUGGGGAUUGAGCCCAGGGCCUUGCACAGGUGUGGCAAGCACUCUACCAACUGAGCCUUUUUUAAAAAAAUUUUUUUAGUUGUAGAUGGACAUAAUACCUUUAUUUAUUUAUUUUUAUGUGGCACUGAGGAUUGAACCCAGUGCCUCACACAUACAAGGCAAGUGCUUUACCACUGAGCCACAACCCAGCCCUCUUUCCUCAUCUUCUUCCCCUUGGUGGGGGGGAAUAUAUUUUCUCCUCUUGGCCAACUCAUCUCUCCUCCUUCAGGGCCCAGCCCAAACUUGAGCACCCCUGGGGAAAGAAGCCCUCUUCAGAAGACAGGCCAGGGUGACAGAGAUGGUAUUUGUCUAUUAUUUUUGUGGUGCUAGGAAGGAAACCCAAGGUCUCAUGCACCCUUUGCAAGAUCUACCCUUAGCCAUAUCCCCAACCUCCAUGGUGUGGUAUUUAAAGCAAUGGACUGAAUGGGCAAUGACAGAGGUGCAAGCCCAAGGUGACUUCCAACAUUCAGAGAUCAGAAAGAGCCCAGCAAGAGACUAAGAACAAGGAGGAAGGAAGACAGCAAGUGUCAAUAAGAAGGGACCAAUCAUCUGUGCUAAGAGGCUACAGAGGGGGUGAGAUGUGGUCUGAAAACAAACCACUGGAAUCAACAUCAUGGAAGUCAGUGAGACUUCUCAGCUGUGUGUUUAAUGGAGUAACAGGAGCAGAAGGCUGAUUGGGUUGGCUUUAAGAGAUAGAGAUGAGGCAGUAGAUGCUUCUUGAAUGGGUGAAGCCUGGAUAAAUGAAGAAAUGAUAUAUGUCAGAGAGGAUCCCAUGAAUUCGGAACUAAUAUCAAUGAAUUAUUUUGAACUCUUAAAGUAGCUGAAAAAUUCCCAAGUAUAAAUGAGGGUGUGAUUUCAGUGUCAAAGUUCUUCACAAGUGACAAGAGAAUGCAGAGUAUGAUCACUGAGGCAGUAGAUUAGUCUAAGGACAGUUCUGUGUGAAUUCUGCUGUGUUUGUAUUUCUUCUCUCUCCCUCUUUCUGGCCUCAGUUCAUACAGGCCUCCAUGCCAGCCUUUUCUGAGGGGAAGAUGGAGUCCCAGGAAAGAGCUGUCACUACAGGGACUUGGUGUAGAAUUUUCAGAGGCCAUUUCCAAGUACCUCCUCCUGGUGUUGCCACUAAAAAACUUAUAAGGCUGCUUCUGUCCUUUUGGAGGCUGGGCAGCUCCAACCUGAACAGUCUGAAAAAGGUUAAGAGGAAAAACCUGCCCCAUCCAACCAUGCAAUUGAAAAUGCUAUGGGGUGUUUGUUUGUUUAUGUAUUAGGGUUUAAACCCAGGGGCACUUUACCACUGAGUAUUAUUUUAAGACAGGGUCUCAUAAAUUGCCCAGGCUGGUCUGGAAUUUACAAUCCUCUUACCCCAGUUCCCAAAUCACUGGGAUGGCUGGGGAUAUAUCUCAGUUGGUAGAGUUCUUGCUUAGCAUGCCCAGGUCCUGGGUUCAACCCGUAGCACCCCCCCCCCCAAAAAAAAAAAAUCACUGGGAUUAUACAUGUGAACCACCAUACCCACUUGUAUUUUGAAGUAUUUCUACAUACAAAAUUUUUAUAGUAAAAUAUAAUGGAAAUGAGCUAAGAGACCACCUAGAUUUGAUGAAAAAGUCCGCUGUUUCUAUUAGUCCCUGGAGGAUAAUAGUAAAGAAAUAUGGAUAAUACAAAACUUGGGGAGACCAGAGAAACCUUGACUGUGUGCUUUUCCCUCUGCAAUAUUCCUUAAAUAGUGAGUACAGAUCCACAUAGAAAGUGUUUUUACUUACACGACGGCAGACAAGACAUUUCCCUUUAUAGAGUCAUUCACGAGGAUCUCCAGGCCUGAGAUGGCAAACAGGACCCGUCAUCGAAUACCUAAAGCACCCGCCAUCAUACGACCUUCCUGCAGGUCUCCAGAGGCACAGUGUGAUCUUACUCAUGUCAUUGCACAUGCUGUCCCCCACACCCGGAGUGCACAGGUCCUCUUCCAGGAGUGCUUGGCUCUCAGACCACCUCUGUCCAAGGCCUUCCCUUUUCUUAUUCACUCAGGAACUAAAUCAAGGGUCAGGCCUGUUUCCUCCCCAGGGAGAGCCAUUCCUAUGACCUUUUUAGGUUGGUGACUCCCAAUGCCUGUGGGCACCCCACACAGAUCAAGCCAGAUUUCCCCUCUGUGCUCCCCAAACUAUUCUGGUCCUUAUCUCUUAUCUCCUCACCUUCCACAAUGAACAGCAAGUGUUUAAUCUGGCUCUUUACUAGGCUGUGCAUUUCUUGAAGUCGUUGAUUUUGUCUUUUCCCUGUUUUUAUCCUUAACAUCUAGAAUAUCUAAAACAAUACAUUUUGGGCCCAAGAUGUUUGUCAAAUGAAUGCAUGAAUGCUUGAGAGUGUGAGGAAAUGAAAACGUGAAUAAAUACAUUAAAAGAUCAGAAAAACUCUCUGACCUGAAGCUCAUGAAAGAACAAGAGUAUCAGUGCCUUUACGUAUGUGCUAAAUUUGUAUAGGUAAUGGCGUUUCCCAGGUCGACUCGAGGCAACAAGACCAUUAUGACAUAACUCCCACGGAGAGGGGAUGGCACCAGAGUGGCUUGUGAUGCAUGUGGUGCCAGCUGAGAUCCCUGCCGAGGAUGAGCAGAGUUGGUCGGGAGUUGAUUGGUUAGCUCUAGAUUCAUGAGAGCAUCUGGAUCCGAGGAGUCACGUGACUAUGUUGGUCCUUGUUAUUUCUCCCUAAGAGAUUUUUCAUUUUCAAAUGUAAGGGCAAGAUACACCUUUAAUAAACAUGUUUAUCCAAAAUGUGGCUUCGUUGUUAAUAAAAAGUGAAAAAUAAACCAGCAAUGACACCUCUUAAAUGGAAGUUACAUUGAACCAGUCAUUUCAUUCCCACCUCCCUGGAUUUCUUUCAUGCCUCAUUUAUAAAAUGAUAAUAGCCCUUACUAGUAUUUACAUUAUAAAAGCGUUGUUACUCUAAAUUAGAUAGUCCUAAAUGGGUAGGGUGUCUUCUGUGAAAGACAAGCAUUAUACACAAAUGAGGUAUUAUUAUUUAGUUUUUCCUUUUCAGUCCCCUCAAAUGAGAAUUAGAUGAAAAUUCUGCUUUAAGCAAUAUCUAGCAGGUAAAGAUUAUUGACUUUAGGGAAAUGGAAAAACAACAACAAAAAAAUCUUCAGCUGAAAACUCGGUUGGCCUUCUGCGCACCAACCAAAAAUAUUGGGCUAAUACGUGCUGUUUACUAGUGUUCUCUCUCUUUUCUGUGCUCUAAUCAGAAACUGAAGACAGUUAAGCCUUUCCGUUUCCUCACAGUGUGCACUUUAGAGAACCUAGACGUCCUGGAAGGAUCAUAAUUUAGAAAUCAAGUUUCCACUCUUCAAGUCACUAGGUAGUUUUCUUAUUCACUCAGGGACUAAAUAUACGGUCAGGCCUGUUUCCUCCCCAGGGAGAGCCAUUCCUAUGACCUUUUUAGGUUGGUGACCACCAAUGCCUGUGGGCACCCCCUUAGCAGCUCCUGGGCCAGAGCUUUGCUGUCUCCUCAAAAUUCGGGGUCAUGAUGGUAGGAGAGGGGGUUAAAAUUGGGGGACUGUUGUGAAUGUCAGAAACUUCGUAUCAUGAAGGCCUGAGAACUAAAGCAGGGCCUCAGAAGCAUGCAGGGUGGAGACAUGGACAUGUGGACAGCGUAAUCGCAUCGGGCCUCUGAGCUUUACUUCCUUUCUGGUUCUUUGGUCCCUGUUCCUGCACGGCCCCCUGGACUCCUGCAGCAUCCAAAGCCCCCCCAGCAUCCAUCCAUUAUGUCCUGGCUCACCUUCACUCCCUGGGACCAACCUUCAGCAUGGCUUGCCGUUCUGGUCAUCUGUUUUCCACCUGACCCAUUUAUUUUGGCUUCUGGAUUUUGCUCUCAGAGAGACUCCCUGCUUGCAUAGCUGCCUGGCCAGCUGUGGGGCCAGCUGCCUGUUCCUGACUCCAAGGUGACCAGACUCCUCUCCCCUCCCCUGGCUGCUCCCAUUACAUGAGCCAUGACAAUAGGUGAGAGAUAAUGACUGUGAGAACCGUGUCUGACCAGAUUUGUCCCUCUGUAGGUCAUGUCGUUGGUGGAUUGCUCAGAGAGGUCAGCGUACCUUCUUGCAUCUCAGCAGGCCUUGGCCCAGGAACACCUACGAGGAGAACAUAAAAUUAUAAAUAAAUGGCUUACCUUACAGUUCUGGCCUAGUCCAGGGCUACUGGUUGGACCAUGUCUGCCCAGAGCAUUGCCACAGUGGUCAGCUGCGCUAGUGUAAAUAAAAAUUCUUGAAAAUGGGCCUCCCUCAGGACUCAAUUUCCUUCCCUUGGGAAGAAGGUCUAGGGAUCAUGUCUUCUUCCACUUUGAAGGCAAACUUUUGACACACUGUCUGAAUUCAUUGGUCCCGUGGUCUCCUCAAUUCACUGUGACCUGACUUCUGUCCCCACCAGCCCAGCUCCUUACCAAAAUGGUCAAAUAUUUCCUUGGUGCACCUGUGGGUGCUUCUCAGUCUUUCUUACUUGAUCUCUUGACAGCAUCUGCCUUUGUUGCCUCACACCCUCGUGUAUGUGAAAUGUGCUUCCCCUCAUCCUCUGAGAUAAGCUCUGCUUCCUGUUGCCCCCUGUCCUCUGGCUGCAUCUUCUAUCUGCUUCUCAGGGUCCUUCCUCUGCCUACACUGUGAGCUUCACUGUGGAUUCUAUGGUCACUGAUGAUUUCUAAACCUGUAUCUUCUGACUUCUGGAUCCAACCGCCCUCUGGUGCUCUGACUGCUCACCAGGCAUCAGAAAGGAACCCAUCCAGGGCUGAAUGGGUCACAUGCUCCCCCACCUACUGUCCAUGUCGUUUUCAUGUUCUCCACUGUCUUAUGAGAGACAUCACUAUCCACCUUGUUGCCCAAGCCCAAAAUCUGAUCUGCAGUCUCAACUUCUCUCUCUUUGAAAUGUCAACAUGUAAUCAAUCACCAUUCCAGCGCAGGGUACCUCCUCGAUAACAUGGCUUGCACAUUUCUGCAUAAUGCAGUCCUUUGUACCUUUCCAGUUCUCAUCCCUGACCACUUUGCCUGAUUCGCUCUGCCUCACCUGCAUGGAAGUGCAUUCGGGGCUGGUACUCGGCCUGCAGGUUCCGUUCUGUUAUUUCCACAGUGUGUGCGGUGCCUCUACCUGAAAAGGACAUGCCACCUCCUUAGGAUUAACUCUUUCUGCUUAGAAGUCACUGAAUUCCCACUUCCCAUCCUUUUCUCUGCUCAACACACUGCUUCCUUAGAACUGGCUUUCCUGUUUCUACCUCCCUCUCUAUUGUGAGCCUCCUGGAAGCAGUGACCAUAUUUUAUCGUAUUCCCAGCACCAACAAAGUCUAUGGUACAAAAUAGAUGACUGAAAGUAAAUACCAAAGGUAUCAUUGUGAGGUAUAAGAUGAAUUUCCAACCAAAGAGCACAACUAGAAUUUUAAUAAAUAAAGAUUUAUCAAGUCCCUUAAUAAUAGAGGAAUGUAAAGAUUGAAAAUAUUUAGAAGAACUGGGCACACCUGUAAUCCCAGUGACUUGGGAGGCUGAGGCAGGAGGAUCACAAGGGUGAGGCCAGCCUCAGCAACUUAGCAAGGUACUAAGCAAAUUAGUGAGACCUUGUCUCAAAAUAAAAAGGGCUGGAGAUGUGGCUCAGUGGUCAAGCACCUCUGGAUUCAAUCCCCAGUACCCCCCCCCCACACACACACACAUUUUAGAAGAAUAUAUCAACAUUAAAAUCAUGAGCAGAGAGCAGUUGAUAGAGGCAGAUUUCCAAUCUGUCACUAUGAACUUCUUUUCCAGAAUUCAAUGUGCAGUCUCUCUGAGCCGAGCUUUGGGGUCACCUAAGUACCCCAUCCUCCAGAUUCUUCACAGGCUAUUGGACUUGGAACCCACUCCAUUCUUGAGAACAUGGGGAUUGGAAUAAGGUAAGCAGUAGCUUUUCAGCUUUUUCCUCUAUUGUUUUGCUUUCAACCAUGUACUGGGCCUGUAGAGUCUCUCUGGAGUCUUCGUUAGGAGAUGUGACUGGCUUCCUGGCAACUCCACUUGUCCUUAAGAUAUUUGAAUAUCCUAUGUGGACAGAAAAAUGGGAAGUCCUUUCAAAUUUUCUUUUUUUGUUUCAUGACUAAUUAAAUUCUUCAUCAUUGCUCUAUUGAUUUUUGUUCUAAUAUAAUUCCAUAUAGAGAAAGGGGGGUGUUGAGAAAUCAGAAAGACUUGCUGCCCACUUGGGAAGAACUUUUGGGUCAGACGCAUACUGGGAAUGAGGACCUGCGCAUUUUGCUUUAGCCAUACAGCCUGUAGACAGUCCCCACCUCCAUCCCUUUGUCCAACUUCUCCAGUCUUUUAUUUGCUUUCAUUUUUCAUAAAAUUGAAUGCAACUUACAUGUCUUCUUAUUUUUCAUUGUCUAUUUCCCCUUCUAGAAUGUAAGCCCCAGGAGGGCAGAGAUUUUGUUUUGUACAGCACUUGGAAUAGUUCAUGGAAAGUACUCAGUAAAUAUUUGAUGACUGAAUGAAUGAUUUUUUUUUUUUGAGAUGGUAUCUCACUAGUGCCCAGGCUGGUCCCAACCUUGCGGUCUUCCCUCCUCAGCCUCCCAUGUAAAAUGUUCUUCCAUGUAGCUAGAAAUACAGCUGUCAACCACCAUACCAAGCCUAAAUGAUGUCUUUUAAAAGUGUCAUAUAUAUAUAUUCUGGUUGUAGUUGGACAAAAUACCUUUAUUUUAUUUAUUUAUUUAUAUGUGGUACUGAGGAUCAAACCCAGGGCUUCACACAGGCAAGGUGAGCGCUCUACCGCUAAGCCACAACCCCAGCCCCUGAAAGUGUCUUGUUUUUAAGAGGCAGAUGCAUACCCAGGUUUCUAGAUCCAGUACAGGUCUGUCUUGCAACCAUGUGCCCCCUAAGACUUUUAUUGAUGACUAAGCUGGUGACAUUGAUGGGCAUACUGAACAAAGUUACAGAUGACACACAACAGUCAGGAUUUCCUCCCCCUAGCUCCUGACAAAUGUAAUAAUGACUCAUAUCUAACAAUCUAAAGCUAAUGGGUACAAAUAUAAAGUGCUCAAUGAUCCCAAAAUUCAAUUAUACAAGUAUAGAGUGGGGGCGGGAUAGCUUACAACUGCACAUGUCACGAAGAUUUAGUCCCCUGUUGAUUGUGAGUGGAUGAUGAGUCAACCUGGUGUGAUGUUGCUUAAAAAAAAAAAAUCAAUCUUUUGUGUUAAUAGAAAUAUGGUGUUCAAAAGGGAACUAGUUCUCUAAUACUUUCUGGUGAUCAGACCACAUUUGCUCUGUUUUAUGAAUGCUGGACUUCAGACAUUCAGAUGUUGAAAAUAAGGAGAUUAUUCAAGAAGAGUAAAAAGGAUUAUAAAGAAUCUGGUAAACAGUGUUAAUUAGAAAUAACAAGAGGAGCUAAGGUUAUGUGUGGGCAUGUGAGAGGAAGGUGAGAACUGGCAGUUCAUAGCUGCCUUCUGAAGUUCCAGGGACCGUCCCACAUUGGACAGAUUCGAUUUCUUUUGGGUAAUCCCAAAUGAUGGAUGGAAGACCGAUGAGUGGAAGAUGUAAGAAUGCAUAGCUUAAUUCCCUGAAACUUAGCAGCAACUCAAUUUGCUUAGCAACCAAAUGGACAAGCAUAGGAUGUAGUAAAUUCCUGACCCUGGUGGUACGACACCCAGAAGUUGGGUAGCCAGGCCCCAUUUGCAAUGGAAAUUUGCAAUGGAAAUUCAAACAGUGGGGUGAGGGAGUGGGGCGAAUGGGGUUAAUCAUCACAGAGAGCACACAGUUGUGUGUUGUUUAUGUGGCAAGUACCAUUGUAAAAGAUUCCCAGGAGUUUUCUUUCUAACUUACCCAUCCUAUUAGCUCCAUUUUACAGAUGAGAAAAAUGAGGCAUACAGGAAUUUUUUUUCAAGUUCUUACAUCUUGGUGCAAACCAGAUCCAGGAUCUGAACUCAGGCAGUCAGAUUCCUGACCUUAAUUAUUAUUCUAUAAAGACCUUUACUUCCAGGAACCCAUUCUUUCCUGUAAUCCAAUCCAAUAUAGUCAUCAAACCAAGGAGUUCAUUAUUUCAAAGAGUAGGUGAUUCUACAACAAGUAGUUUCCUUCUACAUGUAGUAUGUAGGGACUAAAUUCAUCUGGGCAUUUGCCACUCUUGGCACACUGGGCGGAGCUCAGCUUUGGACCUUGCAGUCUGCAGGUGCUCAAUAAUUAUUCAAUGAAAAGAAUAAACAAAUGCAAACUCAUAAGAUUGGCAGAAUCUCAGCACAUUCUAACUGGAGAAAAACAAGCACUUCCUGUGUGAUCUACGGAAGACACCAAGCAAAAGUGACAAUCCAUCCAGCAAAAGGCCUCAAGAAUUCCUGCUCCAUUGUUCGGACAAGGCUCAUUUGAAUAAAAAUUAAUUGAGUAACUGUCUGGUGCUGAGGAUGCAGAGGUGACUUAGAUACACUGUUGGUUGGGGAGUGGGGUGGACAGGUAAGCAGAUCACUAUUGUGUGUAUGUGUGCACACGUGCAUAUGUUUUAAGUAUCAUGGAAACAGAACAAAAGAAAGGAACUGAUUCUUCUUGGUUGAACAAGAUGUCUAAAACUUGAUUAUGUUUUAAAAAUAACUUCUUUAAGUUUUUUUUAAGUUGUAGUUGGACACAAUACCUUUAUUUUAUUAUUUAUUUUUAUGUGGUACUGAGGAUCGAACCCAGUGCCUCACAUAUGCUAGGUGAACGCUCUACCGCUGAGCCACAACCCCAGACCCUAAAAAUAACUUUUAUAUAUGUUAUCUUGCUUGAAUUAAUUCUGUCUUCCUGAAGACCACAUGAGACAGUGAUCCCUUCUAGUGUAGAAGAUGAGAUAGAGUCCCAGAGAGGGUCAAUGUGAUCCCCAAGGUCAUGCAGCUGGUACUAAUAGUUACUCUGGGCUGAGGCUCUGUGCUAAGCCCUUUUAGAAUCUUGAAGCCUCACAAAAACUCGGUAUGGUAGUUAUUGACAUCAUUGCUGGCUUAUAAAUGAGAAUAUUGAAGCACAAGAUUUAAAUACCUUGCCUAGAGUCACUUAGCUAGAAAGUGGGUAAGUCGGAUUGGCACUUGCAUAGCCUGCUUCAGCGGGCACACCCUAGCCCAUGGCUCUAAAACACUUUGACUGGUUCCCUGAAGAGCUGGAGCCACACAUUUGGACUCUGACUGCAAGUUCAGUUUUCUUUCACAGUACCUGGCUCUUUAGCAGCUGUUGCAUCUAAAUGAGAAGAAGUGGUAGGCUAGGGCUCUGGUUCAGUGGCAAGAGUGCUUGAAGAGCAUGCAGGAAGCUCUGGGUUCAAUCCCCAGUAACCCCCUCCUAACACACGCGGUGGUAAUGUGGACGCAAAGAGGUUUAUGUAGGUUGUGCUUUCCUGGUAUUUUGGGAGACAUAUGGUGAAAUCUAGAAUGUACAUUGACCCAACAACUGACCAGUAGCAUGGCUCAAGUUUUAGACUUUCUGUGUUAGGUCUGCAGAGUUUUUCAUGGCAGUUAGAAUUUGGCCUGCUGUUCCCCAGGACAGUGCUCUGGGUUCUCGGGGGAUAUUACUUGUUACUCAUAGAAACUAGCCACCAACACUUACCCUGCAGCCUUCUGAAAUGUAGUUUAAAUUUUUCUAAAAGGAAGAAGACGAGAUGUAAAAUAUUAAGAAUAAAGCAAGUUGAAUUCAAAACCUUGUAAAUUAGCAAGAAUGGAGAUACAGCUAAGGAGAAAUAAAGCAUAUAAUUGCUUAAAUUGUCCAAGCGUUCUCUCUAUAAUACAAAUUCUUGGGUUGAAAAAAAUAGUUCAAUCUGAUAUUAUUGUGCUUUCUUAAUUAAGUUGGGCUGGCUCUGUGGCAAAUCUAACUGAGAAAGAAUUGGUUACUAAAAUGAAUGAAGUAGAUUACCCCUUCCUCAAUAAUUACCACUUAGGCCAAUGUGGAUUUGACCUAUGAGAUCAAAGCUAUUGUGUUUUUAAGAUACCCAUCUCCCAUAAUUUUUUGGAGAUGUGGUAAUUUUAAAAUCAGCUGCAGGCCGGGAUUUCUGUGGUAGGCGGCAGGCAGAAAAGGUCAAAGCUCUUUGGCAUUCUUUCCUUCAAAGUAGGUGGGGUUUUUUGGUUUGUUUGGUUUUUAGUGUUUUGUUUUGAAAUUUAUGGAAACUUGGUAGAUUCAGCUGAUUAUCUUGGCCUUUGUGUUUAUGGAUUUCUAUUUUCUUGGCUUUAGGUCCCUGGAAACAUUUGUUCCACCAGUGGCAGGAGAGCGAGUUUUGUCAUAUUUUAUUUUUGUUGUUCCAAUUGAUUCCUAAUAUUCCUUAGUUCAAGUCUACUUUCAAGGUGUCUAUCUCAUAGCCCGUCUUUAUGUCUCCACAAAUAAAAUGUUCCUGGUAAUAAUCGUUGUGACCUUAUAGGAACAGUUGAUGUGAGGCUCCCCCGUUGAUGCUCAUCAGGAUGAUUCUGUAAUAACAGUAGCUAGAACACUGAAUUUUAUCACUGGAUGUAGCAUUUAGCAUACGAAAUUUCAAGUUUCUUAGAUCAAUUAUUUUUGAGUUACCAAGUAGCUGUAAUCUCAUAAACAUUUUUUUUUCGAUUCAUUAUUGAAUCAAUAAAACUUGGAAAAUUCUUUUCUCGUAUAUCCAAUUCUUUAAGCCUGAAGGUAAAUUACUUUGAAAAAAACACAUCACAGUUUCUCAUACAGCUAAGAGCAAAUGAAUAGAGGGGGCUCUGCUAGCAUUUGGGAUGUACCUCUAAUUAGAACUCUCGGUAUUUUCAACAUAUAAUUUACUAAAAGUGAGGGUUUUAAUUCCAAACUUUGAGUCCAUGGGGAUGAAACAAGUGACCCCUGUUGGAAAUAUGUCAAGAAUCAGUUUUCUCAGGUUGACCUUUAGCUCAUUCAUCGUUAAAUCAAAACAUUGUCUAUGCCUAGAUUUCAAGAUGUCUGAACUUUCUUAAGUUUGCUAAAAGAUCAAAGCAGAAGGCUAGCACUGCCGUUGUGGAGAACAGAUUACCCUCUCCCUCCUCCCGGACCCUUGACUUUGAUUUUGCAUGAGAGCAUGUUCCACCUCAGCUAGCAACAUUUUUGCUCCGCUAUUGAGUCAUCUUUACCUCCUGUAUAUCUCAAAGGAUGUGGGGGGAGCAGGGUACCUUGUUUUCACAACCAAAAUAGAUGGAUAUCAACCUUGAACCAGUUUAACCUACUCUCCAAUACCAGGCUGGGUUCUAGACACAGAGGACUGUUACAAAUGUUCUCAGUUGUCAUUAUUCAUAAUGUAAAAGUGGAUAACACAAGACUUGGAAUAGCUUAAUUACUAUGUGACCUUGAACAAGCAAUUGAAACUCUUUCAAAAAUAACUAUCUCACAAGGUUAUUGAACUAAAUGAUUGGGAUUAUAUAUAAAAAUACUUAGCACAGGGCUGGGGCUGUAACUCAGUGGCAGAGCACUUGUCUAGCAUGUGGCAGGCACUGGGUUCAAUCAUUAGCACCAAAUAAAAUAAAGGCACACUGUCCAUCUACAACUACAAAAUAAUAAUAAUUAAAAAAAACUUAGCACAAAGCCCGGAAAAUAGUUGCAAGUGUAUUAUAUGAAGCAUAUAAUAAUCCAUGGAAACUCAAAAUAAAAAAAUGACAUUAUCUUCCUCUAGCAACUUUUUAAUUAGAAAGUUUCACAUCCAAAUGAAUAACUACAUCUACCUAUGACUUUUCUUUGAAGUCUACAUUCAGAACAAAAAGGUACUUCAAUGAUAAUCCAUUCAUAUUUCAGAACAUUUCACAACAGUUUAUAUAGGAGAAAAUUAUGUGAAUAAAAGGAAGAAUGAGAAUUAGAUAAGUAACAUUUCUCUAUUUAAAAGUGAUGGAGAGAUUAUAAAGCAUCGGGAUGAUUUUAUAAUUAUAUAUGCAAUUAUGAAAUAUGCAGUUAUUUUAAGUUUAUUUGGUUAUUAAAAGUUUUAUUGAUCUGAAAGGAUUGAUUUUAAAAGACUAAUUGAAUGACUAACCAUGUCAUACUUCAUAUUAGUUUUUAAUAUACUAAAAAUACCCAUUAACUAUCUUUCUUUCAUUGCACCUGUCCUGGCCUACAUUAAUUUUAGUGAUACAAAAGAAGCAAUUCAAUUUGAUAAGUGUUUGUUCUCACUGCAUAUCAGAAAAUAGGAAAAAGAAGCAUUCCCUCUGUCCUCUGAACCCGGAAGAAAGGACUCUCCCACGUUGUCAGGCACUAACACUGUAGCAAAAUUACAGAGAAAUUUUGUUAGGAAAUCUUUGCUCAUCUGCAGGUUAUUUGACUGAAAUCUGAGGUGCCAUAUUUCAGCACAAAGGUGACUUUCGAGGAGAAAGUUUGUGCCAAACUGGAUCAGUUGUUUCUAUGUUACGUAAGAAGGAAGGGGAAAAAAAAUAACCAUUUACUUCCAAGCUAUAAAUUCAAGAUGAUUCUGUUACGCCAAAAGACAGAAUUUCCAAGCCACAAACUUGAUGUUAGGGAUAGAUUUUCAUAAACUAUUACCUGUACCCACUCAAAACUAAAUAUAAUUAAUACCAAAUGAGUCGCCUUGCCUAAUUAUAUUUAUAAAGUAUGAAGUUAUUUUAUUCAUUGCGUCAGAGUUGAAUUAUAGUUGAAUUGUAAAAAUGAUAUUGUUAAACAAAAUAUUUCUCUUUUAAAAUAACUUUUCCUGAUCAUGAAGAAUGCAUGUGGGGGCUGAGGGUGUAGCUCGGUGGUACAGCGUGUGCUUAACAUGCAUGAGGUCCUGAGUUCAGUCCCUGGCCUCAGAAAAUAAAAAGGAAUACAUGUGCAAUGUAAAAUAUAUACGUAGAAUAUACAGUACAGCAAAAUAAAGAAAAUAAAAAUCACCAAAUCACUGAAAAUUUUAUCACACAGAGAUAAUCACCAUGAAAACUUUGUAGCAUUUCCUUAUAAUGGUAUUUAUGCAGUGUCUGUGCACUGGCAUGUGCCUAAUGUGCAAGCCUCAAAAUACUGACUAUAUGAAAUGCAUAUUAAAUUUUAUUAUAGAAAUUUCAAAACAUAAACCAAAGUUGACAGCAUAAUGAACCCCAUGUGCCUAUCAACCUACGCUUGCCAAUCAAGAACCCCUUCUACUCUCUUGUUCUUAUUUUUUCUUUGUAGUGCUGGGGAUCCAACCCAAGGCUUUGAGCAUACUAAGCAAGUGCUAUGCUACUGAGCUACAUCCCCAGUCCUCUUUACCAUUUUAUUUUGAGACAGGGCCCUGCUAAAUUGCCCAGGCUGGCUUCAAGCUUGUGAUCCUCCUGCCUUAGCCUCCUGAAUAGCUGGGAUUGCAGGCUUGCACCACCGUGCCAUCUUAUUUUGAAGUAAACUCCAGAUAUCGUAUCAUUUCAUCCAUAAAUAUUUCAAUCUGGAUCUUUAAAAGAUAAGAACUUUUUAAAAAUUCACCAUUUUCACAUAUAAAUUAAUGAAUUAUUUAAAAGUAUGAAAUAUUCAGUGUUCAAAAAUUGUCUCAUUAAUUCCCUAAUGUUUUUAAAGCUUGCUUACUUUGUUGUUUUGAAGUUUGGGGUACUGGGGAUUGAACCCAGGGGCACUUUACCACUGAGCUACAUCCCUGGCCCUUUUUUAUUUUGAGACAGAGUCUCAACUGAGUUGCUUAGGGCCUCACUAAAUUGCCCAGACUGGCCUCAAAUUUGAAAUACUCCUGCUUCAGCCUCCUGAGUCACCAGGAUUACAGGUGAGCAGGCCACCAAGCCUGCAGCUUCUUUGUUUGAAGCUUGAAGCAGGAUUCAAAUAUGUUCACACAUUGAGAUUGGUUGAUGUUAUCUGUCUGGUCUGUCUGUCUCAGUCUGUCUUAGCCUCUUUCUCAUUUGUUUGUUUGUUUGUUUGGUUUUUUUCCCAGUGUUGGGGAUCAACUCAGGACCUUAAGCAUGCUAGACAAGCACUCUACCACUGAGCCACAUUCCCAGCCUAAUAUCCUCUUGAAGCUCUGUUAGUAUAUAAGUUACCACUGGGGCUCGGGGUCUAGCUCAGGGAUAGUGUUCCUGGGUUCAAUCCCUAGUACUGGAAAGAAGGAGAAGAAGGAGGAAAAGGAGAAGGAGAAGAGGAAUGGGAGAAGAGAGGUGGGGAGUAGAGGGAAGAGGAUGGGGAUGGGAAGAGAGGGGAAGAAGGAGAAAGAAGAGAAGAAACCAAACCUGGCUGUUUCUCCUGUAGUUUCCCAUCGCUGGAUUUUCCUGCCUACAUCCUCAUGGUAUAGUUAAUGUGUUUCAUGUUUCUCCAUCUUUUGUAUUUCCUGUAACCAUCUACAGCCUUCACCAGAUUCAGUUUUUUUUUUUUUUUUUGCUUAUUUGCUUCACAGGUUGUGGUGUUUUGUCAUUAGGAUGUGCAUGAUGUCUAAUGAGCUCUUCAUUUGUGAUGUUACCUAGGUCCACUAGUUCAUUAAGGAUUGGAAAAUGGUAGUAUUUGAAUCUUAUUAUUCCUUGAGUUGAUAUUUUGGCAUGUGUCAAUAGUGUUUCCAUUGUUUGUUUUAAAUAGCUUUUGUUUUUUUUGUUUCUGUUUCUCAAUUAUAAUUAGAACUCAUCCUUUGAAACAGACUUAAUGUAUUACAGUGUGUCUAAUUUUUUUUCUUCUGGUUUUGUUGUCGUUGUUUGUUUGUUAUGGUACUGUGGAUUGUACACAGGGUCUUGUGCUCAUUUCUUCUACUUAUUGCUCAAAUGAUUCCUAUUUGGUCUGUGAUAGCACUUCAGACUGUCUUCUGACUUCUUCUGACACGACUCCAGGUUGCCUUUGAUAGCUGCCCUGCUCUUUAGUAUAAGAUGACCUCGGCUCACCUUGUAUAUUUCCACAUAGUAAAAAUAUGUUUGUAUUCAAAACUUCAGUGUGUGUGUGUGUGUGUGUGUGUGUGUGUGUGUGUGUGUCUCCAAAAGCCAUAGGGCAGAAACGACCUUCUAUAAUAAGACUAGAAAUGAAGCAAAUGUCCAUUAAUUGGUUGAAUAAGCUAUAAUACUCCACACAAUGGGGUUCUCUGCAGCUAUAAAAUGGAAUUGGAAGGCCAAGGCAGGAAGAUUACAAGUUCAAGGCCAGCCUCAGCAACUUAUCAAGACCUUCCUUAAUGAGAACUUGUCUCAAAAUAAAAAGGGCUGGAAAUGUGGCUCAGUGGCAAAGCACUCUUGGGUUGAAUUCCCAAUACUGGGGAAAAAAAAAAGAUACUGGGAAUCUUUAAAUAUAUGUAUUACAGACUGAUCUCCAGGAUGUAUUGUAAGCAAAAAAGUCAGGGGAGUGCUGGGCAGAAUGGCACACUCCUGACAUCCCAGCUACUUGGGAGGCUGAGGCAAGAGGAUCACUUGAGCCCAGGAGUUCCAGACCAGCCUGGGCAACAUAGUGAGACCUGUCUCAAACAAACAAAGAAAAAAAUAUGAGGAGAGAAAAGCAAGUAAAGGAUACUACCACAUAUGUAAGAAUGAACAUAUGUGUGUGUGUGUAUAUAAAAUAUACACACAAACAUAUACAUGCAUAUAUGUAUACAUAUUUGCUUAUAUUAAAAACACACAAUGGAAGGAUAAACAUCACAAAAAUCAUAGUUACUUAUAGAGAAGAAGGGAAUAAAUUGGAGGGAAUAGGGAUCAAAACUGGACAGCUUUGAAUUUACCUUGCUUCGUAGAUUUGACUUUGAAAUCAUGUAAAUAUUUUACAUAAUCAUGAAAAUAUUUAUUUUAAAAAUGCAGUUCCUAAAUGUUUUUAAAAAGACCUUGUGUAUCUAAUUGGUGGCCUACAGAGAACUAUGUAAAGUGACUUCAAAACAUACUAAUUUAAGCCACACACACAGCAUGUCCCUGUCCCAGCUAUUUGGGAGACUGAGGAAAGAAAAUUGCUUCAGUCUAGGAGUUCAAGACCAGCCUGGGAAACAUGGUAAAAUCUUGUCUCAAACAAAACAAAACAAAAAAUUCUGCGUAAUUUGGCUAUAUAUCCUUAUUUGGAUAUAUACUAAAGAAAAGGCAAAAACAUUUUUAAAGAGUUUUUAGUAGUUAUGAGCCAGGCGUGGGCACAAGUGGGAUUACGCCUGGAAUCCCAGCAGCUCAGGAGGCUGAGGUAGGAGGAUCCCAAGUUCAAAGCCAGCCUCAGCAAGAGCAAGGCACUAAGCAACUCAGAGAGAACCUGUCUCUAACUAAAAUACAAAAUAGGUCUGGGGAUGUGGCUUGGUGGUCAAGUGCCCCUGAGUUUAAUCCCCGGUACUCCCCUCAAAAAUAAGUUUUUAGUAAUCAUAUUGUUGAUGGUAGUGUCAAUAUUGCUAUUCUGGGAAACAUGAGAUAAGCUAAUAUGAAGGACUAUUAUAUCAUGCUUGGUGUCCUUGGGAGUCAGGAUCCACCUGUGAGAAGAGGAAUGCAGAUGUUAAAUAGAAGAGGUUAGGUACAACCCUGCAGGCCUGAAUUUGAAUUAGAAGUUAUUGAUAUAAACUGACAAUAUAUAUGUCUAUAUAUAGAUAUAUUUCCUAGCUCCUCUGUUCACUGAAAAGACCUAGAAACAAAACCAGCAGCAGUGAGCACCUCUAGUAUCUAUAUUACGAUCUGGCUGAGGCUAGAAAAAUAUCAACACUUGUAUACAUAAACACACAUUAUAAAUAUAUGUUCACAUAUAUAGUUAAUGUAUAUUUAGCUGUUCUUUUAUUUUCAGUUCUUUACACUUAGAUUUAAUGAUGCGACAAAGCCUUUGUGCAUCUCUUAUUUCCUAAGUACAAAUUUCUGUAAGUGGAUGAAAAUGCCCAGCAGGUAGGAACACUUUGAAGCUCUUGAUUGAUUGUCAAAUUGAUUGUCAAAUCGCCUCUAGAAAAGUUAUAACAGGUUCCAUGCCACGUGACAGGGUGGGAGAGAGUGACUGAGUCACUGUGCUCACAGUGAUAGAUAAUUUUUGGACAUUUACGCCAACAUAUUUCCGUCAAUCUGAUAAGUGAGCUACAACUACUCCUGUAUUUCUUUGUUUUCCUCUCUUUGAUUUUUCUUGUGAAGAAUUUUUUUAAAAAAUUAUAAAUGCCACAUGAAAAACCAUAUUGACAUAACACUCUCAUAGUUAUGUUGUGAAUUAAUAAUUAUGUAUCAACAGAGAUUGAAAUGGCCUCUUCAAACUUAAUGUAUUACUUCAUCAUUAAUGUUUUGUAUUUAUACUUUAGUUGUACAAGUACACAUUACAAAUGUAUUAAGAUAUGACUUGUUAUAGAUUUUUGGUAAUUUUGGUAGGCACCUUUGAAAUUCCUGAGGAUUUUCAUUGUAACCUCAUCUUUGCAGAACUCAUUAUAUGUGAAACUUAUUUCCCAGACAUAGUUUAGGAAGUUAACUAACUUUGUAAACACUGUUUUAUAUAUCUUACACAUACAAUUCCCUAGCACUAUUCCCAAUCACCUAUGAAAGCCAAAAAAUAAAAAUAGUAGCUUACAGACAAAAUCACCUACUGCUGCUGCUAGAGACCUCUUAAAGUUCAUCUGGUCUAACCCCUUCAUUUUAUACUUUGGAAAACUAAGGCAAAGGGCAGUUAUGUAACUUUAUUAAAGUCACACAGCUUCUUUGGGAUAAAAACCCAAAUCUGAUUGAGUGCAGUGCCCUGUUCAUGUAGCUUCUCAGAAUGAGCAAAACUUGAAGGUAGUGUGCAAAAAUGGGAGUAGCCACUGUGCUAGGGAACUGGAAUUUGGGUGUCUAUCUUCAAAAUUAUGUUACGUUUUCAAUAAAAAACCUUAUAGAAAAUGGAUCAAUAACAUUGUAAAAUUAGAUAAAAUGUAGUAAUAUUUGAGAAGAUAGAGAUAAAGUAUGGUGUUUCUAAUAUUUAGGAGGGAUUUAUAGUAAUCAAAAUAUAUGGCAUCUGAAUAUACACACAUACAUAUAAUAUAUAUAGCAUAUAUAAUAUAACAUAUUAUAUAUGCUAUAAAACACAUAUUACAUAGCAUAUAAUGCAUAUAUUUAUAUAAUGUAUUGUAUAUGUUAUAUAUAGUAUAUGUAUAUGUGUUUGUAUAAUUCAGGUGCCAUAUAUUAUACAUAUUAUAUGUAUAUAUAAUAUAUAACAUAUUGUAUAAUAUAUUAUAUAUAUGUAUAUAUUCCUGUGCACUGUUGAAAGCACUUUAUUUGCAUUAUCUCAUAAUCUAAAAUGCAGGGAGAUUCUAUGACUUGCCCCAGGUUGCUCCAGAGUGUCAGACUCAGGAUUUGAACCUGGGCAGACAUAGACAUACUGAUUCACUUGAAGUUUCAAGUCUCUCCUAUCAAUUGCAUUGCCAUUGAGGGUUGGUGAUCGACUAAGUCUCAUCAGUAAUUUCCCUACAAGGUCAAAGUGACACCUUAGAAACCCAUUUGUUCGAGUGAGGACGUAACUUCAAUGGUAGAGAACUUGCCUUGGCAUAUACCAGACCCUGGGUUCAAUCUCUAGCACUGCAAAAGGAAAAGGAAAAAGAGAAGAAGAAAUCUACCACUUUGAACACUAUGAUGAAAUUUCUUGGUGCAAAAUUUCUUAGAGAUAGUUCUUCUAAGCCCUCAUCUGUCACUUGCUCACUAUGUGAUUUUUCAUUCCCUAUCUUCAAAAUGGGUGUGAUAAUAUCUAUUCAUAGUAUUUUAGAGAAAUAAAUAAGGUAAAUUGCAUCCAUUUAUUUUUUAUUUUUUUUAGGUACCAGAGAAUGACUCGGGGGCACUUGACCACUGAGCCACAUCCCCAGCCCUAUUUUGUAUUUUAUUUAGAGACAGAGUCUCACUGAGUUGAUUGGCACCUCGCCAUUCCUGAGGCUGGCUUUGAAUUCACAAUCCUUUUGUCUCAGCCUCACAAACCACUGGGAUCUUAGGCUGCACUACCAUGCCCAGCAAAUUGCAUCCAUUUUUAGCAGAAUAUCUAACACAUAGUAAAUAUUCAAUAAAUAACUGAUACCUUCAACCAUCACAGAUAUCCUUGUUGGUAUAUCAUCAUUAACAACAGUAUGGCUAUUACUUCUUUCUCUCUGUUGACCUCUUUUUUUAAUGCAAAAGCUCCGGGAAGGGAUGUUGCAUUACCCUUGGGGCUAGUGACUCAUUAGUUGUUUUCCUCCUGACAGGAGUGAGCAGAGAGGUAUUAAAGGCAAGAAAGGAAGGGAGAUAUCAAAGAGAGGUGGGAGACCCCAAAAGACUAUUCAAGCUGAGUUUUCCCCCAGAGUAGGUGGGAUAAGUUUACAAAAACAGCUCAUUUGAAGUCCAGUGCUCUUUUAUGAGAUCCUGGGAUCUUUCUUAGGAUUCCAGGAGGCCUGAGAGGGAAUGAGGAAAUUCCCCCUCUUAGCAGACUGCGGACACCAGCUGCCCAAGGACUCCCAGACCCCAUGUUCACCUGCUUAUUAAGCCAAGUUUGUAGAAGUAGCAAACAACCUUCCACAGUCGCUUAUGUUUACUGUGCCUGGAAAUAGGCAUUUUGCCGUGGAAAAGAUCCUUAUUGUACCCAUAAGCCCAGGACUCGAAUUGCACAACGUAAAAGGUCUUAUUAAGACUUCUUGUGGGGGCUGGGAUGUGGCUCAGCGGUAGAACACUUGUCCAGCAUGUGCAAUGCCCACAGCCCCCCAAAGACUUGUUCUUUUUUUUUUUUUCCUUUGGUACUGGGGAUUGAACCCAGGGGCACUUAACCACUGAGCCACAUCCCCAGUCCUUUUUUGUAUUUUAUUUAGACAGGUCUCAACUGAAUUGCUUAGGGCCUCAGUAAGUUGCUGAGGCUGGCUUUGAACUUGUUAUCCUCCUGCCUCAGCCUCCCAAGACCCUGGGAUUAUUGGUAUGCGCCUCUGUGCCUGGCUCUGAGUGCCUUUUUCUGAGGUGUCCUUCCACUCUUAACUAAGAGGUUAGACGUCUAAGGGUGGCCUGCAGUGACAUCCUCGUACAUCCUUCCAGAACCCUCAGGUGGUCACUGAAGUUAAGGCCACCAGUUUCUCCCUCAGGUCCAAGGAUCUUUUUAUCUCCUGUAUUUUAUUUUUCAUCUUUAUGAAAAGGACAUAGGCAAAUGAUACAAAAUAAAAUGGUGCACAGGGUAUUCAGUGAAAGGUACAUCCAUCUCACUCCCAGUGCCACGGCCCAGAGGUCCCCACCAUUUCUGCAUCCUGCUAUUCUGGGUGCUUGGGAUCGAGCACAAACAGCACAGUCAGGUCCCUGCCAUCUAGUAGGAGUCGAUGGCCACAAACAAGACAUGUGAUCGGAUGAUCAUAGAGCAUGCUAGAAACGGUGAGUGCUAUAAACAGAAAUGGGCAAAGGUGGGGGCAGUGUUAGAAGUCACCGAGGCCACACUGAACAAAGUCCGGAAGGAGAAGAGGGAAAGAGCUGCUGUGGGAGAGGAGUCUUCCAGACCCCAGGAGAACAAGAGCGGGCAAGUUACACAUGGCGUGGGGACAGGGUUUGAUUUUCAUUUAUAAAACGCAGAGCCUCACAGAACAGGCGCUCUUCGGAGCACCUGACAUCUGUUAACUCUCUGCUUGUCACAACAAGCCCAGGAACUCUUGUCAUCCAUUAUAAAGGGAAACUGAGGCAUAGAAGAGUUAGGGGAGGUAUCCAAAGUCACAAAGCUAGCGAGUAGUGAGACCUGGACUUUAACACAGGCUGCCUGGCUCUGGGCCUAACCACUGCUCUCCAUGCCCCACAAUAGGGCAGGGGGCUGGGAGAGGGGUGGGGCUGGUCCUGAGAGUGAGGUGGGACCCUCAGACAGUCUUGAACACAGGAGUGACAGGUGCAUUUGCUCAGAAAAUCCUGACACGCCACAUGCUUACCUGUCUAUGUACCUGUACAUGAAUUUGUCCUUUAGGUUGGCCAAUAAAUUUAAUGCUAAACUUUAAAGCAAUUUUCUUUCUUAUAAAUAUUUUUUAAUUGUUGAUGGACCUUUACUUUUUAUUUACUCAUAAGUGGUGCUAAGGAUCAAAGCCAGUGCCUCACACAUGUUAGGCAAGCACUCUAUCACUGAGCCACAACCCCAGCCCUAAAGCAAUUUUCAUUUAUGGAAAGAAGAAGGAGGUUUGCUAUUACAUAUGCUUUAGUUAAAGACGAUAUCAAACAAUAUUUCGGUCAUGAGUAAUUGCUUCUAUUUUUAAAGUCCUACAAAUGUCUAUUCUGGGGCUCUGGCAAUACUUGUACCUGUGACCAGGUUUCCUUAGGACAACAGAUCAACUUUUUUGUUUCAACAAUUCAUUGGUAUUUUACAUUCACAGUGUUGUGCAACCAUUGCUACUCUCUGGUUCCAGAACACUGUGGAAAGAAAGUCCCACACCUGUUACUCUCAGUUCUCCCCUACCCCUGGUUAACCAUUUCAAUUAACAAUGGUAUCUUAGCCACGGAUCUAUAUUCCUCUCCAUGGAUUUCCCCUUUUUGAGCUUUUCACAUAAGUGGAAUUAUGCAGUACAUGACCUUUUGUGAUGGGCUUCUUCACUCGUUUUCAAGAUCCACCCCUUUUGUAGCAUUAUUAGUCCUUCAUUCCUUUUUAUGGCUGAAUAAUACUCCUUCUAUGAAUCUACCACAUUUUGUUUAUCUAUUCAUCAGCCUGUGGACAUGUGAGUUGUUUCCCCUUCUUAUCUGUUAUGAAUAAUGCUGUAAGAAACCUUUGUGUACAUGAAUUUGUGUUAACAUCUUUUAUGAUUCUCUUGAGUAUGUUCCUAGUGAAAUUGCUUUGUUUUACCACAACUUUUUAAAAGAAUGUUUAGUUGUCAAUAGACCUUUAUGUUUUAUUUAUUGAUAUGUGGUGCUGAGAAUCGAACCCAGUGCCUCACACAUGCCAGGCAAGCACUCUACCAUUGUGCCUCAACCCCAGCUCCAACAAAUCAACUUUUAAUCACAGUGUGUUGCUUAACACCCUACUACGUGGAGAAAGGAAACAUAUAGGAGCAGGUGAUGGCUUUAACAAAUGUCUUCUCAUGUCAUAUUUAUAGGAGAAGGUGACAUAUUAGUAGUGCGUCCUUCUUGGGGUUUCAUGAGUUAGUUGGUCACUGGAGUUUACUGGAUAUAUUCUCCAUAAAGAUCCAUACAUCAGAUGGGGAGUGACUUUAAGGAGUCACCCCUAAAAGUAAUCUGAGGACUGAGGCUUGAGCAACCAGCCUCUUCAAGGCUCCCAAGAGCAGGAUCAGUCUGGAGAAGCGUUGAAACAAUUCCGGAGAACUCAGACUAAUAUUGAUGAUAUUUUUUUGCAUUCACUAUAUGUCUAGCAUAAUGCUAAGGACUUUGCAGCUUUUUCAAUAGAUUCACAUUCUCCAUACUGUAGCCACGAGGCACAUAUGGCUCUUUCUUGAGUGCUGGCAAUAUGGUUGGUCUAAGUGGGGAGAUGCCAUGUGGGUCAAGUCACUCACUAAUAUUUCCUACAAGUUGAAAUGAUAAUUUGGACACGAGUAAAAUGUAACACUAAAAUUAAUUUCACCUGUUUCUUUUGCCUCUUCUUAGUGGGCUACUCAAACAAUUUAAAUUACCCAUGUGUUUCACAUUGCGGCUCACAUUAUAUUUGUAUUGGACAGCCCUUGUUCUAGAUUAUUCCUCACAGUAAUUUGAUCAGCUGGACAGUAUUAUCAUCCCCACAUUAUGGGUGAGGAAAUUGAGGCUUAGAGAGCUUAAGUAAAUUGCCUGUGAUCACACAGCUGUGGCUUAAGCGCAAAUCUGUUUGUCUCCAAGCCUCAAAUCUUACCCAUUACUCUGUGCUGUCUCCCCCAGUCCAGAAAUACAACCCAUGUAACACAGAAACAGUUAUGAUCAUUAGCUAUGGCAAAAAGCUGUCUCCAUUACAGAGUACAAGAAGAGUGGCCCGUGCCAUUCCAUAAGGUAGAAUUUAAAGCUAGUUGAGGGGAAUUGCUUAUGGGCAGGUUUCUUAAAUGCUCACUCUUUGUUUAUAUCAGUGUGGGGUCACCUGCCAAGGACAGAAGAGAGGUAAAGCUUCCGGAACCUUCCUUUCAUUUCUCUGACCUUGGCUUUCCUUGGACGCUCAGGUGGCCGCAGCUCUGACCCUCCAAGGGAGAGGGCGGACAGCAGGGUGGAUCAGUGCUCCAGCUUCAUCCCUGCCUCUAGCAAAGCAGAAGGCUUUCAUUUCUUCCUGUUUCAUUCAAAUGUCAAUGGAACAUUCCUCACAGCAGCCCUGCCUUCCUCUAGUUGCAGUGGGAAGGGAAACUGUGAAGGAGACAGCCCUUCUUGUUCCUUUAACGUUCUCUCAAACACACAUCUUAACUCUGCCACGUCUUUCCUUUCCUAAGGGCCUCCGUGUUCCUCGCUCACAAAGUCUCGUGCUAGUUAAUGCUAGCUGUUACUAUUUUUUAAAUGCUACGACUUAGUUUUAUUUGCAUUUUUACUUAUACUGGUGUAUAGCGUGUAUCAUGAGUAUAAUUUGCUUAUUUAAUUUAUUUAAAGUUCCAAGGAGGAAACCCAGUUUAGGACACAUUAGCUCUUUGACUAUUUUUGCAAGUUGGGAAAACGGGGGACUAGGAUAAUGGCGAAUUGUACUUGGCCACUGAACCUCAUUCCCAAAUGUUUAGACCCUUCUCAUAUUUUUAGGGGCUAGAAAUGUUGCUGGGAGCUGUUAAGCAAAGGAAAAGGAAAACAAUCACACACACACACACACACACACACACACUCACACAUGCUUAUUUCUUUUCUUUUUUUCCCCCUAGACUGCAAUUUUACAGCACACAAACUGGCAACUCGAUUCUUAUAAAUGCAACUCAAAAAUCAAAGUCUAGAAAGCCAAAAAGUUUCUCGAGGUGUACGCGGCAUGUGUUUUAUUGUUUGUUUUCCCCUUUUAAUUUAGUUAAAUUUUCACUUUGCCUUACAUAGCUACAUGGAAAAUAAAUCCCAGCAUUUGUUUUUUUGCUUAGUCAUUCUUCUUUAAAAUAACUUAGCGGUUUCAGAUGUAGUUCAGAUGAGAUGACAAUGAACUAUAGAAAGAAGCCAGAAAGAUAGAAUGGUGUUGGGAAAGGUAUAUGGAGCUGGGAACAAGAUGACCUGAAUUCUAAUUCUGUUGCGAGAAUGAAUUAGCAACGAGGCCUUGGGGACAUUAAGUCCCACCAACAUUUUAUUGAACACCUAGUAUGUUCAUGAGUGUUGCGGGAGCUAUAAAGAUGUUCAAGGAACUUAUCACCUACUAGGGAAGGCAGCACAUUCACAAACUGGGGUACUACAUGGUGCCCAGUGUGUGAGUAAUGCCGAAUUUAUGUAAGCACAGAAGGAAAUAAGCAAAAAUGCAGCCAGGGAGAUUGGAGAUGGAUUUGUGAAAUGGUGGUAUUAGGAGUGUAUCUGAGGUGGUCCUAGGAGUGUGGGUAGAAUUUCUCCGUGGGGCUGGGAGGGGAGAAUUUUGUUAGUUUGUUUAUCUUGUUUCAUUUUGGCCAUCCUGGGGAUUGAACCCGGGGGUGCUCUACUGCUGAGCUGCAUCCCCAGCUCUUUUUCGUUUUUUGAGGCAGGGUCUCACUAGAUUGCCCAGGCUGGCCUUGAACUUGCAGUCUUUCUGCCUCAGCCUCCAGAGUCGCUGAGAUUCCAGGUGUGUACCAGUGCAGCCGGUAGGAAGGGGCUUUUAAAUAGAAGGUUCGAGGAAGGAGAGACCAUGUGAGCAAAGGUGUGCAGAGCUGGUUCAGGAAACUUGUUAGACAGGAAGGCAGUUCCUUCUGAGUAUUAACAGGCGAUAAGUUUUAACUACUAGAUUAGAAUGGAAUUGUGGCAGGGCUUGAAUUUCAUUCUGAAGAAUUGGAACCUGGUGCAGAGCAGGGUGACAGCAAAGGUGAAGAGCAGACCAGUGAACUAUCAGCCUUGCCAGAGUGACAGUUCUGGAAGCAAGGGUGGCCUGAGUGGAGGAGCAAAGAUAGAGAGCGGGGAUGGAGACCAGUCAAAAAACUCUCAGGGCAUGUCUAGGCCGCGGGACUGGAUGGGGAAGGCAGAAGCAGGAGAUCUUUUGGAGGGAACGUUGACAGGGCUUGGUGACAAUUAAUUUUGAGAUAUAAAAGAUGACCAUGAACCGGGCUCUGAACAUUAUUGAGUCAGAUAAUAGAGUUGCCAAGAAAGGAGGAGGUCACUAGGAAAGAUGCCGAGUUUGGUUUUGGGCAUGUUUAGUCUAUUCUGAACACGUUGGCUAAAGUAAUCACAGAAGACGCGAGCCAGUUCCCAGCUCCUCCUGCUCAAACACCUCUGUGUCUUCUCGUCUUACUCGAAGGAAAAGAAUCUUUCAUGGCCAGUAAGUCCUUACCCGCCCUGCUGUCCCCUUUCCUUCUGACCUCAUCUCCUUCCACCUUCCCGUCUUCUUACAGGCCAUAUGGGCCCAGCAUGGAUCUGCCUUAGGGCCUUCAUGUUGUUUCUGCCUGAAACUCCUUCCUCAGACAGUUCUCCUUCUUUUCCUCCUCAUUUCCUUCAGCCCUCAUUCAAAUGUCAACUUUUUAAAAAGGCCUUUCCUGGAUUGAAUCGUCCUGUCUGAAACAGCCACGUCCCCCACUCUCCUCUCCUCUGUAGCACCCAUCACCGCCUGACGUACUAGAUGUUUACUGCUUUAUUAUCACAGCCUGGAAACUGAAGCUGUAAAAAGAAAAUUAAUAAUGAAACAAUCCAGUGUUUUCAAGGGCGCCGUGAGGUUUGUCGCUUCCACACACCCUUCUUGGGACUGGGAUGAUAAGUAAUUUGAAGGCAGUCUGGCAGGUAAGUAUGAAGAGUUCAUAAAAUGUUUAUGUCCUGGAACAUUUUGUUUUGGAAAUUCUGAAAGUCAAUUCUAAGAAGGUGAUCUAAAGCAUGGAAAAGAAAAUGGGCAGGGAAACGUCGAGUGAAAUGUGAAAUAUUUAUAAUAUCCAAAAAGUUGGAAAGAUUCUCAACGUCUAACAAUAUAAGAUAGUUAAAUUAAGUAAAUUACUGUUCAUUUGCUUAAUGAUAUAUUAUUCACUUGUUAAAAGGAGAGUUAUGAGAAGUUGGUUAGCAACAAGGAAAAUGCUCAUGAGAUAAUUUAAAAGAACAGGAUCCACAAUUGUAUACCCUGUGAUUUUGAUUUCAGUUUUCUUUAAAUAUGCAUACUAAAAAAGAUGAGGAAGAAAUUAACCCAAAUGCUGCUAUCAAAUGUGCUAGGCUAAUGGGAUUCCAGAUGGCUUAUUUUUUCUAAAUCUUUUGGAUUUUCUGUAUUUACAUUAUAUCGUUGUUGUAACGUGGUUAUUUGAUUUUUAAAAAUAAUUCGUUUUUUAAAAAACACUCAAAAGAAACUGUGGCUACAACUCAGCUCACCCUCUAGACUGCACUGUUGGGUCUCAGUGCUCUGUGUGAGCUUCCGGGUUGAUGGACUCUGCUUUUAGCACCAAGGGCCACCCACAUAGACCACUGGCCCUGCCACUUAUUAGCCUCCCACAUCUCAGUGACCCUCAAAUUGACUCCUUCCUGGGCUCUCCUUCCCUGCAUGUCAGACUGUGUUCUUCUGAUUAUUAAGUUCACAAUUAUUAAACAAUAAAGGCUAAAAAAACACAACUUGCCCCCAUGCACCUUGAUGACAUUUAUACAUGUGGGUUUAGGCUAGGCCACCUUAUUAACGGCACUUAUUUUAGUUACCCCUGGGUAGACAUCUAGGGUUCUCCAUAUUUCUGUUCUCCAUAUUGCUGAUCACCAGCUGAAAUAUUAUAUAUUUACUUUUUAUUAUCAUGACUGAGAAACUGAAGUUAUUAAAAAAAAUAAUAAUAUUCCAAUAUCUACCCACUAAGCACCAGGUAAACUCUUUGUAUAUAUAUGACCUCAUUUUAUCCUUACAAGCCAGAGAAAGAAGUGCUACAUGUUAGAGAUGAGGAAAGUGAUGCUUAGAGACAUUAUGUCAUUUACUUCCUUACAAAGGAAGCUACCAAAUUGGAAUUUAAAUCCUCAUUUUGGGGCUGGGGGUGUGGCUCAGCGGUAGAGCACUUGCCUAGCAUGUUCGAGGCCCUGGGUUCAAUCCUCAGCACCACAUAAAAAUAAAUAAAUAAAAUACAGGUAUCGUGUCCAACUACAACUUAAAAAAAUAUUUUAAAAAAUAAAUAAAUCCUCAUCUUUCUGACCUCAAAUUCUGUUGCCUUAGCUGUUAUGUUGAGGAACAUGUAUCAAUUACUGAAAGGGCCAAAGUUAGUAUGUUACGUAGACAUUGCCCAGGCAGACUAAACAAUUGAGAAACUGAACAACUCAACCUAAAACUCAUCAUCAAUGGAUGCUAAGUGUCUUUAUGUCUGAGUUAACCAGUCAGAUGCUUUAAACUUUCCUGGUAUACGUCCACGGUAUCUUCAAUAACUAUUUGAGACUCUAAAAUAACAAUUUAAAGUAUUUAACUGUUUUGGUCAUCUACAAUAUUCUAAGCAGUUAGUUAUUAGAUAAAAUUUAAUUUUAUCUGCUUUGAUUGAUGCCCUCCUUUGAAGAAUUUAGCAGCUUUCCUUGGGACAAACAACAACUUAUUUUGAUAAAACAAAACCCUUAGUUAUUAAAUAUUAAUAACUAGCCUUUAAAAAUGGUUAGUUGGACUUCAGAAUUGAGACUAUUAAUAGGAGAUAUGUACCAUGCCAAAAGGAAUGUGCACAUGUUACAACUAAUACUAUUUCAGAGGAAAUUUCUAACAAAAAGAGAUUUUCCAUGCAAUAAGCCAUUUAUUUCAAGCAACAGAAAGUUUAAUAAAGACCCUAAACAAAUCUGUUGUAGGAUGAAAGAAGGAAUUGAAUUGAAUUUCCCAGGAAAUAUCACUCAUAAUGUUCACCAGCCUAGCAGUGUUCUUGAAUGGCUUCUUUGGCUAAAAUCCUACAUUGAAAUGCCUUCAGCUCCUGACAUAGGUAUGAGCAGCCAUAACAGGACUGUCCCGGCCAUAGCUAACAUUUUUGAAAACUUUCUGUGGGCCAGAAUUUGCGGCACACUAAACUUAGUUAUUUCAUUUUAAUGUCCAGCAUCCAAUAAAACAGGCACAAGUGCUAUACUUGUUUUAUAGAUAGUCAAAGAAACUGAGGCAUAGAUAGGUUAAGUAACUUGUUCAAGGGUCCAUACUGAAUAAAACACCAGAUAUGUUAUAUUGGCUGUGUCACCUUCUCUGUCAUGCUGAGUGAAUAACAUUUUUUAAAGGAAUGUUAAGUUAAACUAUGGCUUUUAUAUGAAAAAGAAAAAUGAAGGGCUUUUCGAAUUGCUGCAGUUCUUAUAUGCCAGUGAUUAAUUCCAUUGGAGAAUUGGUUCAAUGAGAGUUCAGAUUUUAGAAGUCCUAAAAGUCUGAAAGCAUGUGUUUCCUUUGGAUCUUUUGUGCUUCCCUCUUGGCUCCUUCCCGCUCUGGCUGGCUGUAAGAUGGUUUCCUCUUGGGUGUGUGACUGCUGGAGCUGUCCUUGGUCUGAGAGGUCAGAAGAGGAAAGUCUUGCCUGGGGUCCCUGACUUCUCACAAGGCUGUUGCAUUGCUCGGCUGAUUCAUAAAAAUCCUCCAACAGAUUAAGAAAAUUGUCCAGAGAGGCCAUGAGAACUCUAAAGGACUCAUCCUAGUACAUUGUCACCUUUCUCUCCAUUUGAGCAGAGUUUUCCCAACUUAGAUCAGGAAGCAGGGAACCUGGACUUCACUUGUUCAGUAAAAUUGUGUCGAAUUCCCAUUUUGUGCACAAUACAAUUCUAAACUCUGCAAAAGAUCAAGAUAUCUUCGCUCUCAAAGAUUUUACUGCAGUGGUAAGACACUCUCACAUACAAAAUUAAACAGCCCAACACCAGAAAGAGAUGAAUCAGAAGCCAGCAGAGUGCCUGGAUACUAAGUGUUUGAAAUCCAAGGCAGGGUGAUGGGGAGGAAGUCAGUAGAUGCUGAAGCAGUGGAGAGAAGUUUAUCAUAGGACUUGAAGAAGAGGAAGCUACCCACAGCACUGAGUAUACAGUAUCACCUAACUUGUGUAUGUGUAGAAGGAUACCUAGCAAGUAAGAAGGAGGGAUGCCUUAGUCUGUUUUCUUUUGCUAUAAUAACAAUACCACAGACUGAUUAAUUUAUAAAGGAAAAAAAGUUUAUUCAGCUCAUGAUAAUCCCAAGAGCAUUAUACUGACAUUUGCUCACCUUCUGGUAGGGGCUUAGAUGCUGCAUAACACUGCAGAAGGGCAAGAGGGUAGGAGCAGGAAGAGAGCAGAAGAGCUCAAACCUGCUCUUUUCUACAACUCUUGAAAUAAUGAGCGCAAUCCCAGGAGAACUCACUCAGUUCUGAGAGGAGGGUAUUAACCCUCUAAACCCUCCUACAAUUCCCACCCCUGACCAAGACACAUUGGGAACUGGAGUUCCAACUCUAGAGGGAAUGCAUUCAAAGUGGGGAGAAGAUGCAAUUGGUGGGUGAUGAGGGAGGGGAAGGAAGGACUAGAAUUCAUAGGGACUUUCAGUUCUUACUGUACUUCUUAAAUUUCUAUAUCGUUUAGGUUUUUCUCCAGUGAGAAUGUAUUCAUGCAUUCUUUUUUAUUACUAGGAAAUAUGAACUUACUCUGAAGGGAUAGGACUUGGGAUUACAGAAUCAAAGGAAGAAGGUUGUUUCAGGUGAGAAGAACAGCUGGAGAAAAUGUCUGCAGGUGACAAUGUACAGGGUGUGUUUAGAGAUCAGUGAGAAGCAUGGGACCUGCAGAAAAGGGAUGUAAUAGGACAGUGGGUUGGGGUCAGGUGGAGGACAGCUGUGAACACAGAACCCGGUGAAGUGAGUCUUUCACCUUUGACCAGAAGCAAAGAUAAGCCUUUGAUGACUUGGCUUGGAGUUGAUUAAUUUGGCCACACAAAGGUUAAUUUAUAAGCAGGCACACUUGGAAGACCCAGCAAAGUGAGAUCCAUGAAUUCAAAUCUACCUUUCUUGGACUCCAUGGAAGUCCAUGAGAAUGUCUCCUACAAUAACUUCAGCAAGAAAGGCCAAAGAGACAUAAAUCUGUUGGUAGAGUCUUCAAGAAACUGAAAAAUAAAAAUGCUGUCAGAUGCGAUGGGGGAGCAGCCACUUACACUUGAUCCAUAGUAUUAAUUCCACUAUAAAUCUUUAUGUAAUAGUUGACAUCUGUGUUGAAUGAUUCAAAUGUAUGGAGGAACAUGUUAUCCCUAGCAUAUGAGAAAGGAUGGAUUCAGAAAAAAAUCCAUCCAAAGGAUGGAUUCUGUAAGUCAAGUAAAAAUUAUUUGAUUUAAAAAAAAUGAAAAUCAAAGAAUUCUAUCACAGGUUCUUUUUGCGAAUUAGUCCUUUCUUUGGGUAAAUUGAUUAAAUCAAUAUUUUAUUUAAACUUAUGUUUAUAAUGACAGUACUAAUCAAGUGUACACAUUAUAUUUUGGACAGACAUGCAGACACUCCUUCAUACAGCAGAAAUCUAUGGCUACCUGGGGGUGGGGAAGUAGCUGACCUUCCGGCUCAUCUAGGAGGACACAAACCCUAAUAUGAGGAAAAAUCCCACAGCUAGUUGAACUUGAGUUAUGCAUUGUGACUCUUUUCCCAGUGAUUGGAGGAGAUGAAUUUCUUUAUUGACCAAGUGGAGGAGGGACACAUCAGAGUCCCAGAAUGAUGAUGUGAGAUAGGUUUAUAAAAGCAGUCUGCAUCUCCUGAAAUGAUCUUGUAACCCCAAGUGCUAUUUGAGGAAGAAACUGACAAUUGAAGUUAGUCGUCAGUUUUCACUUUCCUCCUUCUUCAGGCUUUUAAGAUGUAAUUCCCAGUGUAUCCUUCACCCCAUGUUCCCCACUCUGCCAUCCCACGCUGUCCCUCCUUUUUCAGAGAGGCAGAUGGAACUCUUAAGAGACAAAGCUGAGUUUCCUUGUCUGGUGAUGGGAAAACAAAUAAGGGGACAAAAUUAUAUGGAAAGAGAGUUUCCUAGUUUUAUUUUCCUGCUGAGAGCCAUAGCCGAGUCAGAAUGACGCAUGGCAUUUUUGCUAGAACAGAGUGGUUGAGAGGUGACGCCAGCAAGCCAUUGAGAUGAUAAUGGUUAUGUUAAGCUGUGUAUUCAAUUUUAUAUUAGACCCCUGCUGUCCGCCUCCGCCUGCUACUUUGGAGUUCUCCUGGGGAUUCCUGGAGAGUUCCCAUUGGUUGGGGAAGUGCGGGAAGAGGGAUUUCCGGAGGAGGGACUUCCGGUUGGUGUGUGGCGUGUCCUGGGAGAAGGCCGAGUGCGUGGCAUUCGCAGGAGUGCAAAGAAUAAAGGAGUUCCCAUUUUGAACCUACAAGGCUGUGUGGCGGCUCGGUUAUUUUGUGCCCAGCCAGACUGCGGCAUUUUCCUGCUGUCUCUUUUCUUAAUCAUUCAAAAUUUAUUUUGUGGCAUCUCUUCCUACCACAAGGGUGAGGGCAGAGGUAGACCUCUGCAUAUUGGGAGAAGGCAGGAACACGAGAUGACUCUGUACCUUGUGUGAUCAGACAAACAUGUACAUUGUACCAUGACAUUUUUCAGAAUAAACAAUGACCCUUAAUUUUUUUUUCUAAUCAUUUUCUUUUUCUUUCUUUUCUUUGGUACCAGAGAUUGAACCAAGGGGUGCUUAACCACUUAGCCACAUCCUCAGCCCUUUUUUUAUAUUUUAUUUUGGAGACAGGCUUCAGUAAGUGCUGAGGCUGGUUUUGAACUGAUGAUCCUCCUUCCUCAGCCUCUGGAGCCACUGGGAUUAUAGGCGUGCCCCACCAUGCUCAGCAUGCUCAGCUCAAAUCAUUUUCAUGUAGUUCUCGACACUGAAGAAUUUGAGAAGAAUUGAUAAUUCGAUACAGCAAAUAUUUACCUCUAUCUUCCAAGUUAAAUUUAAAAUUGCUCUUAUUGUCCUGAUAACAUUGUGUUAAUCAAAAGGGUUGCAGAAGAUAAGAAUUUAAGAAUCUGUAGACUCCAAGCUUCUAGAAUAAUUCAGACUGGGCAGUUCUGUUCUCUGUCUUUCUCCUCUCUCUUUACUCUGUUUCUCCUCCCUUCUCUUCUCUCCCUCCCUGAUAAAUGGAUGCUCUAUAAAUUCUGAAAGGGUAUAUUAAAAUCUAUCACUACAGUAGUCAUUUCAUAUAUGUAUACAUAUGAGAGAGAGAAAGAGAGAAACAGAAGCUAAAAGAAACUUUUCCCUGAGUUUGAUGUUCUCCUACAUCUGGAACAUCCGUAAAUGACAACAGCUUUAGCAGAGACUGGGAAAGAAUAUUUAUGAAUGCAGAAAUUAAUGAGAAGGUCAUUCAAAGCAGAAUACAAGAACUGGUUUUGCAAUCACACAAAAAUGUUUAAAAGAGAGAAAGGAAUAGAGAUUGGUGAAAAAUAAAGGCUCUAAGACGAUGAAAACAAAUUGUUAGGAAUAGCUAGACAGGAAAUAUUGUAGACCAAAAAGAGAAAAACACCCUCUGUUUACCUGUUUGUAUAUCCACAUCUUUGAGAUGGAACAUGCAAAUGUAUGCAAAAACACAAGCAUUACUCUGAUGAUGCUGUUAUAGAUCCCCAGAAGCAAAGGAACAAGCACCCCAUUCAUUCCCAGAUGACUUGUCAGUUUAUCCUGGGUUUGUGAACUAAAAUGAGUUGGGGAGCUGACUGUCUUCAAUGGAUUUCUGUUUGCCCUCUAAGUUCAGGGCUAAAACUUAAUUUUUAAUAUAAUUGAUAUUUUUAUUAUGGCUUAUUUUAUUAAAAGUAUAUAUCAAGAUAUUGAAUAUUUAUCAUUUGUAACAUAUUCCAUAUAUUUAUAAUUUGCUUAUGUGAAAUAAAUAAUUUAUUAAAAUACACACUUAAUGUUAUUCUUAAUAGAUGCACAUAUUUUCAUAAAUUAAAGUACUUGUUUCUGGAAGUUCUCGCCUUUCCUUACCUAUUCUAUUGUUGUUUCAUACAAGGUCUCUCUAGGUUGCCUAGGCUGGCCUUGAACUCCUGGGCUCAAGUGAUCCUCCUGCCUCAACCUCCCUAGUAACUGGGACCAGAGGCGAGUGUCACUGUACCCAGCUCUAUUUACCUAUUUUUAAAUGUUUUAAAUGCUUCAACAUUUUGUGGGUUUAUAUCAGUUAUUUAUAUUAGUGUUUUCCUUGUUCUGACCAACAGCUCAAUCUAGGAGCCCUAUCUUCUGUCCCCAAAAAAUCUUUGUUAACUUAAAACAUUUAUAUCUGGGGGGGCUUAUAAAGACUUUUUGUCCUAUAACCCUCAUUGACAAAGUUUUUAUCGAUUGUCUUCGACUGUCCUUCAUACUAGCUUUUGCCAGCAAUAAGCAGAAAUAAAGCUGAAACUGUGUCAAAAAAAUUCACUGCCCACAUUCAUCCUUCUUCAGCAGGGUUUACUCUAUAGUGCUCCGCAUUCAGCAACUGUGCCAGCCGGCGGAAACAGCCAGUUGUUGUCUGAAAGGAAGAAUAAUUGGAAACAUGGUGCCUGUUUCUUUCCCUGCAAGCAACAAUCCAUCCAUUUAACAUUCUUUCGGUGCUCUUGAAUUCUGUGGUAGACAGCCUGUGUUCCCUGUUCUGUUGAGGCCAAUCUGAGAAAUGCUGAUCUUCCAGUCUGCUGCUGGCCCUUUCAGUAUGGAACAGUGACAGCCAUCCCAUGGCCCGGCCCCUCUUCACAGAGCUGGUUACACACCAGCAACAUUAUGUAGGUAAAUGGCCAUCGGCUGGAAAGGACUAGGCUGGGUGAGGUUAAAAUUAGGAAAGAGAAAAUUUGGAACUAUUUCAAUCCCUACCCUACAGAUAAAGAAACAAAGCCCAGAAAGGCCAAGUAACUCGCCCAAGGUCACUUUGCUGGCAAGCUGUAGAGCACACAUGAUGGAAGUUGUCAACAUUAUAUAUCCAUAUAAAAAGAUUGCAUAUGCUCUCUUUGUAAGGUAUAAAUAUCUAGUUUAUAUUAUGUUUACUAUUCACAUACAUAUACUCAUAUUAUAUAUAUCAUAAGCUUUAAAUUAAUAUAAUUAUAAUCAUCUGUAUUCUUGCUGGUUUUUAAUGUCAUAUUCUAUCAAGUUCUGUAAGGGGUAUAUUAAAAUCUAUCCCCGUGGUUGUCAUUUCAUUUCAUAAAGUGCUACUUGUCUUUUGAUUUUUUUUUUUUAAAUUUUGUGCUUUGUUUUUUAGUGCAUAAUAGCUGACGACUGUUAAAUCUUUUGUUCAUAUUUUUAUUUAUGCCACAUGAAUUGGGCUCCCUUCAUAUAAAAAAAAGACACUCAAAGAAUAGUGGCUUCGGGGGCUGGGGCUGGGGCUCAGUGGCAGAGCGCUUGCCUAGCAUGUGUGAGGCACUGGGUUUGAUUCUCAGCACGGCAUAUAAAUAAAUAAAAUAAAGGUCCAUUGACAACUAAAAAAAUAUUUUUAAAAAAAGAAUAGUGGCUUCAAUACAUAGAGAUGUAUUUUUCUCAUACAUAAAAGAUGUUUGGAGGCAGGGACACCAAAACUGGUACAAUGGCUUCAUGGUCAUCUAAAUUGCAAACUCUGUCUUUCUAUUCUGCCACCUUUAAUAUGUGGCGUUCACUCUCCAAGUCCUAGUUGCAAAAUGGCUUCUGCAGCUCUCACUAUCACAUACAUACUCUGGGCAGGAAGGAGGAAAAAGAGGAAGAUCAAAAGGAAGAGUUCCCCACAGAAUUGAACUUCAUCAGGCUUCACCCACUAACCUCUGCUUACAACUUAGUAUAAAAGGGGAUGGGAAAAUCAUUAUUUUAGAAGUCUGGACACAUUGCUGUCCUUAAUUAAACUGAGAUUUUGUUAGCCAGGGUGAAGAGAAAUAGAUGGUACAGGCAUCUACCAAUCUCUGCUAUGUACCUUUAAACAUUCAAUCCUCUUGUUUCUAUUUAAUGUUUUUGGUGUUGAAUUUGAUAUUAAUAUUGCUAUUUGUUCUUUUGGAUUUGCCUGAUGUUUAUCUACCCAAUCAUUUAUUUUAAAACUUUCUUUGAAUUGAGUUCUUUAUCCAUAGCUUAAUUUUUGUGGUUGAGCCCAAUCUGAAAGUUUAUCUUUUGCAAGGGAAAUUCAACACAUUUCAACAUAUAUUAUUUUUUAUUCUUAUUGUUUUGUUUUUACUAUUUAUUAUAUACUUCCUUGUUAUUUCCUUUUUUCUUCUUUCAUUAGGUUUUACUGACUUGAUCAUUUGUUAAGCUAUCUAUCCCCCACCACCCAUUAGGUAAAAAGUUUCCCUCUAAGUAAGUGCUUUCAUCUCUUAAAUAAAUAAAUGCCUUUUCCUGACAUAACCAUAUCCUUGUGUCUCAGAGAUUCACCGUGAAAAUGCUGAGGAAGAAAUGCAAUUUAUUUCUUCAAUAGUGACAUAAUAGGCAAGGUCACUGGUGCCAUCUAAUAAUUAAGGAAGCUCAUUUUCCUCAUUUCCUUCAAUAUCAUAAGCAGAUAGCAGCAAAUAUCUUGCCAACUCUCUUAAGUAGAGCUGGAAAUGAGCCCUGGGUUGACCAAGCUGCAACAAACAGCACUUCCCAUAUACCUUUCAGGGUCCACCAAGUUAAGGCAAAAGGAAACCUAUUAUCACCAAAUUCCAAAAGCCUACAUGGGGAUGAAUUAUAGUAAGUAUGUAUCCUUACACUUCUUUUUCUUUAAUGAAUGCAAAAUGAGUUAUCAUGGAUGAUAAGGCAAAUAUCAAGAAGACUGCAGUACAUUUUGUAGCUUGCUAUCCACAUUGCAUUUAUUUAUUUAUUUUUGGUACCAGGGAUUGAACCCAGGGGUACUUAACCACUCAGCCACAUCCCCAGCCCUUUUUAUUUUGACACAGGGUCUCACUAUAUUGCUUAGAGCCUUGCUAAGUUGUUGAGGCUGGCUUUGAACUUGUGAUCCUCCUGCCUCAGCCUUCCAAGUCACAGGAUUUCAGGUAUAUAUCACCACACCUGACCACAUUUGUUUUUAAAGAGGUAUGAGCUGGACACAAUGGUGCACACACCUGUAAUAUUAGCUACUCAGGAGGUUGAGGCAGGAAGAUUGCAAGUUUGAGGCCAGUCUUGGCAACUAAGUGAGAAACCUGUGUCAAAAUAAAAUAAAAAAGGGCUGGGGAUGUAGCAAAGUUUGUUAUAACUUUAUAUAGAACUUGCAUAUGAAAUGUAGCUUUAGAUUACUUGGUAAAAUUAUUGAUUUUUUUAUGCUUCUACAUUUAGGUGAAUAGAUUGUUUCGAAAAGAAACCUUUUUUCUCUUGUCUGGCUCCAAAUUAUACCUUCCACUUCAUGCCACAGCGGUAUACUUGUUCCCAAGAGCAAUCAAGGAUCCUAAAAUUAAGCAAAUAGUACAAGUGCUACCACUUAGAUAGGAAUGCUGCUCUUUUUACCAUGGGGAACAAUAUACAAGAAGAAACCUAAGUUUUAUUAAAGUCAUAUAACUUCUACCCAACUUCACAAGUCUAAUUUACUUCUUUCUUUAAAAAUUAUUUUAGAUCUCUUCUGGGUAUGAUUUGACUAUAAACUGUUAUAUAUCUUGAAAAAUCUUAGAAGAAUAAUUCUAUGCUGCAGACUAUUUGUACUCUGCAAAACAUUUGUAAUAUAUAUGAAAUGAGUUAAAUAAAUAACAUAUUACAAACAAGAAAUUGAAAUAAAUUAAAUAAAUAAGUAACAUAUUAUAUACAAGAAAUUCUCUACCUGGAACAUUUGGGUUAUAAUACCUGUCCCCAGCACAUUCCCUUCCUUCAGUAUUAAAAUCACAGAGAUGCCCCUGAACGUACCUGCCACUCCCCAUCUACUGUUGUGGCCAAGGGUCAAAAAAACAGUUGGGCUGUUGGCAAUGCCUCCCUUCCCAUUACCACUGUCUUCCUGCAACUCUCAUUCCUAGGGGCAUGGCAUCCUAGGAAGAGAAUAAUUAAUAAGUUUAAGUCCCCACUUCCUCCUCUUCUUAGAUACUUCCAUUCUGCUACUGACUAUGACAGGGCUUGGCCUCACAUCAGCCCCAAAGGGUGAGAGGCUGAGAGGGACAAAGAAAAGUGCCUGACAAAAAUAAAAUUAUUCAAAAAAUAUAACUAGAAAUAAGCAUGUCAUCAGGUUUGAACAUUGAAACGUAUUAGUGUAUAGUGGGAGUAUAAUUUUACUGGCUACUCAUAUAUCUAUUAAAAAUGAGACUUGGCCAGGUGUGGUAGAGCAUACCUGUAAUUCCAGCAACUUGGGAGGCUGAGGCAGGAACUUUGUGAGUUCAAAGCCAGCCUCAGCAACUUAGCAAGGCCCUGUCUUCAAAUAAAAUCUAAAAAGGGGUGGAAAGGUGGCUCAGAGGUUUAGCACCCAUAGAUUCAAUCCUUGGUACCAAAAAAGAAAGAGGCUUGAGGAGGAGUUGGGGGUAUAGCUCAGUCGUAAAGCUUGCACAAGACCCUGGGUUCCAUCCCCAACACCAAAAAAAUAAAUAAAAGCCUUAGUAAGAGAAGGCAACACUUAGCAAAGCCAAGUCAUUGGUUUUCUAGAUAUUUCUAGUUUCGUGUUAUUCAGGUUUAGAGAACUCAGUGGGGAAUCAGACAUUUAUAUAAACUAACCUAGAAUAUGCCAUUUAAUUUAACUCUUAGUGUCUCUUUUACUUUCUCUCUAGUUAGAGAGGGAGUCCAGAGACUAAAUUUUAUAUUUUCUAGAAGCAUUCUGAGAAAUAAUUUUGUUGGAAAGAUUUUUUCAAUGUAUGAUAUAGAAUUCUGUUACAACAGGAGAUUGUCUUUUUUGCUAACAACACAUAGGGAAUAAAGACUAUAAACAAAUUAAUUGUUCUUAGAGUCUGUUUUAUAAUGUCAACUCUUUGUGAAAUUUCCCACAUAAGGUACCAUGUUUUUCAUUUUCUUCUCUGCUGGCCUUGGCUUACAGCCAUGAUCUGCCACACUCAUGUAUCAGUGAUGUGCUAGAAUACAAAAUAUACAGGAUCCUUGCCUGGGGUGCAAUUUCAGUGUUCUGCUAGCAGACGCCCUAGUGGGGUAUGAAUGCCUUGAACUCCAUGAUCCUUUGUGAUUGAUGUGAGCAUGACAUGUGUUAGGACUUUUUUGGUUGGCUUACUCGGAUUUCAAUCAAAUGUUAAGGUAACUAUGGGGUAAAAUGCACUAGGGAAUGUAUUACAUGGUAUCAGAAAAGAUGCAGAGUGGCUUUUCUACUCAAAUAAAAUUAAAUCCUGAGAAAUAAAACCCUCAAAGGAACUGAAUGUAGAGGAGAAAGGGAAAGACAAUACCUUAUCAUUAAAAAUCAAUCAGAUAUUUACUAAGUGCGUCUUCUGAGGAUUCCUUACAUUUCAGUAGCUAGCAGAUCUGGGUUUACAAAAUAGUCUCACAUGCAUUAUCUUAUUUGAUCCUCCCAACAACCAGUGAGAGAAGAGAGGCAAUCUAAAGAUGAGAAAAUUGCAUCUCAGACUUAAGUGCUUCCUGAAGACCUUACACCCAGCUUCAGAGAGUGGAGGGGCACUGAAAUUCCCCCAGUCUCCACACACUCUGUCCUGGGUUCACUCUUCCUCCACCCCUGGGUAUUGUGCUGUGUUUGGUUCUCCAAAGGAAUCUAAAGAAGUGAAGACAUGAUCUCAGCCCUUAGGAAGUUUAUGAUCUUAGAUGGGGAAAAUGCAAAUUUUCAUAAUGAAACAAGCAGAGAAUCCUUAAGUGUUAAACUGUAGUACGCAGGCUAUAAAUACAACAAUUGGAUUAUUUUAAUUGAAAAAUAAGGUGCUAUAAAUUCUACUCAAUGCCCUGAAAAAAAAUAUGUGAAUAGGUAUUUCUGAAGGUUUUCAGAUAGGCCAUCAACAUUUUCCAUGAUUAAUUCUUAUUUAUUUAUUUAUUAUUUUUUGGUAGUGGUGAUUGAACCCAGGGGUGCUUAACCACUGAGCCACAUCCCCAGACCUUUUCAUUUUAUUUAUUUAUUUUAUUCUGAGACAGGGUCUCACUAAGUUACUUAGGGCCUUGCUAAAUUUCUGAGUCUGGGCUUUGAACUUGUGAUCCUCCUUCCUUAGACUCUCAAGUCAGUGAGAUCACAAGCAUGUGCGACUGUGCCCAACCCAUGGUUAAUUCUUGACCAGGAGAAAAGCCAACAAACACAAGCUUGCACAGUUUUACAAGGACAUCUGGUUGACUGGAGGACCAAAUUGUUGAGUCCGUGAUCUCAUACUGGCCUCUGUUGUUCCUCUGUUGUACUGGAAGUCUGUAGGAGCUGGUCCUGGCCUUGAUAUAUUUGUUAGGUCCUCUAAAACAUCAGUGGAGGCCAUUUAGAAAGGCCAGUUGGCCUCCUGUUAUUUACCUAAUUUGCAAAGGGAGUAAAGAAAAGGAUGCUUUUUUUUUUAAGAAAACUGCCAAGAGAUAGGAAAAUGGAAUACAUUUGCUCUGUACUCAAAGGGACCACGGACUUCUAGGCUCUGUGGAGAUCCUGUGAUCAUUUGAAUGUUCUACUAUCCUAAUGUUCAAACCUAACACUUUUCAAAUCCCUAAUUGUUUUAGAAGCAAAAUUCUAUUCCAACUACCUGUUUUUUGUCUUUUCGGCAGAGCAAGCCUGUGCUGAGAGACAGUUGUGGGACAGUCCCUGUCUGUCACUGUCUUUGUCUUCCCUAAGGAGUUGAUGUAUUGCUUGAGAGGCCCCAUGGGGACUUCCAGAGCCACAGUGAGUGACUGGCCCCAAAACUUUUACCAAAAAUUUCCCGUGCCAGCUUCUCAAGCAUUGUAGCAAUCCUGUGUAGUCUUCCUCAAAAUGCCCUUUGCUUCAGCAACUUAACAACAGUAAUUUGUAAUAUAAGCUGGUGCCCCUGAGACAUUGCAUCCUCUUCAUCUUCUCAACACCUAGUAAUGUCCAGAGCAGAGAUUUUAAGCUCAUCUCUGGAAUAGGCUGGCAUGGAUGAUUCUACUGGACGAUUCUGUUCACCACCAGGGAAGACAGACAAAGACAGCCUGCUGAAGGUGCCUGGGAGUCACUCCUCAAGCGCCAGUGAGUGCCACCCAAAGGGAGGAGAGGAUGGUGGGGGAAAUCAGAUUGCAGCUCAGAAUGCAAUUGUUACUGCAAGAGCGGAAUAAGAGCAGACCUUGCAGGUUCCGCCAAUGCUACUCACAACCCUACUCACACGAAGCACUUGAGUGUCAACGUGAACACAAUGUCAUCAACUUGUAAGCCCAAACAUAUAACCACUGUCACGCAUGACCUCGCAGGCGCCUCCUUUGGAGCCGUUUUUCCAGGGGCAGAAAUAGGUUAAUGCUGAGUCAGUCACUAGCUUUCAUUUCACCCCACAGGUGUGAACAGGGCCUCUGGGACCCGCUCUGUCACCUACUGGGUGUGUGAUCUUGGGAAGGUUAUCUAAAAAUUCUCUAUGUCUUCGAUUCCCUGUAUGUGAAAUGGUGAUAAUUAUAUCAGCUCCCCCAUAAAGAUGUUAUGAGGAUUAAAUGAGGUUAGAAAUAUAUGGAGCUUAGAACAUGCUAGAACGUAUUCUGUACUGUGCUCAUCUAAUAUUAAAGUCUUUGCUCCAGACACUGUUAGGUUUUGAGAAGUGAAAACAAAGAAUAGGCAGUUUGUGCCUCCGUGGGUGUACAAUCUAUAUUGUAAAUCGUUGUUUUAAUGAUUUGUGUAGCCUAGCCCAAGAGUCAGAAAAUGCUCAAUCAGGGUUUCUGAAUGUGAUUGGCCUGGGGAAACAAGCAAGUUAUACCACCAAUUUUAAUUAAAUGACAGUAUAUACAAGUGUGUUGUGUAUAUAUACGAGUUCUGGUUCCAUAGAAGCAUUACCUCUUUUAUUUAUUAGUUCUGUAGCAUGAGUGCUGAGACUGAGUGUGGUCUGGAGGUUGAGGGUAAGGAGGUGGAGGUGCACUCGGGGAAGUCUUCCAAGAGGCUGUAUCAUUGAGCUUGGUUUUGAUCAGUGAGUAGGCGUUAGCCAGUAAGAGAAGAGGCCUAGGAGUGUUCCAGGCAGAAGGAACAUUGUGUGCACAGUUAGAGAGGCGUGAAAUAGCACAAUACAUUCAGGGAACUCCAAGUAGGCAAAGUACAAGAGCAGCCCCAUCAUCAGUGUAAUACACAGCCUGUGUUUGUGAAAUGAGUAUUUGAGAUUAGAGGCUGUUAAAUCAAACAAAACAAAGGAGACAUUGCUUGUAUCAUUCUGGUCUUUAGCAUUAACUAAACAACCAGCCAAGGACAAGCGGCUCUGGAGUUUUAGUGACGCGGUAUUGUAUAAGCCUGGUAUAAGCGCUCUAUAGUCAGUCCCGUUGUGUAUCCUAGAAGAAGUCAGUCCACUCAAUUUGUCUUUUAAUUUUUUUUUUCAAAGUAGUAGAGGUGAAUUAACAAUAAAGUUGAUGGAAUCAUGGUAUAGGUGAAGAUGUUUUGGAAUAGUCAUAUAUUGCUCUAGAUCAGAGGUCAGCAAGCUGUGGCUUGAGAACCAAAUCUGGUCCAUGGCCUGCUUUAGUACUUAAGUUUUACUGGAGCGCAGCCAUGCUCAUUUGUUUGCAUGUUGUCUGUGGCUGCUUCAGCGCUGCCACAGCACAGCAGACUGUACAGCCUGCAAAACCUGAAAUAUUUCCUACUUGGCCCUUUACACUAAAUGUUUGCCAAUCCUUACUCUAGAUUCAGUUUUCCUAAUCUGAUAAAUCAAAACCAAUAUUUAAAACAAGGGCUUGGGUUGGUUGAGAACCAGUGUGAUAAACAAUAGGUUUAUUGGAUUUUUUUUUAAAAAAUUCACUAGUAAGGAGCAAGAAGAUUGCAAAUAUGUUAGCCAUAAAGUAUGAAAUAUACACAAAAUAAAUGAAUAAACGUAGAUGCUAGGAUUACCUUUCAGAUUUGACUCUGAGACUCCUGGCUGUCAGAUACAAACUAAAAGACAGGAAUUGUUCCUCUAGUAGUUACCUAUUUCCUUAUAACAAAUUAUCUGAAAAUUUAGAGCCUUAAAGCAACUGUCCUUUAGUAUGUCUUAUGAAUUGGUGAGUUAGCUGGGUGGUCCAGCUGAUCUUGGUGGACUUGUUCAUACAGUGGUCAGCUGGCUUGUUGGCUUGGGGCUGGCUGGUCUAGGGUGACCUCAGCGGGGGACAGUUCAUCCCUCCUGCACACACUCUUGUCCUCCAGCAGGCUGGCCUGGGCUUGCUCAGUUAGGAGUGGGAGGUUUCGAGAGAGAAAGUGGAAGCACAGACUUGAGGCUAGCUUGGAAGCAGCACACUGUUACUUCUGUUGCAUUCUAGUGGCCAAAGCAAGUCAAAAGGCCAGCCCAGAUUCAAGGGGGAGGGAGAAUAGACUCCCAUUCGUGAUGAGAGCAACUGCAAAGUCACAUUGCAAGGGGAAGGGAAGCAGGAGGGAUGGAAUUGAGGCCACGUUUAAAAUCACAAACAAUCAAUCAUAAGCUAAAACAGCAUGUAUCCUGACCACGCAUUUUUAAAAAGUCAUCUCUAUGGUCUCAAGUGGAAAGAAAUAUUCAUCAUACAUGUCUCUUCAGCCCCACCCACAGAUAUGAAUCAUCAGUGUCUUCGACUAAGAGGACCAUUAUCCUGUAGCUAAUGACAGAUACAGAGGAGGAGUGGAAAGAAGCCUGAACCAGACCUGUACUCAAAUACCACUUGACAGAUUUCACUAGGAACCAGACGCAGCAGGUAUAACCAAUGACCAAACUGAACAGCCUUUGUCGCUAAAGUCUAAACUGACCUAUGACAUCCCUGCCAAUCCUUCCAUUCCCCUCCAUCUUUGUUAUCAGGUGGUGGCAAAACUGGUCCCUGAGGACAUUGCUAUCUGUUGUUUCUGGAUGUGACUGAAAAGGCAAAAAAAUGGGAUAAUUUUUUUUUUUAACUCACCAGCCAUGGGAUGAUUUUUUAAAUUUCUUGCUAAAAAAUCUUCACUAUUACAAAUUUGCCUUGAUAAAUAAUGUUAAAUAUAAAUAGCAACAGUGAUGUCAGAAAACCUCCUUCACUGUUCCUUUCCUGGUCCCCUAGGGAUGUCAGUAAAAAGACAGCGAACUUGGUAGCCAUUGCUUCUUAGACUAUCUCAAAAUCUUCAGAAAAUCUAAAAGCGAAACUCCCAAACCACUCAGACAAAAAUCACACAGCUUUGGGUUUGAAAAUGUUCUUUCUGGCCCAGAACCAGUCAGGGUCAUUGGACUUGUCUGCAAGAAGCCAAAGCCUUUACACUCAGACUUCAACAGAAAUGCCACUACCAGAAUGCUGGGGAGGAAUGUGCCAGAAUUUAAGGAACUAUUUAGACUCCUGUCGACUGGCAUCAGAACCAGCUGUGAAGGGGACUAUAUUUCAACUUAGAUACAGUGAAAAGGAACAGAACUGUUGACAUUAUUGAAGAGGGUGGAGACAAAAACCCCGGAUGUUUGCAGAUAACUAAUUAAUGCACUGGGGGUUGGGUUAGCUUUGGAAGAACAGAGGACACUUCAAAUUUUGGUUGUAGAAAAUCGGAAGUUAAUCUUGGGCAGGUCACAGAAAGGUUAAAUAGACACAACUACCUGGUGGAGUACCCUAACAAAUGUUGGUUCCCUUUCUCCCUCUGGAUCUCCCACCCAAUUAGGGAUUUCUUAAAAAAACAAGAAUCCUGCCAGCCUGCUUCUACUGGAAAAAUGUCAAGUAGGAUAAGCUGCUGAUAGAUGAUAACAAUCAACAAACUUCACGUUCAGCUGGAGGGAGCAGGGCGUGUCCCCUCUCCUGCCCCUCCCUCCCCUCAUCAUGGCUCAGUAGCAGCACAAAGAUAUUCCCUCCUUCCUGCGGAGGAAGUGUAUGUGUUCUCUCAGACCUACCUUGGCAUUCCUUGAUGUCUUAGAGAAGCAGAUGACCCCGGCUGAGCAAGACAGUCAGCAGAACAGCAGCCCUUGAUGCUGCAUUUGGAAAUUUCCAUUCUUUGCUUGCAGCUCUGAAAAAAAAAAAAAAUCUAAAGAGCCCAGUAGCUGGGAAAUUUCCACGAUGGAAAAUUUUAACAUAUUCUUUAGCUCUAAACUAUGCAGGUUUAUAGACACUUUUUUUUUUCUUUUGGUAAUUUCCUUCUUUAACAAUAAUUUAUGAACAUGGUAACUCUGGCGCUGUGGCAAUAAAGAGGGCAAGAUGACCUGGAGGGGAAUGGGCUCAGUUUGCCCAGUGGGAGUCUACGCUAUAUAAGCACUUGACCACCCAAACCAUAGAAAAGCAGAUCCCUGCAAGACCCACUGGUUGGGAACUUAUCCAAAAUAAGAGAUAAUUUGCCCUGGAGCCCUACACAGAAAUCUGUAUAGAGACUGGAGGUGGAAAGUGAUGGAUACAACUUUGGAGCAGGACAUGGUGAGUUGCUGGAGAAAGCAAUCUUAGCUAGAUCCCUUAGACCACUGCUUCCUAAAUCUAAUUGUGUAUGGGAAUCACCUGCGAAUCCUGUGAAGAUGCAGAUUCCAAUUCACCAGGUCUAGGGUGGGGCCUGAGUCUGUGUUUCUAACUGGCUUCCUUCCAGGAGACACUGAGGCCUCCCUUCUGAGGACCACAGUGUGUGUGGGCAUAGCAAGGCCAUAGACAACAGGUCCUCAUCAGUAUGAGGUCAGUGAUGGCGGUAGCAGAGCACUGCCUGAGGGGGCCGGAGGUGAACUCCUUUGGGGUGAUUUUCUCAGGUUAUGAAGCUGAGGUCUCAGAGCAGAACUGAAUGUCUCCUGGAGAGAUGCACCGUGCCGUUCUGGAUACAGUAGAACUUCUGGAAUAUGGGAACACAUGCCAUUAUCAGAAGGCUGCCUAUUCUAGAAGAUUUCAUUUGGGGGAUUCUAGAAAUCAGUGCCUUUCUAAAGAAACCCCUGUAUCAAGUUGAUGAAGAUUCUUGAACCAGUCAGAAUCAUGUGAAGGGAAAGAGCACCCAGAGAACAAAUUACCUUCAUUCCAGCCAAAAUAUUUGUUUUACUAUUUUGGGGACAAAAUAAAAAGGGAAUUGGAGAAUUUUUCAUUUUCUUAAUAGCUAUCCCACCUUUGAACUACUACAUGAGACAGACAGACAGACAGAUAUAUCAAAGUCUAUGGCAUCUGUCCUCCAGGAUGUUACUUUCACUUGAUCUGUAAUGUGUCUGUUUUGUAUAUUUUUAAAGCAACAUUUGUCCCAUUUUUCAUUUUCCAUUCAAUUGAGUUCUGGAUGGGUUAUUACUCCUUACUUUUCAAAUAAAAGUACACAGAGGAACAGAUGGAAGGAAAGGAGGAGGGAGAUUACAAUCAUGAAAAUGUGAUUGAAGUCAGAGUGUAACAAGCAUGGAAAGAAUUUGAUUACAUAAUAAAAAGAAUUAAUAUAGAUUAAGAGUAAAUAAGUAUCCUAGUAUGCUAACAUCCACAUGAUGUUUAAAAAUUCUAAACAGUAUACAGGAUUGCUUUAGGGGUUUGGGCGUCAAGAGGUUGGUUGAUAUCUUCUCUUUCAGAAAUCUUCACUGUAGGGUCAAGGCAUGAUUCAGCAUUGAAACAGGCAUGCUUAUUACUUGAGUAAAAGAAAUCAGAUGAUCUUUUCUAGGUCUCCAUGAGCAAUUAUUCACCAUUCACCUACAGCCAAUCAAAUAGAAUUUGUUUGAUCCACCUAAAGCACAUAUUUUUAAAAAAAUUCUUUUUUGUAAUUGUAGAAGAACAGCAAGCCUUCAUUUUGUUUAUUUUUAUAUGGUGCUAAACAUCAAACCUCACAUGUGCUAGGCAAGUGAUCUGUCACUGAGCUACAGUACCGGCCCCUGAUGCCCCAUAUUUAAGGAAUACUUUUUAAAAUAGAUUUGAGGUGAAUUUCCAAAAUGAAAGGGAACAUUUUAAAGUGAACAGUUCGCAGGCAUUUAAUAUAUUCAUGACAUUGUGUGACCCACCAUUUGUAUCUAGUUCUAAAACAACUUCAUCACCCCUGAAAGGAAAUCCUAUAUCCCAUGAAGAGGUUGCCUCCCAAUUCCUUCUCCCCCUAUUCUCUGGCAACCACCAACAUACUUUCUUCUCUGUGGAUGUAACUAUUCUGGAUAGUUCAGAUAAGUGGAUUCCUGCAGUAUGUGGCUCAUCUUCUUAACAAUAAACAUAAUAAUUAUAAUAAAAUUUAGCAUUGAGUGUUUAUAACAGGUGAGGCAUGUAAUUAUUUUUUAUGUAUAUAUUUAUUUUUUAGUUGUAGUUGGACACAAUAUCUUUAUUUUAUUUUUAUGUGGUGCUGAGGAUUGAACCCAGGGCCUUGCACAUGCUAGGCGAGCACUCUACCUUUGAGCCACAAUCCCAGCCCGAGGUAUGUAAUUCUUACAACAGACUUAUAAACAGGUACCAUCAUUAUUUAUAUAGAAGAGUGUUAUGGUUUAGAUAUGAGAUGUCCCCCCAGGAGCUCCUGUGUAAGACAAUGCAAGGAAGUUCAGAUGAGAGCUUUAAUCUAGUCAUUGGCUUCAUCUACACAUAUAGAUUAACUAACUGGAUUGUAACUGUACGCUAGAAGAGGUAGGUCAUUGGGGACAUGCCUUUGGGUUUACAUUUUGUCCUUGGUAAGUGGAUCUUGCUCUCUGCUUCCUUGUUGCCAUGUCUCCAGCUGCUUCCACCCACCAUGGCCUUCCACCAUGAUGGUCUGCCUCAUCCUGGGCCCAGAACUGCAGAGUCCACCAGCCAUGGACUGAACCUCUGAGACCAUGAGCCAAAAUAAACUUUCCUCCUCUAAGUUGUUUUUGUCAGGUUUUUUGGUUACAGUGAUAAAAAAUUGACUAAAACAAUGAGAAAAUUGGCACUUGGCUAAAUGAAUUGCCUGAGAUCCAUAAAUUAUGGUUUAACAAGGAAUAACCUUUGGCCAGACCCACUUACACUAGUGCUUUUUCCAAAUGCCACAGCUAUAUCUCAACUUCAUUUCCCUUAUCACAGACAGAUGGAUGGAUACUCCUUCUCAAGUUUAACAACUUCAUAGAACUUGAUUCAAAUACUGAAUGUGUUGUUACUUGCUUACAGCUGCUAUUUCUCUAGCAGUGCAGUAAGUCCAGGCAAACUCUUUUGAAGAGCUCAUUAAAACUGCUAAAAUAAAGUCUUAGAAGCAGGUGCAUUCAUUAGUUGAAAUGCAGACGAUUAUGUUAAUAUCGCAUUCAGGUGACAAAUUUAAAGGCAUCAAAAUCAUGGAGGAUAAAAGGAUUUUCAAAGCUAAAGUUAACUUCUUCCUUUGUAGAACUCUUUGUUCUGUUAAGCAUGUGACUGACUGCAGCUGUCCAACUUGGGGACCUCCAAUGUUAUCUCACAAAAAUAAAGCUGUUUUGCAAUAAUUUAUUUCCCUUACAAAUUCUUGAGCCUCAAUUUAGAAAAAGAAAGAUAAAGAAUUGUCUCCAACCCUGCUGCUAGAUCUGGCACCCCAUUUACAACUUAUUUUCCACCCUGGGUCCAAGGGUAGGGGAAACACAUUUAAAAAGAUGAUUGAAAUAUGUAGGCAGAAUUGGGGACGUAGCUCAGUGGUACAGCCACAUGGGUAAUAUGCUGAGUUUGAUUCCCAGCAUAAAAAAAAUGUCAGGGGGCUGGAGUUGUAGCUCAGUGGUAGAGCACUAGCCUAGCAUGUGUUAGGCACUGGGUUCAAUCCUCAGCUCCACAUAAAAAAUAAAUAAAAUAAGGUAUUGGGUCCUCUACAACUUAAAAAAAAAAAAAGUUGGACCAUGAGCCCUAAUUUGGGAAAGAUGGCUCAUCAACAAUUGAUGAGCCACAUCCUCAGCCCUUUUUAAUUUUUUAUUUAGACACAGGGUCUCACUGGGUUGAUUAGGGCCUCCUUACUAAGUUGUUGAGGCUGGCUUUGAACAUGGGCUCCUCCUGCCUCCGCCUCCUGAGCUGCUGAUACAAGCAUGUGCCACCAUGCCUGGCUUGCCCUUUCUUAAUCUGAAAGAAAUGUUGAGUGUGAAAUGUGUAUGUGACCACAUAUAUAUGUUUGGCAUAUUAUUUACAUAUUUAUUUUGUGGUGGGGUGUUUGGCUGCUGUAUCUAAGGGACCCAACCAGGACAGCUGUAGAGGAAUAAGUUUAUUUGAGGGCUCAUGGUUUUAAAGGUCUUAGUCAGCCAGCUAGACAGCCAGCUCCAUUCCUUGAGGCUCGAGAUGGGGGCGAGGGCAGAACAUCUAGGCAGAACAGUGUGGCAGAGGGAAGCAGCUCAAGUGAUGAUCAGGAAGCUAGAAAGAGGUCUCCCCUUGCCAGAUACAAACGACAAACGACACCCCAAAUUCUCACCUCCUCCAGCCACACCCCACUUGCCUUCAGUUACCACUCAAUUAAUCCCAUCAGGUGAUUAAUUUACUGAUUGGGUUCAAGCUCUUGUAACCCAAUCAUUUCUUCUCUGAACCUUCUUGCAUUGUCUCAUACAUGAGCUUUUGGGGGAUACCUCACAUCCAAACCAUAACAUGGGGAUUGAACCCAGGGGUGGAAUUUGCAAUCCUCUGCCUCAGCCUCCUGAGUAGCUGGGAUUAUACAGGCAUGUACCACCACGUGGGGCCAACAUAUAUGUAUUUGAGAGCCUAUAUGCCAGAAUAUUAAUAAUAGUUCCACCAGAAUAAUUUAAAUUUUCUUUCUCUAUUUUUAUAUUUUAUAAAUUUUCUGCAAUAAAUACAAAAUUUAAAUUUUUUAAAAUUAAUUUAAAAAAUUUUUAAAUCUGUGCCUUUUUAAAAAUUUAAAACAAUUUUUUUUAACUUUUUAAAAAUUAUUUUAUUUGUUUACUUUUUAUGUGGUGCUGAGGAUUGAACCCAGGGCCUCGCAUGUGCUAGGUGAGUGCUCUACUGCUGAGCCACAACUCCAGCCCCCCAAAUUUUUGCUUUCUAAACUUAUUAAAAAUUACUGUGGAGCACAUAGCCCUUCCACAUUCAACAGUUUUACUGGUAAGAUUAGGUUACCAUUUAGUUGUCUAGCACAUGGAAGCUGGGCGAGGUGUUUCUGUAAUUCCCUUCCUCUUCUCAAACCCAGGAUAUCUGUGGAAACAUUGCUUUUUUCCUUUUAGAAAGAAAUAUAAGAAAAUACAGCUCAGUAUCAAGUUACUUAAUAAGAAUACAAGCAUGGUUAAAUAGUUUUAUAUUUUUCUUCAAAACCUAAGUCAAGAGGGCUUGCAUCAAAGUGAAUGUAGCUUACCUCUUGCAAUGGGAAAAGGACUAAAAAACCUAUUUAGGACAAACAUAUUUAUUUUUAAUAUUUUGGUUGUGCUCUCUGUGAAACCUUUGUAAACUAUACUUGACUUUCUUUUUUUAAAAGUGUACAAAAAUAAUUGUGUUACUGAUUAAAACAUAAAUACUGAAGCUGCUAUAGACUUGAACCUUGCUACCAAUAGAACACAUUUAUGUAGUGUGUAUGCAUUGCUCAGUAGCUUGAAAUUAACAAGCUGAAAGACCACUUAUACAGUGUAAUAGUCCUAUUUUUGCCUUUCUCCCUUUGUCUUCUACUUUAUCCUUACCCUGUUCAAUAUUACUAUCUCUUUUUUUCUCUACAUAAUUUAGAAGUCCAUCAAUGCCAUUUAAAAUGAAAAGCCAUACAUAAAGUCAGAAAAAUCACCUUGGGAUGGGAUUGGACAGUACUUUCAUGUAGUAGUACCACAUUGAAAUCAGGGGAUAUGUUCCAAGACCCCAAUGGAUGCCUGAAACCAUAGAUAUUACUGAACCCUAUAAUUUAAUACCUUUUCCAUCUUAAUUAAGCACUUAUCAAGCACAUGGCCAUAACUUUUGCAGUUAGAUGUGUGAAGCAAAACUAGUCCAGAUUUUCUCAGAUAGAACCAUAGACCUCAUCAACCACAGAAUAGUUUUUUUUUUCCUUUCCUUAUUAAGUCAAAACUUUCACCUCUUUCCUUGGUCUGUUGUUGGCAUAUUUGAGUUGUUAGUACCACUACUCUUGUGCUUUGGGGACACUAUUAAGUAAAAUAAAGGUUGCUUGAAUAAAAUCACAUGACACAUAACAGUCAAUCUGAUGAUUGAGAUGACUACUAAGUGACUCACAGGCAGGUAGCAUAUACAGCAUAGAUACAUUGGACAAAGAGGUGAUUCAUGUCCCAGGUGGGAUGAAACGAGAUGGCAUGAAAUCUCAUCAUGCUACUUAGAACAGCAAGUGAUUUAAAACUUAUAAAUUGUUUAGUUCUAGAGUUUUUUAUUUCAUAUUUUUGGACCAAGGCUGAUUUGGAGUAGCCAAAACCUGAGAUGAGGGAAAACUGCUGUAUACCUGCCUCUCUCUCUGGUUAGCAGUAGCCUAGCUGAAUCCUGUUCCAAACUGCCAUAAUAUGUCUCAUUAGCUGAAACUUACAUGGAUACAGCUCCUUUGACUGCUGGACAGCUCCGAGUCUCCUAGCAGUAUUUUCCCACCCACCCUCUUCUCUUUAUGUUUAAUUCUCAGAGCUAACACCCUCACAAAGCUGCAGAUUUUAGACAAAACAAGGAAGAUAGCUAAAAGAGACUCUUGUUCUUCUAAUAUGAUCCAUCACUACCAUAAGAUAAGAGGGUAAAUUUCAAAACAGAAUUUAGAGAUGAACAUGAGAGGUCACCUUAGUCAAGUUUCCUUUUCAUGGAUGUGUUUCUUCUAGAGAGUACCUGGUAGUCAUCCAGCUUGACUUUGAAAUUUUCCAAUGAUGAAAAACUGUUCUACUUUCGCCCCCACUUUUCUCCUGAUAGAUGGGUCGAUAGAGCACAAAUAGCAUUAUAACCACAAUGCCAAAAAGAAAAUAAAUAAAUGAAUCCUAAUCCUUAAAAAAAAUUGGCUUUUUUUUUUCAAAUUUCUAUUACUGAUCCAGAACCCAGUCUCAAGGAAGUAUAACCCCUUAGGAUUCAUGAGGAAUGCAAUGAGGUUGAAUCAUUUGGCUGAAAGACACAGAUUUUAUUGGUCCAGAGUGUCCAUUACACCAUGAGAACAAUACCCAGAAAAGGAAAAUUGUAUAAUUUAUUUAUAAGCCUGAAUACCAGAGUGUUGUUCAAAUCUCUUUCUAAUUCAUCCCCUUUGUCUCCUUGAUGCCUGUGCAACAAAAGAAAAUUUCUGAGAUUAUUUAAUCCAGGAAUCUUGCCUUCAAGGAUAUGCCAACAUUUACAAAGACUAAGUUGAGCAGUGUGUUUCCAAGUUACCUAAAUUUACAUAUUAUGAUUUUCCUUUCAGAAGAAUUAGAGAGUUCAGCAGUAUUCUGAAACAACUAGAUAUGAGAACACAAAGAAAAAUAAUAGCAAUUUUUUUUUUUCAGAGACAGGGGGUCCUAUGGAAGCCACCGGAUAUCCUGUCUUUUCUACACUGGCUACGUCAUCAGACCUUUUUUUUUUAAAGUGAUUGUAAUGAUUAAAGUGGGGUUGAAUUUGGAAAAUCAGUUCAUUAAUAGAGAGGAUAGAAUACUGUGAACUAUAAUUUUGUCUAAGUAAAUAUAAAGGAGAGAGUUUUUGAAUGAUUAUUAUUGUAAUGAAUUGUAAAAAAAUUCAAGUACAAAAGAAUGCAAAGAAGACAAGAAACCACCCUACAUCCAUUGCCAAAUAAAUAAAUAAAUAAAUAACCACCAUAAAUGUUAGGGGUAUAUCAGCUCAGUUAUAGAAGUAAGGAUACUUUAGAAUUUUAAAAGGCAACUUAUAUUUGGGCAAUUGAACAUGGCCUUAUUUAUGGCCCAAUUGAAACAAACACAAAACCUGGCAUUUAAAAAUUAUCUAUUUACUCUGAACAAUUUUGAGAGGAAGGGUAUUAAUUAGAACUUUGAAUCUAUAAGAAAUUCUGAGAAUGUGAAUUCAAUAAGAAUCAACAAAUGUCUUUAAUUUCUUCUGUAUAUCCAUCUUCAAUUCAGCUGCAUCAAAAGUAUAUUAUAGUAAGAUAUGUUUCCCUAAUUCAUUUCAGUUUACAAAUCAACUUUAUACUGACUUUCAAGACCCUGUAAAAUAAUCAGGGCUGCCAGUCAGCUGGUGCAUGCUAGUUGGGCCUUCUAGUUUGUUUAGUCUAUCCUGGUUCCUUGGACAUACAUUUUGAUUGGUCCUUGUCUAUGCUAUAACAGUUAUUAAGUUUUUUGGGUUUUUUUGGUACCAGGGAUUGAACCCAGGGGCACUUAAUCACUGUGCCACAUCCCCAGCCCUUUUUCAUAUUUUAUUUAGAGACAGGGACAGAGUCUCACUGAGUUGGCUAGGUUCUUGCUUAAAUUGUUGGGGCUGGCUCUGAACUCGAGAUCCUCCUCCCUCAGCCUUCUGAGCCGGUGGGAUUACAGGAGCGCGCCACCUCACCCAGACAGUUAUGAAGUAUUUUGAACAUCAUCCCUGAAAUAGGAAAUAGAGGAAAACCUAAUAAUUUUGUCUAGCAAUUUAAGUUUGAAAUACACACUUCUCAUCUGCUGGCCACAUUCCCACUGUUCUUCCCUUUGGAGCAAAUACUGAAGCAAAACCACCUUCUUAUGAUUCUUUUAGUACAAUUUUGUGCCGAUUCAUACUUCCACAUAUUGGCAAUACGUUUUGUUCUCAGGUCGGUAGAUUUCUGUAGGGAAGAGGUGGAUAGAUGGAGAGGCAUGUGGUAAACACCUUGGUCUAUCUGAGGAAGAGGGCGGGUGGCAGUCAUUUUACCCUUGGUCUUCACCGAGGUUCAAGCAGUGACCAGCAAGGCUGUGACAGGAGCUCAAUUCAGCAGGGUUCCAAGAUUAUGGAAAUCACAUUAUUCCUGGGACAGGAGAUUCUGCCAGCUAGUCAUGCCCAUCAUUAUAAAUAAAUGAUGAAUUCAUGUCCAUCAUUAAGGCAAAAACACACACUCUUCAAUCCAAAGUCCCCAUUUUAAUAUUUACCUAAGAAUGUUUUUUUUUUUCUUUCUUUCUUUUUUUCUUUGGCCAAAUCUACCUCCCUCCAAGAAGAAAGGAGACUUCUUGUUAUUGUAAAUAAAUGCAGACAACAAUGGGGAUAUCCUAAUGCAUCACAUCAAGGUCUAUUUAUACUAGUGAUAGCUUGUUAUAUGGCCAUGCUAAACAUUCCCAUGAGCUAAAUUUGUGGGUGGGAGGGGUGCUGGGGGUAGAACCCAGAGUCUCACAUACGCAGCAAAUGCUCUGACACAGCUUCACCCCCAGCCCAAGUUUUAUUCCUUUGAUUUUCUAAUUUGGGGGCUGGGGUUGUGGCUUAGUGGUAGAGCGCUUGCCUAGCCUGUGUGAGGCACUGGGUUCAAUCCUCAGCACCACAUAAAAAACAAUAACUAGAAUAAAGGUAUUGUGUCCAUCUACAAUGAAUAUAUUAAUAAAUAUAUGACAAAUCUUUAAAAUAUAUGUAUAUAUAUAAAACAAAUCUUGAAAAAAAAUUAAAUAAAUAUGUCUCUUAUUAACUUCAUCUACUUAUUAAGGAGGUCCCUCUCGGUUUCUUUCUAUUGAAGAGGUGAAGUAAUUUUUGUUUAUUUAAUUUUUCUUUAUAAAAAGGAAUGAGUAAACCCCCCCACACACACACUCCCCUGCUUUUAAAUAUACCUCAUUAAACUCAUGUUGGGGCAAAAAAAAAUUACAGGAAAUUUUCAAACUCAAAGGAAGUUCCGCUUCUUUAUGUUGCAAAAUCAGAAACAUCAUGGUCUCCAUGAUCUUUGUGAAAUUCAGGGAUGUUGAGUUAGAAUCAACGUCCCUGAAUUUCACAAAGAAAUUCUUUUUGGCAGAUUAUUACAAUUAUUUCUGUUUAAAAUUUGUGCGGCACUUCUCCCAUCCUACUUACACUUGAGUAAUGGUAAUACAAAAAUUAGAUGCCAGGUCCUGUCUUACUCACCAACUUACAUUGAAAAAAUACAGGCCAAAUAGAUGGAAGAAGAAAGCCACUACUUCCUGGGUAACCCACAUAUCACAAUUGAUGGUAAUGGCCUAAUCAAAAGUACAGAUUUCUGUGCAAUAAUAGCCCUGUUUACCUCAUAAACACUAGACCACUUGAUGGUUUUUCCUGGAAAAAAAAAAUUCCUAACUAAUUUUAGUAAAUUAAAUCAUAUUUUCCCACUGACAUGUUCUAAUUUAAAGACAUGACUUCAUUUUUUAAUUGAUCCCAAACUGAGAGUGACACUCAACCGUCCUUCUUUUCUUUUAUUUCUUUCCUUUUUUUUUUUUGAACCAAGAAGUGCUGUGCCACUGAGCCACAUCCCCAGCCCCUUUUAUUUUUAUUUUUUUAUUUUGAAACAGGGUCUUGCUAAGUUGCAGAGGCUGGCCUCGACCUUGCAAUCCUCCUGUCUCUGUCUCCUGAGUCACUGUGAUUGCCCUCGUGCACCAGUAUACCCAGCUACUGUUUAAAAUUUCAAAUUUGAUUAGCAUUCACUAAUUAGGUACUUUAGGGAAAGGGCUAAUUUGAAUUAGUGAAAAUUUUGAAUGCUAAGAUAUAAAAAUACAGAGUUAUAUCACCUCAUAGUACAAUAUGCAAUUCCAGGAGUCUAUUAUAGAGAAGUAUUUCUGAGAAGAAGGCUACUGUGAAGACUGUUUUAAUAAAAUUCCUCUUUAAACCUUAGGUAAAUUCAUGCUGCUAAUUUAUCUGAAUAUGUUUAGCUCAUAUUCACUCUGUAGUUAUUAUAUGCUUGACAUCAUGCUAGAAAAAUUUUUGUCCUCAAGUUAACAAUUCACUCUAAAUUAUCAUUCAUUUUGCCUAGUGACAUUUUAUCUCAUGCUUCAUUCAGCACCUGUCUCAGUGUACUCAUUUAUUCAAAAGACACUUUAAAGUUAUAAUGGGAUAUAAGCACAAAUUCAAAAUGACUGGGGUCUUAAGGUGAAAGUCAUUUAUCAUGUGGACCAACACCAAUCCAUCAGUAGAGCAAUCGAUCAACAAGUCCUUUGUUCUAGCUAGCAUAGCUGGGUCAGGGUUUCUCAACCUUGGCACAAUUGACCUUUAAGACUAGAGAAUUCUUUAUUGUGGAGGGCUGUUCUGUGCAUUCCAGGAGCUUUAGCAGGAUCCUUGCCUCUUUCCAUUAGAUGCCAGUAAUGACCCCACUUCCAGGUCUGACAAUCCGAAAUGUCUCCAGACGUUGCCAAGUCCCCAGGGGAAGGAGGGGAGUACCCCUGAUGGAGAACCAGUGGUUAGUGUGUAUAUCAUGCCUUCUUUAUUAGAUUAUAAAGACUUUGAGGGCAGAGACCCAGUCUGAUUCAUCACUCUACCACCCCUUCUCUACCACCUAAAUUUAGUUUCUGGCACAAAAAUGCCUCUUGAUGAAUGUUCUGAAAGGAACAAAAUAUCUCUGGAGUGUCUCUGCUGCUGUCAGCCCUGCACAGGGCACCUUGGGAAAUCCAGAAGCUGAAUAAAGUAACUGGGAUGAAUUGUCUAGCAAACUUUUACGAUUUGAAUAAUCGUCUGUAUUGUAGACCCACUUGGCUGCAAAAUGUCUACGUUUGUAUAAGACUUUCUUAUAUUUGAAGUAUGUCUCAUAUAACGCUGUUUAAUCCACACACAAUAUUAAUCAAUUUGGCCACCACUGUUUAUAAUAUAAGCUUCCAAGUCCUAGGAACAUAUUCUUAGGCAAGAGUGGGAGGUAUUCCGGUUUCAGUAGCCUUGACUUCAUUUAUUAAAUGGAACUCUUAGAAUUGGUUUUAAUAAUGUUAAAUUUAAAGUUCAGAUUCUCUUUUGUCACGUUAGAACAUCUAAAAGGCUCUCCAGUGAUCUAAGUAAUUUGGGUUUGCUUAGAUUCCUGGAAAUUGCCAGAAGACUUUAAGGGAGGAGGGGGGGAAAAAAAACGAGUGAGGAAAUUUUCCCUGUGGGCAAUUCGGGAAAACAAAAAUAUUUUUGUGCUGUGGAGACUUCUCAGGAAAGGAGGGUUGGCCAGUACCGGCUGCAUCUGCGCAAGGGGAAUUUCCACAUUUGGGAAAACAUGAUCAUAAUUAAUGACUUAGGAAAGCCAAGAAAAUGGACCAUGUUGGAAAAAUAUGAUCUUGGAUGGCUAAGUCACUGUCAAUGGAUUGGGCUAGAAAAUUGGAUUGUUUUAGACAGAGAUUUUUAUUUGUGGAUAUUUUCCUUUAGUACCCUGCAACUGGGGCCAUAGGAAGUCCUGUCCCUGGAGAACGGGCUUCCCAUAUCUAGAUCCACUCUCCCUGUCUCCCCACCUUCAGGGUGUGUUUGCUUUAGACGUCUGGCCUAGCCACUGACUGGUCUGGAGUCUUUUGGUUUGAACAUGACACAGAGGUCUAGCCAGCAGGGGCCGUUAGUAUCUGUUAGAACCAAGACGAUUAUCCAGGACUCUGGGGCAAGGACAAGAGGAUGAAAUUACCUGGUACUAAUGCAGCCAUCAUUAAUGGGGGCUUCCAUGUCCCAGGCCUGGUGCUCAGAACAUUCAAAACUGUCUUGUUGUAGACUCACAAGCAACUGAGGCUCAACAAAUUUGAGCCACUUGCUCAUGGCCAUGCAGUUUUUACCAACCAAAGUAUACUUCCCUCCCUUCUGGUCCUUCACAGAAAGUCUACUUCCUAAAUUGGAAUGUUCUUCCUCGGAGUACAACCUCCUGCUUCCUUAACCGCUACCUUCCUCUUGCUCUUUCCCAGAUCACUUUGUUUAAACUAGAUCUGCUCACGGGAGUUCUCUAUGGUUACCUCUCAUUCUCAAGAGGAGAAAUCCGGGUUAACAAGUUCAGCACCAUUCACAUCUCCGUUUACUUAGGGAAUGAUUAUGCGCCUAGAACAUUCUUGACCUGCUUUCUGGUUUUCUUUUACCUGGCCAAUCAAUUUUAUUAAUACAGGUAUGAUCCUCUUAUGCCUCUUCUCUCAGGAUUUUCUCAAGGUAGAAAUAGCUUGCCAAAUUUAAAAAGAUUUUUUUUAAGGUGAAGGUCAAGUUCUUCAAAAAAGGAAAUCUAACUAGGAAAGAAAAAGAUCCCUAUAUUUGACAUGUAGACGGAGUAUCCAGUGGAUCACUGAUAAAAUGCAACACAAUGUUUUGCAAAUUAAAAAGAUUACAGGUUCAUUCGGGUCCCUCGGAAGGAACAAUUCCACACCCUAACCCAUAUGACGUAGCUUCUAAAGUUAGCUCUGUCCUGCAACUGCAAUGAAUCCAACAAAACAAACGUAACCAGCACUGAAGAGUCUAAUUGUCCUUGAUUGACCCUUGAAUAUUGUAAUUAAUAUAAAAAUCACAGCAUUUGGAAAUAAUUUAAUACACUCUGUUAAACCUAAAACAACAUAAUUUGUUUGGAGUGUUUCUUGGGCAUAGUCAGAUAUUAUUAACUUCAUUUAGAGAUCUGAAAACUGAAGAGAUGUAUUUGUUUUCUAUGACAAUGGAAAAAUUAUCGCAACCUUAAGGAUUAGAGCAGUAUCCCACUUUUUCUGCAGGUUCUAUAGUUUUAUAGGUUGCUGCAGUCCAGGUGGGCUUGGCUGGGAUCUCUGCUUAGAAUACCAUAGGGUAGAAAUCAAGAGAUGAAUUGGGCUGGACUCUCAUCUAGAGGUUCUGGGGAAGAACUCACAUAUUCCUUCUCACUUGGUUUUCUCUAUUCUCACAGCCAGCAGUCACGCUGGAGACUUUCUCACAAUUGAAAUCGUUUCAUCUUCCUCUAGAAAACUAUUCUUCUAAAGGAUUCAUUGGAUUGGGCCAGGCCCACUGGGUAAUCUCCAUAUUUUAAACUCACCUGGGACUUAAAACCCUCCCCAGCUUGUACCCCAAUGACAGUCUAACUGAAUAACCAGGGGAUGGGAAUUUGGGGCUGCCAUCUUUAGAAUUUCGUCUGCCAUAAGGAAAUAGUCACCCAGUUAAUCUGAGACAAAAUCUGGAGACAGACUCCCAACAGAACUGAGUUCAAUAACUUAAUUUUCCCUUUAUUCCUCUUAUUGUUUUGCUUCUAAACGUAUAUGUAUGGUUUGUUUUUAAUACAUGUGUUUUGGGGGAUGCAUAUCCCCAUAUUUUUCACUGAUGCAUGGUCAAAAUCCAAGGCUGGUUUGGGACAUCGUGUUUCAGAGGCCUAUCUGAAAAUUAAUGUCUAGGAUUAGAACUGGACACUGUGCAUGGUAGGGGAGCAGUGUUGAUAGGUAAGAAAGGACAGUGGCUAAAGUUUCACUGAAUACAGAGGAGGAAUAAUUUAGUCUUUUCUUUUUGAGGUGCCAGGGAUUGAACCCAUGGCCUUGUCCAUGUUAGGCAAGCACUCUACCAACUAAGCUUCGUCCCCAACCCCAUAGUCUUAUUUUUAGUAUAUUCACUAAAGACAGUUGAAGAUGGGGAUUCUCUUAUUAUUUUCUUUUUUUUAAUAUUUAUUUUUUAGUUGUAGUUGAACACAAUACCUUUAUUUAUUUUUAUGUGGUGCUGAGGAUCGAACCCAGAGCCUCGAAUGUGCUAGGUGAGUGCUCUACUGCUGAACCACAACCCCAGCCCCUCUCUUAUUAUUUUCUACAGGCAAUUCCAGAAGUUCAAAGAUCAGGAGACAGAGGAAGGGAGGGGAAAGGGAGAGGGCGAGAUUGAUUUGUGAAUAGCAUUUGAGAAUCUAUUUUUUUCCCAACGGGGAGAUUUGGGAAUGUGCUGGAUAAGCAUCACUAGCAGCUACCUAGUGUGGAUCUGAAUGAACUUCCCAAACUUUUUGUUGUACAAUCCCAAUGAGUCAUGGCCUGCAGGUGUGCUGGAGGUCUUGAAUGCGGGCUGAGUUCUUGGUCCCAGCUGAUCAUUGAUCCAGAAACCUGGGCCUACACAGGGUCAUCUUGGGAUUGGGAAAGUCUGGAAAAAACUGAGAGGAUCCUAGAAAGAGAGAUGAAGGAAGAUGGCAUAUUCAUUUCUCUGACUUUAUCAUUAUACCUGGAGGACAACCUAAUAAAAAAAAAUCUAGUAUUUUGAUCAAGGGAGUAGAGAUGAAUUUAGCCUUUGGAAAGUCAUAGAUAGAAAUAUGAAAAUGUAAGAGAAAGGCAAGACAUUUCAGAGGCUAACUAAAUCUCUCUCUCCUCUUUCAAGUACAUUUGGGUUUUCCCUUCCUUGAAAUCCUGGGCCAAAAAUGGAAAGGAGCAAAACAUUCCCCAAAUGUUUCUUUUCAAAGUCUCCCAAACCUUCAGAAAAUGGUGAGACAAUGCAAUCAUGUUAUUAAGCAAAGAGAAAGAAGUCAGUGGAGAAGACAUUCAGAAAGAGCAAUUUGGUUCAGGGGACACGUGGUUUGUUUGGCUUUGGAAAUGAGGACACAAGGAAGAAAGACGUAGGGCGGGAGUUAAUGUUGCUUAUUAAUUGUGACGUCUUAAAGCAAAACAUAUUUGAGAUUUUUUAACUGAGUGAUUUUACUCUAUAAAGGAUAACUCUAAGGAUCCUGAUAACAUGUUGCAGAUGUUAUUUUGAUUCACAAAGUUUUCCACUUAAAAGUCUUUCCUUUCAUGUCUUCAUUCAUUCAGAAAUAUUGGAUGAGAACUUCCAGCAAUGAACACAACAGAUGAGGUCCCUGCUUGCAUGAAGCUUCGUCCUAGUGGGGAAGUUAGAUAAUACACAAAUACACAGGUCUCAUAACAUGAUACAUGAAGAGGUAAAUACUGUGAAAAUUAGACAGUGAUAGCGAUAUGGAGAAAUAAAAAAAGAGUGAAUCGAUGAAUGACCCGGUGUCAUUUUAGACUGCAUGAUUUGGGAACCCCUGUCUGAAAAAUGACAUUAAACCAUGAUCUCACUGACAGAGAGGAACCCAUCAUGAAAAGAUAGGAAAGAACAGCAGUCUAGGUAGAGAGGACAGAUGGCUCAGAAGUCUCCAAGAUAUUAAGAAAUAUGAGUUUGAGAAAGAGGACCCAGGCGGCUGGAACUCAUUGGCAAAUGGAAAAGUGGCACAAGAUGAAGUUGGACAGGUGGACAGAGUCUAGACCAUUUAGGCAUGACAGGCUAGGAUAAGGAAUUUCAACUUUGGACAGAUGGGAAGCCAUUGGGAGGUUGUAAACAAGGAAGUGAUUUUCUGUUUGGGCAUAGAAUUGUAGAGAGCAAGAGAAGAAGUUGAGUCGGGAAGUCUUUAGGAAGCAAUUGUCAUAUAGGUGAAAAUGGUGGUUUGAUCUAGGACAGUAGCAGUGAAGCUGGUGUCUGGGGCAGGUGCAGAAGGUGGAGUCCACAGGACUCUCUGCGGGUUUGUAUGUGAGAUAUAAGAAAAUGGAAGGACUCAAAUCUAUUGCCUCUACUGUCAGCUCAGGUACCAGGUGGAUGGUGAUGCCAUUGGUGAGGCAAGUGACAUAGGAAUAAGAAGAGUGGCUGACCCUCUUAAUUACCUCCCCACUCACUGUUCCUUUCUUGCCUCUAACAGAGCCCUGCCUUUGUUUAGAAUGACAAUAUGUCCAGCCCCAAGUGAUGAGUCAUGAUUGGUAUAAUUCAGUCAUAAUAGUCCCAUUCCCUUUUGCUAGAUACUCAAUUUUCCCAUUUCCUUUGCAGCUAAGGGAGCCUUAUUUCUGGCUAAUGAAAUCUCAGUGAAAGCCUCUGGGCAUAGAUAUGUCUGUCUGGAACACCCUCAUAAUAAAGGUGGAGCUAUGGUAGAUAUCUUCUGACUUUAAGACUAAAGGUCUGAAGAUUAAAAACCCAUAUGCUAAGGAUGGUAAAGGAGAAAAAAAAUCACCUGAAUCCAGGAUAAUAUGGUGGAGUUAGCUGAACCUACACCAGAGACCUUGUUUAUGAAAAACAGAAAUUAAAUUUUGUUUAAGCCUCUUGUUGUUAUUUGAUAUGAGAUGGUUCAAGAAAAGAAUCAAGGGUUCUCAUUUGACUGUGUUGAGUUGGAGAUGCCCAUUAGAUCUUCUUGUGGAAGUUGCUGCAUAAUAUUUCCCUUCUCUUACCAGUGGAACAAAAUUUUCUAGACCUAUUAAAUCUAUAUAGAGACAGAAUCAUACAGUAUAUGACUAGAAAACUAUGAAAAGAUAAAUAUAAAUGUGAAAAAACUUGCAGUGGCUAUGAGGAAGCCCAAAUUAGAAUCUGACCAUCAAUAUAUAAGACUGACUCCCCCCAUUUGUUAGGUUAACAAGAUUGAAGUUGUUAAAACAGGAUGUACAGCCAGGUAUGGUGAUGCACACCUAUAAUCCCAGAGAUUUGGGAGGUUGAGGCAGGAGGAUUGCAAGUUUGAGGUCAGUCUCAGCGACUUGGUGAGAUGCUGUCUCAAAAUAAAAAAAUAAAAAAUGGCUGGGGAUAUAGCUCAGGAGUAGAGCACCCCUAGGUUCAAUCCCUGGGACCAAAAACAAAACAAACAAACAAACAAAAACAAAGCAAAACAAAACAAAACAAACUCCUCAAGAGAAUGGCCAAGCUGUGUGGUAGAGAAAGUCUGAAGACCAAAUGGGUCCCUACAUUUCCAAGUAACUUCCAUCAUCUGGGCAGGGCAAUAUUGCCCUAAACUAGAGUACAUAUUUCCAUUAAGACAGUUUUGUAUCUAUAUAUUAUAGUGCUCAUGUAUUGCUAUAUUCCCUCCUUGAAAAACUUACUAGGGAGCCUAAAAUAGGCUAAAUUGAGCUUUUAGCACAGCUCUGGUUGCUGGUAAAAAUCAGCAUCUACAAAACCAAUUGCACUUCUUUCCAUUAGAGCUCUCACCCACUGCUGGAUCUAUAGUUUUAUAUAUUAAAAGUUUGCCAAUCCAUGGAUUUCCCCCCCACCCCCAGACACUUUAUCUGUGUGCUGGAUGGCUUGGACUUUAUCUACAGAAAAAAAAUAUAUAUAUUUAUAAAUAUAUAGAUGUAUGUAUUUUGUUGUUGUCUGUUUGUUUGUUGUUUUUGCCAGUACCCAAUCAGACACAGCUAUUGAUUUUGUGUGGACGAGUAACUGAAUCUGCAAAAUUGGCUCUGCAGGAUAAGUACCUUGUAUUCUGCCCAUACUGUGAGUCUGUGUUCUCCUGAGGUUGAUUGGCUCAUCAUAUUCUGCUUUCGUGUUCCCUGGUUUAUCACGGUGCUUGGGGGUUUUUGCCCCUACACCUUUCACUUUGUCUUCUCCUAAUUUAUUACAAACAACUCUGGUAUUUUUUUGAAGUCUUGGAUCUGCAUUAAUUUUUAAGUCCCCAAGGAACAUUAUGUUCCCAAACAUUAUGUUCUGCACUCUCAUGCUCAUAUCACUUUGUGUAGUGCCAGACACCUCCUGGGAUCCCAAGAAAUGUUGUUUCUUUUUAAAAGAUGGACAAUUAUUCCAGGAGGCCCAUAAAACAUCUUUCUCAGUUGAUUUACUUUCACCAUUUACUUAUCCCCAGUGGUUUGGGUCAAAAUAUUGGUUAAUAGAAAGAUGUCGUCUUUGAGGUCUUGCUAGCUUCUCCUCAUUUCUUUAAAAGCGGAGGAGAAUAUUGACUGAUUUUAUAGGAGUAUUGGAAAGAAAUGAUGAAAAGCAUUGGGAUGAGAAAGGCUUUCAUUAAAAAUGUGAAAAGCUAGGGAGAUGACAGUGUCAUUUUCACCAAGCCUCAAUACGGGCAGAGCUCCCUUCACUGUGGGGAGCGGUUCGUUCAUUACAAGAACAGCCAUCCGUGGCAAACAGUAGGAGCUUCUUUGCAAAGUCUCAAGACCGGCUGUGUACACAUUUCCUCUUCUCUCAGCUUCUCAGCCAGAUCUGUAGCCCUUCAGUGCUUUCCUUCCAUGCAAAUUGGAACCUCCCUCUGAAUUGCUCUAGGGCUAGAGACACAGGAUAGGACCAUGGACAGAGGUUCAGCCUACCGAUCACUGCUGCCUUGGGAAAGCUGUUCUCUUCCUGCCAAGAAUCCCUGGGAGAGGGUCUGCAUAGAGACUUCUUUACCCUGGGGUAAAUCUUCCCUUCUCUAACUUCCUUUGGAGUGGCAUACAUUUCUUCCAGAAGCACUAGCUUCCUCCACCAACUCCAUGCUCCCGAGACAGAAGGAAUUAUCAUGUUUGCAAAUGGCAGCUCUUAAAUAUUUGAACCUAUUUCCAUUGUAAAAUAAUUUCAAGCAGAAAAGUACAAUUUCAAAUAGAAAAAUAUAGAAAAAUGGUUUUAAAAACAUCAAUGUAUAAAAUACCACCUUAACAAAUCUUAACAUUUGAUUUAUAUUGCUUUACAGUUUGCAUAUAAGAAGUCUUAACAGUACUGUUGAAGCCUCUGACUGACCCCUGGUUUCAUUCAUUUCUCAAUUUUUUUUCUUCCCUUUUUUUCCAAAAGUAACCACUAUUUUGAAGUUACUAUAAAUUAUUCUCAUUCAUGCUUUUAGACUUAUAUAUAUAUAUAUAUAUAAACAAUAUAUAUAUACUUUUAUAUUAUAUGUAUAUGAAACAAUGUUACAUAAACAAUAUGUAAUAUUGCUUUGUGUUUAUAAAGUAAAAUGUAUUAUGUUGUACAUAACAUUCUGCUUGUGUGUGUGUGUGUGUGUGUGUGUUACUGGGGAUUGAAUUUAGGGCCUCAAGUAUGCUACACAAGUGCUGUGCCACUGAGCUGUAUUCCCGACCCUUCAAAAUUUUUUUUUAUUUUGAGGUAGGGUCUCACUAAGUUGCCCAGGUUGGCCUUGAACUUGUGAUCCUCCUACCUCAACUUUCUGAUCUACUGUGUCACAGGUUUGAGUUGAGCCAUGGUGCUCAGCUGCCAUUUUAAAAUGCAUCAUUACUUUUUAGAUUUAUUCAUACUGCAACCUGAAGUAUUAACUCAUUACUUAAAACUGUUGAAUAUUAUUCCUUUGUUUGAAUAUACACACAUUCUGUAUCCAUUCUCUUGCUUUAAGGUUAUUUUUAGUUUGUUGUUUGCCAUAACAAAUAAUGCUCCCAUUAACAUUUAAAUACCAGUUUCCUGGAGCACAUUAUGUGAGGAUUUUUCUAGGCCAGAGCUUCUCACCCUUACCUUAUUGACAUUUUGGACUGUGUAAUUCUUUCUUGUGGGAUAGGAUGCUGAUCUCUCACCUCUACCCACUAGAUAUGAGUCACGCCACUUCUCCCUGCCCCCAGUGUGACAAUUGAAAAUGUCUUCAAAGGUUGCCAAAUGUUCCCUCAGGGCAGUCACCCUUGGUGGAGGACACUAAUCUAGUCAUUGUAAGAAAGAAAGAAACUACUGGGUUUUAGGAUGUAUUUUAAUAUAUUUUGUCAUUUUUGCCUUCCAAGAGUUCUGUUUCUCUAUAUCUUGUUAACUCCGGGUAUUCUCAGAGUUUGAAAUUUUUGCUAAUUUAUGGAAAUGAAAACAGUAACUUUCUAUUAUUUUAUUUUGUUUUGCCUUAAUUGCUAGUGGUAUGGAACAUGUCCUUGACUCUCUAUUGGUCAUUAGGGAUUCUCUUAUAAGAUUUGCCUAUUCAUAUCCUUAUGUGAUUUUCUUUCUAGUUUUUUUCAUUAUUAUUCCUUUAUAGCAGUUCUUAAUAAUUUUUGAAUACCAAUACUUUGAUGGUUUUAUGUCUGAAAAAAACUCUCGGGCUAAGCUUUUCACUUUGUUGACGAUGUUCUUUUCUUUUUCUGUUUCCCUACUGGGGAUUGAACCCCAGGUUGCUUAUCCACUGAGCCAUAUCUCCAGUCCUUUUUUAUAUUUUAUUUAGAGACAGGGUCUCAACGAGUUGCUUAGGGCUUCAGUAAGUUGCUUAGGCUGGCUUUGAACUCAUGAUCCUCCUGCCUCAGCUUCCUGAGUCACUGGGACUACAUGAGGGUGCUACUGCACCCAGCUGAUGUCUUUUAUUUUAAAAUCGUAAUAUGCACCAAUACUUUCUUUUAUGCUUAUACUUCUGUGCUUCAUUUAAUUUCUUCCCUAUCCUAAAGGUAUAAAGACAAUUUUAAAAAAAAUUUUAUUCUAAUUUGUUAUAUAUGAUCGCAGAAUGCAUUACAAUUCAUAUUACAUAUGUAGAGCACAGUUUUUCAUCUCUCUGCUUCUAUACAAAGUAUAUUCAUACCAUUCGUGUAUUUUUCAUACAUAUACUUAGGGUAGUGAUGUCUAUCUCAUUCCACCAUCUUUUUUUACCCCCUUACCCCCUCCCUCCCUCUCCUUCCCCUUUGCUCUAUCUACACUUUGUCUAAUCUUCCCAUGCUCCCCGUCCCAACCCCACUGUGAAUCAGCCUCCUUAUGUCAGAGAAAACAUUUGGCAUUUGGUUUUUGUCAUUGGCUUACUUCACUUAGCAUUAGAUUCUCCAACUUCAUCCAUUUAGAUUUAUUCAUACCAUUUACCUGCAAGUGCCAUGAUUUUAUUCUCUUUAAUUGCUGAGUAAUAUUCCAUUGUGUAUAUUUGCCACAUUUUCUUUAUUCAUUCAUCUACUGAAGGGCAAUUAGGUUGGUUCCACAGUUUAGCUAUUGUGAAUUGUGCUGCUGUAAACAUUGAUGUGGCUGUGUCCCUGUAGUAUGCUGUUUUAAAGUCUUAUGGGUAUAGCUGGGUCAAAUGGUGUUUCCAUUCCUAGACUCCAAACAGAAUCUCCAUUCUGUUUCCAGAUUGGCUGCACCAUUUUUCAGUCCCACCAGCAGUGUAUGAAUGUGCCGUUUCCCCCACAUCCUCACCAGCACUUAUUGUUGUUUGUAUUCUUGAUAGCUGCCAUUCUGACAGGAGUGAGAUGAAAUAGUAGUUUUGAUUUGCAUUUCUCUAAUUGCUAGAGAUGAUGAACAUUUUUUCAUAUAUUUGUUGAUUGAUUGUACAUCAUCUUCUGAGAAGUGUCUGUUCAGGUCCUUGGCCCAUUUAUUGAUUGGGUUGUUUUUUUGUUUUGUUUUGUUUUUUGAGUUUAGCUUUUUGAGUUCUUUAUAUACCCUAGAGAUUAGUGCUCUAUCUGAUGUUCGAGGGGUAAAAAUUUGCUCCCAAGCUGUAGGUUCUCUGUUCAUCUCACUAUCUAAGGUUUCUUUUGCUGAGAAGCAGCUUUUUAGUUCACAUCCAUCCCAUUUAUUAAUUCUUGAUUUUAAUUCUUGUUAUAUAGGAGUCUUGUUAAGAAAGUAGGGGCCUAAUCUAAUAUGAUGGCGAUUAGGGCCUACUUUUUCUUCUAUUAGACGCAGGGUCUCUGGUUUAAUUCCUAGGUCCUUGAUCCACUUUGAGUUGAGUUUUGUGCAUGGUGAGAGAUAGGGGUUUAGUUUCAUUUUGUUGCAUAUGGAUUUCCAGUUUUCCCAGCACCAUUUGUUUAAGAGGCUAUCUUUUUUCCAAUGCAUCCUUUUGACACCUUUAAUACCCCAUUUACAAUAGCCUCAAUAAAGAUAAUAUUUUAUAUUUUUCCUAGAAAUAAUAUUUUACUGUUCACCUUUAGGCCUUUAAACCAACUUAAGCUUGCUAUGGUGUGCAAUAGUAAAUGCAUGUGUAAUUAUUCCAAUGCAUAUUUAUUGAAUAGUUAACCUUUCACUCCUGGUUUGUUAUGCCAUCUCCAGUUUGAAGUUUUGAUAUUUAGUGGAAAAAAACAGGCUAACUUAUUAUUCUUUUUCAAAAUUGACUUGACUAUUAUGGUUGUUAUCUGAACAAUAGUUAUUACCUCUUUCUUCUUCCUAACUGAACCUCAUUGUCUUCAGAUAUCCCUGGAUUCUAUCCCUUAGUGUGUACUUGAAGCCCAUCAUGAGGGCAAUUCUCUUCUAUCAGAAUUGCUUUGGGCCUGGGAUGUGCUACAUCUCCUGCCAGUGAGAACUAAGUAUACGGAAUUGUGCUACACUGAGGAUGGAAAGGCAUGGGAACAUUUUUCCUCUUAAAAAGGUAUAAAAGAAAAAAGAGUUACCAUUCCUUUCUUUGAAUAAAAGUUGGAGGAAGAUGUGAUGCCUGAUACUAUGGCAGCCAUCUUGCCACCCUGGGGGCACAAGCCACACACCCACACACUGAGAAUGGCUUAACAAAAAGAUGAAAAGAUCACAGGUCCCGACAAUGGCAUUGUGUGGCUGAAUUAACCCAAACUGGAAUCUCCUGUGAUCUGAACUAACAAACCUCUUAUUGCUUAACCACUUUAUGUUGUAUAUUCUGUUAUGUCCAGCAAAUGCAUCCUCAACUACAAUAAGAUUUUUGACCCCUUACUUCCCACUUGAAUUUUGUAAUCAUGGUUCCAUGCUCCCAAUCAGGGCAGGAAUUUAAAAACCGAGUUUGCCUUAAAAGUAAAUGUUAACUUUGGGAGAACUGACAUCUCACAAUAAUGAAUGUUCCAAUUCACGGAUAUGGUAUGUGUCUCCACUUAUUCAAAUCUUCUUUAGUGCUUUCUAUAAAAAUAUUUUAUAUAUAAAAUCUACAUUUUAUUUAUACAUAAAAAUCUAUAUGAUUUUAAAUAUUUAUACCUAGCCACAAUGCUAUUUCUAUUAAGCCUUGUAGCUUUUGUUUGCUAUUAAGUAUUAUACAUUUUGGCAUAGUGGUGCAUACCUGUAAUCCCAGCUAUCAGGGAGACUAAGGCAGGAGAAUUGCAAAUUUGAAGGCAACUUAGUGAGACCCUGCCUCAAAAUUUAAAAAAAAGGUGGUGGGGGGGAGUUACUGUGGAUAUAGAUCAGUGGUAGAGCAUCUCUAGUUUCAAUCCCAAACACGACAAUAACAACGUGUGUGUGUGUGUGUGUGUGUGUGUGUGUGAGAGAGAGAGAGAGAGAGAGAGACUGAAUUUUGUAAUUGAUCUUAUACCCAUCAACCUUGCCAAAUUGUCUUUUAAUUCUAAAGAGACAAUUCUUCUUUUCCACUCCUGUGGAGCCUGUUUGAGUUUCUUCAUAGACAAUUAUAUUAUACAAUAAGAAGAGUUUCUUUUCCUGCUCAAUCUUGCAGUAAAGGAAUAGAGGCCAUCAGGGAGGCCUGUGGUUGCUUGGUCCAGUUGCCUGUCACGUGCACUUUCUCCUGGCCUCAUUAUUCCCUGGUGGGAGGCCCAUCACCAGGCAGCAGGCAGCUAUUCCAGCCUCCUUACGGGUGGUCUGUGUGUAUGGGGUGGGGGCUCAGUGUGGCCUGUGGUUUCGGGCACUGGACGUGGCUUACCACCUACCCUUCUCACCCUGGGCAGUCACUUCUAAUCUCCCUGGCCCCUCAGAAGCCCAUGCUGGCAUCCUGGGCCACCUUUCAGAUUUGGGACCCAGUAACCCCAUCUCCUGCUCCAUUCACGGCUUUGAGUUUCUAAUCCAUGGAAAAGUUUAUACAUUGGGCCAACUGUGCCUUUUAAUUUUUCCUGUCAUAUUUUAAUCACUGUUGCUUUGAACGUGACCAGCAUUCCCUGUUGAAAUUUAAUCCCCGUUUUGAGGUAUCUGGAGGGUGAAAAAUCUGACUGUAGUGUUUAGAGGUGGGGAUUUGGGAGGUGGUCAGGAUUGGAUAAGGUCAUCAGGGUGGAUCCCUCAUUUGAAUAUUGGUGACUUUAUAAGAAGAGGGACAGAGACCAGAGGACAUGUACACACCACACACACACACACACACACAUGCAUGCAUGCGCGUACUCUUUGUCUCUUGCCACAUAAUGUCCUGUGCCACUUUAGGACUCUGCUAGCAAAAAGAUUAUCACCACGUGCAGGCUCUUGAACCUCUAGAACUGUGAACUACAUAAACCUCUUUUCUUAAUGAGGUUACCCAGCCUCUGGGAUCUUGUUAGGGUAAUGUAAAACAGACCAAUACGAUAACCAUUGCUUUGUGUGUGGAGAUGAGCAUGAACAUCAAAGGCUUAGGUACAAAAAUCCUACCUUGACUAGAAAUCAUGAUUCCAACAUGUAUUUUUUAAAGGGGCACAGAACUAGCUCCUGCCAACUGCUGAUACUUAACACAGUAGUUAUCAUCAAAUACAAUACUAUUUUCAAUACAUUUAAAAAAUAUAUUUUUAUUUUUUAAUUGUAGUUGGACACAUACCUUUUAUUUAUUUACUUAUUUAUUUUUAUGUGGUGCUGAGGAUUGAACCCAGGGCCUCGCACGAGCUAGGUGAGCGCUCUACCACUGAACCACAACUCCAGUCCUUUCAAUACAUUUUUAAUCACCAAAUAAAAUACAGAAUUUUCACAACUUCCUUAUGCUUUGUAAACACUAUAGUUGUAUUUCUGUUUAUCAUCUGGCUAACCGGGAAUGGAAAUAAACACUAUUUUCUGUACCUGAGAAAACCAAUGUCUCUUACUUAGUCGUAAUCAGGAAUAAGCAGAGAGAGCCAUAAUUCUGUGAGUUCCUCCAGAGAUGGAGCUGGGUGUUGUUGAUCCUGUGCCUCAUCCAAAAUAACCCCAGGGAAAGAUUUUGAGCUGAGUAAACCAAACUCCAAAGCCAUGCCUGGCUUUCCAUUGUCUGAGGGACCCCUAAUGAAUGCCCUCAGGAUCUAACAGUGCCAUGACUUGAGGGAAAGAAAGGGGAAGAAAGACAGGAAUAAGAGUUGGUUUUAAGCAAGGUGAGUGGGAAGGAAUUGUCAAUGGCAUUUCAUCUAGAGUGGAUUUUGAUUGAGAUUUGGAUUUUUUUAAAUACUUAUCUCCUUAUAUAAACUAGCUUACUAUGUAAAUAUAAUCAAAAUAACAUUCAUUAAAAUUGCAAAACUUAUUUAUUAAAAUAUGUAAAGCAGCCAGCUGCAAUACUGGAGACUAAGAAGUGUAAAAAUAUUUUGUUGAACAAAUAUUUUUGAGUUCCUACUAUGUGCCCACACUGUACGGGAAGUGGGCAUACCAGGAUAAAUAACAGGUCCCUGUGCAGCUAAAACUUCAGUUGGGCCAAAGGAUGGGUAAACAAAUAUGAUGGAAUAAGCUUCUUUAAAGAGUGUUGUGUUUAUUGUAGUUUGGAUGCAAGGUGUCCCUCAAAAGAUCAUGUGUGGGACAAUACCAAAAGGUUUAGAGGAGAAAUGAUUUUAACCCAAUCGGUGAAUUGAUCCCUGAUGGGAUUAACUGAGUGGUAACUGGAGGCAGGUGGCUGGAGGAAGUGGUUCAUUGGGAACAUGGCUAUGGGAUAUAUAUUUUGUAUCCGGUGAGUGGAGUCUCUCUCUGCUUUCUGAUCAUCACGUGAGCUGCUUCCCUCUGCCACACCCUUCCGCCAUGAUGUUCAGCCUCACCCUGAGCCCUGAGGAAUGGAGCCAGCUGUCUAUGAACUGAGGCCUCUGAAACCGUGAGCCCCCAAAUAAACUUUCCCUCCUCUACGAUUGUUCUGGUGGGGUCUUUUAGUCACAGCAGCAAAAAAAAGCUGACUAAGACAGUUCUCAUAGCAGCCUCAUUUACAAUAGCCAAGAGGUGGAAGCAACUCAAGUAUCCACGGUCAGGAAUGGACAGGCCAAGUCUAUUACACAUAGGAUGUAAUACUGCUCAGCUUUGAAAGAAAGAGAAAUUCUUGAUACAGGCUACAACGUGGACGAACCUUGAGGAUAUGAUGCUGAGUGAAAUAAGCCAGUUACAGAAAGACAAACAACUGGCUGCCUCCACUUCUAUGAGGGAGCUCAAGUAAUUAAAUCCAUAGAAACAGAAAGUAGAGAUCUGGGGGUGGAAAGGGAAAUGGGAGCGGUUUACUGUGUUGGAUGCAUGUUCAGUUUCAAUUUUACAAGAUGUGAGAUUUCUGGAGAUGUCACAACCAUGGGAAUUAUUCUUAACACUUUUGAACUGUACGCUUAAAAAUGGUUAACAAGGUACAUUUUGUGUGUUUUACCACAACUUUAUUAAGUAAAAAAAAAAAAGAAGAAGAAAGAAAGAAAGAAAAUGAUCAUUAGUUUCCUGAGGGUUCACUCCUAGCUUCUAGCAGAAGGCCUGAUACAUGGUAGGCACUUGACUAAUAUUUUGCCUUCCUUUGGUGUCUCUCCCUGCCCAGUGUCCUCCACAGCAGGACAAAGGCCACGUAGUUCUGUAGUUCUAGGAGCCAGUUCAGCAAACAAAGGCACUUCUCUCCUCAGGGCACAAAGGGGAAGAAUUUCAAAUAUUUGUGAUUUAAUAUUUGUCUCGAUCACACCAACUAGGCUUUGCUUCUCAAUUAUGCUUAUCUGAGCUCUUUGGCAUUUAAAUUUCCUAAAGAUAGAUCCUGUUCCUACUUCCCAAAACAGAAUAGAAUUGUGAUGGCCUUUGUAAGAAAAAGGAAAAAGAAAAAAAAAGUGGAAGGAAAUCUGUAAAAUGAAAUCAUUAUGAGGCCAACGUACAAAUGGCUUGUGGGCUCUGGUUGCAGCCCAGCGCAGGAGGAAGGGUGAGGUAAUUAGCAUGCAUUUCACAGUUCUGCAGUUUGUCAGUUGGUUCCUUCCCUUCACGGGCUCUGUCUGAGUCUCUUGGUUUUUAUUUUUUAUUUUUUCACUUGGCCAAAAAUAGAGAGACAAAAAAAGUUUUCUUGUACUUACUUAGGCUUUUCUACUUUUUUUCCUGGUAUGUUUGGUUUCCUCUCGCCAUGAUCCUUCCUUCUUCCUGCCACCUGCCGGCUUCUCUGCUCCUCCUCCCCUUCUCUGACGUCUUCUGUGGGAUGCACACUGUUGAGCCACCACAGCCAGCAGACAUCCCAGGAGCCCCAUGGGAGGUUCUCAGAGAGCUAUUCCUUAGGUUCUGGAACCCUGGCUUGGUGCAGGGUAUCCAUGGGGGACAGCUGUGUGCAGCAUUUGGCGAUAUACAGGCAGGGAGAUGACGAGGGUCUGAGGGACUUGGAUGGAGGGAUUCCCAUUUUCUGGUCCACACACUGGACACAGCUUCUCCUUCUGGCUGGGCCUUGGUCUGGGUGUGCACAUUGUUAGAAAUCAGAAUGAAGCCAAGGUGCCUUACCUUUUGCUGCAGGAGAAAGUUGUCCGGAUGCCUUUCUUCUGCCUUCUCAUGCUGGAAUGAUGGGAGGGUACGCACAGAGCCCACCAAAGACUUUGUCAAUUAAGAAACAACCAGUGUCCAGGCGUGGAGAUUUGAUUAUAUGACUUUUUAAACAUUCCACUUACGUAUCUCUCAUUAUGUGACAGACACUGUUUUAAAUAUUAACUCAAUCCUUUAAAUAUUAACUUAUUUAAUCCUUACAACCACUCUGUGACUUGGGAUCUACUAUUGUCUGAAUUUUUAUGGAUGAAGAAACUCAGGCCCAGAAAGAUUAAAUGAUUUGCUCAUGAUCACAGAGCUAAUCUCUCACAGCCUGGCUCCUGCAUCCACUCUUUUAACCUACUACUCUUUGCUACUGGUUUAUGUACAGUUCCCCAGCAUUCCCUUGGAGAUUCCAUGCCUGAUUUUACAAAAUCUCUCUCCCCAGGUAUAACACUUUCUGCUGGGUGUUGGGCAAUGUGCACAUCCCUCUGAAAUGUCCACGUGGCUCCUCGGAUGUCCGCUGGCUGUCACAGGUUCACAGGCAUCUGUUCUGUAGGAGACCUCAGUAUCUGACUUUCUUUCUCUUCCAGAAUCAGGGCAUAAGGAAGCAAUUUCUACCCAUACAGACUUUAAGACAUAAAAUUGCAGCACAUCACAAACUCUUCAUCCUUGUAUGAAGUGCCCUGCCUCCACACAAACAAGGAUACGAUCUUGGGAUCUGUCACCAAUCAGGGUGAGUUUGCAAGGAGUCUUCCAGGCCCUUGGGAACAGGGUCAUGAAUUUUUUAGAUGGUUGGCUGGAGUGGCUCAGAGCUGGAGGACAGACCUUCCGGUGAGUGUAGCAAACUGGUCUGGAGAGAAGCCCGUGACCUUGGCCUCCUUGCCCUGGGAUUCCAGGUGGGGACCUGAACAUCCCAGGGUGCUUCCCUAGUCCUCUGACCUUCCUUAGGUCCCUCCUGUGUGCUGGUUUCCCUGGUGAGAACUGGGCGAGCCGAGAAGGAUUUACAGAAAGGCAGGGUGACUUGUCUUUCUGCUGUGAACCUCUGACUUGUGUUUGGGCCUCACUGUUAUACACAGAGAUAUGUCUCCAGCUCUUCCAUGCCUCCUGCCAGCUUCCUGCUGGUAGUUCCCAAGGCCUUCUCCGCCCCCAGAAUGCUUUUCCUAGAUCCUCUUCCCACAGGGCCCCAAAGCUAAGCUGCCUGGAAGUAGUGGGAAGUGAAUUCCUGCUAAAACAUCUGAAUUCUCUGCACAUUGCAUUUUUAUCUUCCUGGGGACAUCAAAACUGAAAAGUUUAAGAGUAGGAGUGGAAUGUCAGGUUCCCUGCCGUGAGAGGGAUUUCGGGGUCUGCUGUCUUAGUACAUAAUAUCAGAGACCAGGUAGUUUAUGAUCACGAUUUUUAGAGGCUGGAAGUCCAAGAUCAAGGCACUGGCAGAUCUGGUGUCUGAUGAGGGCCUCUUUCUGGUUCAUAGAGAGCCAUCUUCUCACUGUGUCCUCACAUGGUCAAAGGACAAAAGCAGCAUUCUGGGUUUUUGCUGUUGGUGGUAGAUUUUUUUUUUUUUUUUGGUACUGGGGAUUGAACCUAGCAGUGCUUUUAUCACUGAACCACAUUCCCAGAACAUUUAAUUUUUUAUUUUGAGACAGGGUCUCACUAAGUUGCUGAAGUUGGCCUCAAACUUGUGCUCUUCCUGUCUCAGCCUCUUGAGUCACUAGGAUUACAGGCAUGAGUCACCACACCCGGCUUCUGGGGCUUCUUUCAUAAAGAUACUAAUCCUAUUCAUGAGGACUCUGGCCUCAUGACCUAAUCACUUCCCCAGAUCCUACUCCUAAUGUUAUCACUUUAGUAAUUAAGUUUUCAACAUACAAAUCUGGGGGGAACGCAUUCUGUCUAUAGCAGCUGUUGUCCAGUAGACCUUCCUAUGUGUGGACAUGCAUCUGAAAUUGGCCCUGGUGUCAGGGCCAGGCCCACAGGUGUCCUCAAGUCCAGAAUUAAAACCUUUACUUUAGAGCCACAGUGCUCCCCCUGUCCCCUGCCCCCACCACCAGUUUGUAGGACUCAUUAAAUCUAGGACCCAGAUCCCGGUAGGCGUGGGGUUCAGUUUAGGCAACUGGAGUAGAGGCCUUUGUCCAGUGGGGUAUUUCCUCUGACGUCACUGGGCUGAUCGUCAAGGCUCCAAGGUGGGUCUCUGCCAGGAAAACCUGAACUGAAGAGGAGGAGAUUUGGCCUUCGGGGAAGAGGGCCUGUGUCCUGGCAGGCCGGACGUGCCUGCCCCGGGCUGGCUUCUUUUUGCUGCUGAUUCUCUGGGUUAGUGCACUUUUGACCCAAGAGGAGGGAAAAAAGGGAACAAACAGUGGAACUGUGACUGUCAGAUGUUGCGGGAGGGACUUUUGAACCGGUGGGAUGGUGACGGCCAUCAGAGGCUGCCGUCUUCCCUGGCCCGUCCCCCUUCCCACCUCCUGCCCUCACCUCUGUCCUCCCUACUCUACUUCUGAACGCCAGCUGCCUGGGCGACACCUUUUGCUUCCCAAGCCUCCUUUGUUGUUUUUCCUUGAUCCCUUUCUCAAAAAUAUUCUCCUCUCUUUCCAUCCGCUCAGUGCCAGACUCCUGGCAUCUGACUUGCCGGCUUGCGCAGGCUGCCAUCUCUCUCUCUGGCUCACCACGGUUUUAUAAUUGCCUCUGGUUAAAGUUUAAAUAGAUGGGUUUCAGCCCAAGAGAAAAAUGUAAACAAGCCCUCUCUGCAGUCUUUCAGAACUGCUGGCCUCCAGUGCUUCUGGAUUCUGUGCUAGGGGAUUCGUCCUGCUCCUCCCUAACCCCGGGAGCUGAGACAGGCCGCUGGCCUUUCAGAGCCACGAAGGCCUCUCUGAAGCCAUCAAGCUAUUGAGAGACUUUUAGAUGGCCUGGCACUGUUCCUUUUAACUCAAUCAAGCCAGCAGGAUCCGGUUCCCAUUCUAGCCAGGGUAUCUGGUGUGAUCAGGUGAAACAGGGUAGCAGUCCUCAUGGGCCGGCUUCUAGAUAGGAAGGAAGUGACAGGGAUUGUCAUUUCCCUGCUGGAAUUUUUUUCUCUGGGGGAGGAUGGGGUUGGAUUUGCUGCCCUGGGGUUUUGGCAGUUGAGAUGGUCUCAGGAGUCAUUAGAAUGGGGCCAUGUGGAGCCAUCACAGCAGGGAGAGGUAGGCCAGGGUUGAGCUCCUGUGUUCAGGCACAGAUCCCCUUCUUUGCUGUGAUUUCUCAGAAGUAAGCAGGCCUUCUUUGUCUUUUUAAUUUUAUUUUAAUUGUUGGGAGUUUUUAUUUGUUUGAGUCUUGAUUAAGAAUAUUGAUUUUCUGGGGCUGGGGUUGUGGCUCAGUGGUAGAGCACUUGCCUUGCAUGUGUGACGCACUGGGUUUGAUUCUCAGCACCACAUAUAAAUAAAUGAAUAAAAUAAAGAUCCAUCAACAACUAAACAAAAAAAAAGAAUAUUGAUUUUCUAUCUUUUUCUGCUUUGUGUACUUUGUGUACUUAUGAUCUGGUGUCAGAUGGAUUCAGCAAUAACUUGGAAUGUUUUAGUCACAAAUUUGAUUGAAUGAUUACCUUCCCCUACUCAAAAACCUUCAGUGUGUCCCUGUCUUCAGUUCAGGGUCUUAGGCCUGGUUCUGUCUUCACCUUGCACCAUGCCAGUCCUGAUGAACUCAGGUGACCUCUUCCUCCCUACUCCUGUGACCCAUUCCCUCACUCUGCAGUGUCCUAACCCUCUGCCCCACCCCUGCCCUGCUUAGCAUCUGCUCAGAAACAUCUUCCUGUGUUCUGUGGGGUCCCCUACCCUCCCUCAGCAACCAAGGCCAAGCAUCCUCCCUUUAGUUCUCCAACAGCCACGCCCACCCCCUUUCCUGUAACCCUAUUUCGUUGUCUGAUUUUCAGCCUGUUCCAUCAGCCUUGCACUUGAUACUUAGCUCUUUGGUUGUAGGAUGAUUUUGUUUUUCUAUCCCCAUAGUCAUGUGUGACCCACUGGUCAGUGCUCAAUAACUAUUUAAUCUUUGUUUUUCAGCCUCUCUGAAAAGAUGUCAAUAUUUUUAAAACAGAGGAACCAAAAGGAGUGAAGGAAGGAUUGGGGAGUCAUUAGAUUUGGGUUCAAACCGAAGUUCUGCUGAGGUUAGUACUAGGACUGCUUCCCGGUCACCACCCUUUCCCACCUUCACUUUCUUUGCAGGUAAAACGAACACAAUAAGCUGAUUUCUAUGGGUUUUUGUGCAAAUUAAAACGACAUCUUUCAAGUAAAGAACCUAACACAGUUCCAUCUCGUCCUUAUCCUCUCCUGAUUUCAAAACAAUUUGAAUCUUAUCAACCAAUUUAAAAGACAGGUGCCACGUUCUCCCAUUACUCACACAGCCCUCCUUGAUGGAAGCAUUUCUUCUCAUUCACACUUGCAAGUUUGUGAAAGGCUAUUUUUUGGGGGGUGUCAUUGGACUUAUUUAUUGUUCAUUAGAAGUUCUCUCAAUGAGGCUGGGGUUGUGGUUCAGUGGUAGAGUGCUUGCCUAGCAUGCAUGAGGCACUGGGUUCAAUCCCUGGUAUCGCAUAAAAAUAACCAAAUUAAAAAAGGCAUUGUGUCCAUCUACAACUAAAAAAAUAUAUAUAUUUAAAAAAAAGAAGAAAAUGGGCUGGGGUUGUGGCUCAGUGGUAGAGCGCUUGCCUUGCACGUGUGAGGCCCUGGGUUUGAUCCUCAGCACCACAUAAAAAAUAAAUAAAUAAAAAUAAAGAUACUGUGUUCAUCUACAACUAAAAAAAAUUUAAAGAAAAAGAAGGAGGAGGAGGAGGAGGAGGAGGAGGAGGAGGAGGAGGAGAAGAAGAAGAAGAAGAAGAAGAAGAAGAAGAAGCUGUUCUCUCAGUGGUAGGGGUGAAGGUGAGGCAGCUGGUGUUCUCUACUGAGUUAAUGUCACAUGUCAUCCAUGGCGUAAUGUCACCUCUUCACUGCCAAUCUUAACUGGAAAGAGAGGAAGAUAUGCCAGGGAGGACCCCUUUUCUUUCCCCCUCCAUCAAAAGUCGGUAGCCAUCUCCCCCAUGGAAGGAGAGUGUGGAUGCCCACCAGGUGCCAGGUGCUAAAAUGAAAGAUGAAUCAGCCAAGGCCCCAGCAUUUUGAAGUUUUCAGUCCAAUGUGCUUGCUGCAGGUUGACAUGGGGCAACUCAUCUAAUUAAACCAGGAUUAUAGGGGUGCAGAGGAGGAGAUAGCACUGCAGGAAAAUCUUGAGAGAGAGGAUGACCUGGACUGAAUCUUGAAAUAUCAGUACACGAAUGUGCCCAGUCAGGACGAAGCCUUUCACUCAGAGGAGCCCAAUCCUUGAUCCUUCCCCUCUGAUCCCUACGUGCAGCCUCCAGCACUGGGCUCUGCCAUCUUUGACUUCAGCUGUGCAGCCAGCUUCUCCUUGCUCCAAGGGCCAUGAUAGCUUCCUUAGAAGCAGCAUUUUUAGUGUCAGAGAAGUGACACUGGGAGCCCGCUGCUGCUUUUGUUGCCAGGGCUAGAGAACAGCUGGAGUGGUUUGCGCUCCCUGGGGGAGGCUGGACAAGCCAGGCUGUGUGCGUGUGUGACUUGUGCGUGGUGUUUGUGUGAGUUGAGAGCGCGUGGGUGUGUGUCCUUGUGGAUGGGCGGCUAGAUGUUUACGUGUAGGUGUUGCCACCGAAAACAGAAGUGGAGAUUCUGAAAACAAAGUGGCAGCUCAGGACCUCACGGGCAGGAAAGGGGGAGGUUGAAACAGCCCCGACCAAAACAAAAACAGAGGAGGAAGUUGCAUCAGAAGAGGAAGAAUGCCAAUGUCAUGCUGAAGAGCCACAAAUGUCACAAAAUAAAAAUAAAAUGUGCUAUUCCUAUUUUACCUAGGCAAAUACUGUUACACUGUUUUCCUCUUUACAGUGUAAUAAGAUUACCGAAAUAAUAUUUUGUGCAGCAAAAGUGAAGAACAACCAGAGAGAGCCACCCACAAACAAAAAUUGCUCUAUUUUUUAAAAAAAUUACAUACAUCAUAUUUUAUUUAUUUGGUUCAGUGAUUGAUUAUAACUUUGCUCUCUACCUGCAUUUAAAGUUUCUUUUUCCUCCAGCACUUAAAAAUAUUAAAAACCAGUUAUGAAACUGAAUUAUUGAAGAACAUUUCAAAGGUCUCCUUACUAUUAGCACAAACUGAGAAAUUCUAAUAAAGGUGUUCGAAUAAUAGCGAAGUGACUGAAGAUAUCAAAGCAAGAAAUAGAGAUCCCAGGGAUGUUAUUUACUUUUUUUCGUUUCAGUUAAAGUAGAAAUGCUAGUCCCUUUACUGAAAAAAUUAGAAGGAUAGUUUUCCUUUUGAUUAGGUUCUCAUAACUACACACAUUUUAAAAAAAAUAUAGGACUGGUUUUAGAUGUAGGGGUUCUAUUUUUUUUUUAAUUUUUUUAGUUGUAGUUGGACACAAUAUCUUUGUUUUAUUUAUUUAUUUUUAUGUGGUGCUGAGGAUUGAACCCAGGGCCUCGCACAUACUAGGUGAAUACUCUACCGCUGAGCCCCAGCCCCAGCCCCAAGAUGUGAGGGUUUUAUAAAAAGGUGAUGUAAUUCUGGGAUGAACUUUGCAUCUGGGGCUCAGCUAAGCCUUUUGAAUCUAUUUCUUUAUAAUUAUAGUCAAGGUUAUUGGCUUUCUAUCACUUUUCUAGAAUUGUAAUGGCAUCAAAUGAUUAACUGAGCUGCCAAUUUUGCCAAUAGUUAAAUGUAUAUUGAAUUUUUGGCAGUGGACUGGGCAAAUUUCAUGUGCUCUGGCUAAAGUAAUUCUCAACUGAAUAAAGUUUUACCACAUAUACUAGUUGACUAGCAAAUGAAGAAAGAAGCUUAGGGUGAGGGAUCAAUCAGACAAAGACAAGCAGCCAGAAAUGGGGAAAUGGAACAACCAAGUAUGCCUUUUGCUCUGUGUAUAUACAAUGGGUGCUCCGUAUAUAAUGUGGAGGGGGGCUGGAGUUGUAGCUCAGUGGUAGAGUGCUUGCCUUGCACACAUGAGGCACUGGGUUUGAUCCUCAGCACCACAUAAAACAAAAAAUAAGUAAAAUAAAGGUUUUGUGUCCAUGUUCAACUAAAAAAUUUUUUUUAAAUAAUGUGGAAGGAAGAAAUGGAUGGAAUGUGUGAAGGAAUAAGUAUAAUGAAAGCAGCUUGAAUGCCUAAUUCAAAAUGAGGUUCAGAUUUGGCUUCAUGAUAGGGUUAUAGCAUAUUUUCCCUUUGAUUUUCAGAAGUUGUGAGACUCUUUAAAAAAGAAAAUAUCAAUAAAAUUAGUUGGGUAAAAAAUUAAAAUAUAUUCAAAACUAAGUUUUUAAUUUUUAAAGUUUAUUUAUGUAUACAAACUUUAUAUAUAUGGUUAUAUAUAAAUUUAAAAAAUAUAUAUUUAUAUAUAUUAAUUUAUAAAUAUAUAUAUAUUUUCAGUGUUACCUUAGGAACAAAAAAUCAUUAGGGGACUGAGGAUGUAACACUUGCCUAACAUGUCCAAGGCCCUGGGCUCAAUCCCCAGCAUCACACAUCACACACGUGUGCACAGACACACACAUCCACAAAUUGGGAAAAAAUAGGUUUAUUCAUAAAAUUAUUAAAUGUUUAGGGUUAUAAUCUAUUCAAAUAAUAAAAAUCCACUAAUUUGAAAUGACCUUUUUCUUCUUAAAACUAAUUACUACUGGGGCUACAAGCUGCUGUAUUUUAUAACAAAUGUCAUUUGGCUUUUGCAACUGAGAGGAAACCAGUAAAAAAUUGGAGAAGAAAUCAUAAACAUCAUAAUAAAAACAAACAGAAGCAGUAAGUUUUAUUUUUUAUGGAUCCACUACCUUCCAUAUAGCAUUUAUUUUCAGAAAAUACAUAGAAAUAAACAUUUAUUUUUAGAAAAUAAUUCAAAGGAGUGGGCAGGGAAGAGGGAGAGAAAUAGACCAAACCCAUGGGCUGCAACAUUUUUUCAAACAAUAUUUUUGUUUAAGGAGUCAAAGUUCCCACAUUCGCCCGUUUCUCUGCUUUCUGAACUUCCACAUCUCUAGGGGCCCUCCACCUGGACAUACAGUUGGCUUUCUGGGUCCACAGUCCAGCAUCCUUGGAUUCAACCAACCAUUCCAUUUCAACCAUUCGAAGUCUUUGAUUUAAAAAAAAAAUUGCAUCUGUCCUGAACAUAUACACUUUUUUUCUUGUCAUUAUUUCCCAAACAAUAUAGUCUAGCACCUAUUUAUACAGCAUUUACAUUGCUGAGAUAUUUUAAGUAAUCUAAGGUCGACUUGAAGCAUACAGGAAGAUUUGCAUAGGAUAUAUGCAAAUACUAUGUCAUUUUAUAUAAGGAACUGGAGCAUUCUUAGAUUUUGUUAUCCCAAGGGGGUCCCGAAACCAAUCUCCUAUGGGUAUGGAGGGAAGACGGUAUUUCCUGACUUGGAAUUUGCCAAAAAUCUAAAACAUUGCUCCAGAGGAAUUACGCAAACUCCCUGGCCCAGCUUGUGUUCUCUUCUGAUGGUGUUCUCAAGGAAUGGGCAGGAGGAAAGACAAGGUGUGAACUACGAGAUGUUACAUUCUGUUUAACGUCGUGGAUCUGUAGCUCUUUCUGUCAAUGAGUGGCAGGCCAUUCUUAAAUUCUGCUCUUCUGCACUGAAGGAUCUUAGCCUCUCUGCCCCUGGAGAGCCAAGGAACUUUGCUCUUUGCCCAAAAUACCUUUCUCACCCGAAGCAGUUUCCCCUCCUCUGAGAAAUGCUGUCGUGUCAGGCUGCACUGCCCUUGAACCAGACAACUUUCUCUGCGUGUCUUUAUCUGUCUAAAUAAAGCUAACCUACAUUUGCUGUCUAAUUCAUUUGGAUGCUUGCUGAUGCUAUUUAAAGCAUCCCUCAAGGCCCAGAGGAAAACAAGAUGCAUUAUCUCCAGUUGGGAACCUUUAGGUUUGCUGGUCAUUUAAGGAAUUCAAGAAUCUUAAGAAUUCAUUCAGUCUGCACUGGUGCUGAUGCAAAGGACAAAGGAACUCUGGAUUUUUAUUCUAGACAGCUUUCUUUGACUCGUGCAUGCCUAGGAUCAUUUCACAGAGAGGUAGUUACGAAGUCAGUCUCUGUGUGUCUGUCUGUCUGCUCCUCAGGCUUCAUGAAAUCAACUUUCUGAAGAUUUAUUGCUCAUUAGAAUAUAUUUUUCAUUCUAGACUCUGAUGAUCGGUUAGUCCACUGUGUGAGCUUACUUAUCUCGGGGAACAAAUGUGAAAAUUCAAAAGCUGCUGUCACCUUCAUAAAGAGCCUUUUGAUGAGUUUUUGACUUGUUUCCACCCCUCCCUCUCCAGAUACCAUAUGUCCUUUCAUUAGAGAACCCUGACACUUCUACAUUCCAGAAAAGAAAAGGAAAUUCUACAGGGAACGGAGCAGAACACUGGUGUUGUAAAUAGGACUCCACUGUGAAUUCAUGUACGACUGAGAGUUCAGAGAGGUUUCAGAUCUGUUGUUUGUUUUUCCAGAUCUGGCAUUUCUGUGGGUCUGUUGGCUUGCUGGUACAAUGGGGUUGUUUUAACCAUUAGUGCCCCGCUGCUACCUUAAGCAUAAGCUUAUUAUCAGCAUCCACUUGUUCAGCCAGGAUUCUGUGACGUCCAUUGCAGUGGGUGAGUCAGAAGCCACAAGCUAACAGGUCUAUAUUCCUUCCCACUGUCACCUAGGAAACCAUCGCAUCAUCCACAGGAAAUGCAGGCCCCGAUGGGGGGUGUGCCCGGAUCGGGUUAUAAAGCUGGCAAAGAGUUUUUUCAAAGGAGGUCAAAUAAUAACAUGCAGAAUCUUGGUCUAAGGUGGGAGGUGAACCCAGCCUCUGUGGCAUGGAUUGAGAGCUGUGGGGCAGAAAUAGCAGGAGAAAUUAAUCAGCGCAAAGCACAUAAGAUGUCUGCUUUAUAAGAAAGUGAUCACGGGCAAGAGACAUACAGAAAUGAUUUGAUUCCCCCAGGAAGCAGUAUUUAUUUACCCGAUGGCUGAGGGUAUUUGGGGAAUGUGCGGUUGUACAGUGUGCGAAAUGAGAUGAAGAAAUUGACAACACAUCAAACCAGGCUUUUCUGUUGAAUGAAAUGCAUGUCUCUGUUUCAUGGUCAUUAUCCCUUAGCUUAAGAAGGUGCUAGGCAGUACCUUGGAGAAAAGCACACAGCGCCCACUGUUUUGUUCUUGUUUGCUGGUGCUGUGCCUGAUUUUUUCUUUCUUUGGCUGCUACAGUCCUUGGUCUGUAUAUCCCAGUUCACUGCACAAUAUUCAGAUACCUGUGGAUAAGCUUAGUGCAGCUGAGAAAAAUUACCUGUACCAUUUCAUGUUGUUCGACAAGCUUGAUGUUUCUGGGAAGCUUUACAUUCCCAUUGCUGCUAUGAGUCAUUCUACGUCAAAAGAUGUGCACCCCCAGGUGUUUUGAGGAGAGAGGAGAGAUAGAAAGCUUGAUCACAAGCUCAGGGAGAUUUAACAGGUGAUAUGGCCGCCUUAAGAGAUUGAGCUGCUUUGACUGAAGGAUGGUGUCCAAGAGAGGCAAUGGGUUCCAAUACCAGCUGGUCAGGUGCCCGACAAGAGUACAUCCAUCCUGAGUACCCAUUGAAGGAAGAGCAAUGACAAUCCUGAGUGUGUUCAGAGGAGGGCAAAGAUGGUGAUGACAGUUCUAGAAACUGUAACCUUAGGACAAUUAAAGAGCAUUAGUCUACUUACCCUGAAGGCCAGAGGAUCUGUCAUGGAAGAGAUGGGAAUGGGUAUCCUCAAAUAGUUGAAGUGCUGUCUCAAAGAGGGUUCAGACUUAUUUUGUGUGCCCACAAAGAGUGAUCAUAAAUUGUUACAAGUUAAAGGGUGGUGGAGUUUAGCUCCAUAUAACUAAUUUUCUAAUCAUUUAAGCUGAUCAAAGUGUAUUAAACUGACUAAUACAACAGUAACAUAAUUUUGUACCUUUGGAGUUGUUCCAAUAUUCCUUUAUUCAUCCAAAAGCAUUCAUUGAGUACCUGCCAUAUGCCAGACAUGUUAGGUACUAAAGAUACAAAGAUGACUAACAUAGUCACUUCCUCCAAAGGAAUCACAGUCCAGUAGAGGUUCUGUGAUCAUUUAAUAUGCAGGGAUUGUGUUUUAGUACAUUUUAUGUUACUAUAACAAAGUACCCAAUGCUGGGUAAAGGAAAGAGGUUUAAAUACCCUCACAGUUCUGGAGGUCCCAGAGGAUGGUACCAGUCUCUGCUUGCCUCUGGCAAUCGCAUUACACCCCAACAUGGCAGAUGGCAUCAUGGUGGAAGUGUGAAUGAGAGAGAGAUAGAACACAUGGCCAGACAGGAAGCAAGAGACAGAGAGUUGAGACAGUCAAACUUGCUUUAUAAAAACCCAUUCUCAGAAGAACUAAUCCAUUCCACGAGACCAGCGUUGUUAUUCUGUUUAGUACCCUACGUUCCUCAUUUCCUUCUAAUAGGUCCAACCUUUUAAAGGUUCUACCACCUCAACAGGAAAAUUCACAUAAUAUUCAAAGCACAUCAGACAGGAUGAGCAGUAAUGUAGAAUGUUGUGGAAGAGAUUCACGCUUUCAUGCCUUGCACAGAAGAUUAGAUGAAGGCACUUUGAGAUUGCUGUCUGUGUUAAUGAAGGCAAUACUAGCUGCUAUAACAACCCCACAAUGUCUUCUGGCUCAUGAAACAUGAUAGGAAGCUUUUUUUUCCUCACCAUAUACACCCAAAAUGGUUAUUUCUGAUGGUGGGUGUCUUGCUUCUAAAUGGUAAUUCAAGGACAGGACCCAGUUCUUUCCAAUUGGUGAUUCUGUCAUCUUCAACUUGCAGCUUAUGGGGGACAUUCUAGGCAUUGGCAUUUUGCUGAUAGAUGGGAGAGAACAUGGAGGAUCUGGGGGAUUUGGUUAUGAGUUGGACCUAGAAAUGAUGCUCAGAUACUCUGCUCCCAUUCUAUCCAAUGGAAUUUAGCUGCAUGUCCACACCUAACCAGGAGGCAGGCGUGAAAGGCAAUCUGGGGGGUGUAGCUCAGUGGCAGGGCACUUGACCAGCAGGUGCAAGGGCCUGGGUUCAAUCUCCAGCAUUGGAGGGGAAAAAACACAAACCCCUCAACUGGUCGAGCUGUUUUGCCAGAAAAGAGCAGAAACUGGUUUCAAUGUCUGGUGGCAGAACCAAGAUAAGGAAUUUGGGUUGGGGGGGGGGGUGCUGAAGAGAUGGGCAGGGUGCUCCAUUUAUUUAUUUUAAGAUUUUAUUUUUAUUUAUUUAUUUUCUUUUUUGACUAAUAAAAUAUGUAUUUAUGGCAUACAACAUGCUUUGAUAUAUACAUGCACUGGGAAAUGGUUAAAUCAUGUUAAUCAACGUAUUCAUUGCCUCACAUAGUUAUUUUAAAAAACAUUUUUGUGGUAGAUGGACAGAAUGUUUUUAUUUUAUUUAUUUGUAUGCGGUGCUAAGGAUCAAACCCAGUGCCUCACACAUGCUAGGUAAGUGCCCUACCACUGAGCUAUAGGCCCAGCCCAGUUAUCAUUUUUUGUUGUGAGACAAAAAUUUUUUUAAAAUUUCUUGUUUAAUGCCAGUAUCAUCAUGUCCCAUGUUUACAGUAAAUGUCUUCCUAUUGAAGGUCUCUACUCAGAUAUAUUAUUAUUACUUACGGUUGUUGUUGUUCAGUGGUGCUAGGAAUCAAACUCAGGGUCUUGCACAUAUGAGGCAAGUGUUCUACCACUGAGCUAUACCCCAACCCUCAAGGUAUAAUGUUAGGCUCAAAAAAAAAAGCAAGGUAGAGCACAAAGCAGAGUAUGCUACUUUGUGUAUGAAAAUGAAAGCAAUAAUACUAUUUGCAUUUGUUUUCAUAUAUGAUGAAACACUGGAAAAGUGAAAGAAACCACAGAGACCCGGAUAAAGGCAGAGGGAGGAUGGAGACAUCAGUGGGAAUGAGAGUUUAUGUAUUCCUUUAAAUACUCAUUUAUUACUUAUUUAUAAAAAUAUAUAAUUUAAAAAACCAAUUUUAUUCUAUUGCAGGAAAAUGUUUCACUGACUGACCUCUUUUUGCGUUCAAAUGAAGAAAAGUCAACAAUAAAAUUUCUUGGGAAUGUAAGCAGGACAUAACUUUUGAGCCUGAGGUAUAAAUAAUGAUGAAUUCUGUGUCUUUCUUGUUAUACUAUACCCGACGAAUUA
rnacentral:lncRNA from 1 species